rnacentral:lncRNA from 1 species
UUAUUUUGCUGGCCUUAUUUUCUCAUUUUAAGCUUACUUCUCUUUCCAAAGCGAUCUUAAUUUUAGAAGGAACGUCCUAACUAAAGAUAAAAAUGGCAUGGAUUCCUUGAACAGCCACAAGGGCCUAUUUUCUCAUAUAUAUUUUUGCAACAUGAAGCCAGAGCACACAAACAUAACAAACACAACGCACGCUGUAUACAGAGAAGUGUCCCUGACACGGAUGCGAUCAGAGACAACUUCUCGUUCAGCUUCAUCUUAUUAUUGAACAAAAAGAUCACGUGGAAGUGGAAGGCUUUGACGCGUAGCUAUGCAAAGGAAGCAGUCAAGCAGCCAGCCGGAGCCGGCAGCUCAGUGCUGUCCCGGCAGCUUCUCCUUGAUCUUGUCCAUGAUUCCCUUCUUCUCGCCGGUGCCGGUGCCAGUGCCGGCGCCGGCCAUCCCUGCGUGGCCUUGCUGCCCGUAGGCUCCACCAGUUCCAGUCCCCGGCCCGUAGGCUCCUCCAGUCCCCGUACCAGUCGCCAUGUGCUGCUGGUUGUCCUUGUUGCCGCCGGGGAGCUUCUCCUUGAUCUUCUCUUUCAUGCCCUUCUUCCUCCUCCCGCCCAUGCCGUCGUCCUCGGAAGACUGCACAACAGCCACGGAAAUGAACAUCUAAACAUACUGAAGCACAUGAAUAUGUACAUGUGUGUGUCGACAGAGUAUCAUACCGAGCUUGAGCUGGAGCUGCCGGAGCGAUGCAGUAUCCCACCGGUCUUGUGCUCCCCCCUGCGGGCCUGGAACUGCCCGCCGGUGCCAGGAGCGGCGUGCGCUCCCCCCACGCCGCCGGCCAGCGGGAACGGGUUGCCGUACUCGUCCACGCGGUUGGCGGGGUUGUCGUGCUGCCCUUGGAACUCCAUCCUUUGCGUCUUCCUAAACCGGACUUGGUUUGGUUGUGAGUUGUGGCUUUAGCUUUUGGUCUUUGGCUCUGACAGAAAGCUCGUGAGUCGUUGUGUGCAGAGAAGUCGAUUGCCGGGUUGGUAUUUAUACCGUAGCGACAGGCCGGGGUCGCAAAGGGAUUUGGCAGGCCAGGUGGCUACCGCAGGGGGUACGUGUGCACUGCACGCAUGGUGACUCGGAAGGCGCAAGUAGUCGCGGCGGACACGGGAUAGCCUGGGCGUGUGCACGCGUCGCACUGCUGAACGUGUCGGUGGCGCCACGUACGCAUUCGACUGUUCUGGAAAGGUGACUUGACAGAUUGGCUCGUCGUUCUAUUUUGAUGUUACAGUUUAUUAUCACAGGACGGUGAGUUUGAAUAUGAACAAAAAAGCUACCGGACGGUGCGCUAUGUUCCGCUGCUCCAUUGGUUCUUCUUGAGGAAAACAUCAAGUUUUUUUACAUGAUGAAAGUAUCAAAUUUUCCAUACUCUCUCCUUCUAUCUAUAUAUAGGGUCUAAUGUGUUUUUUGAAGCUAAUUUUGACCAAGUGUUAGAGCAAUAAUAUAUGACAUGCAAGUUACACAAAGCAUACCGUCAACUUCGUACGUGAAAAGAGCUUCCAAUAAUAUAAUUUUCACAUUAUACAUCUCAUGUAUUAUUAAUCUUAUUAAUAGUCAAAGGCGAUCUUGAAAAACACAUUAGGUCCUAUUUAAACCUAUAAGGUUCCGGAGGCACUCGGCCUCACAGAGCUCCUUUGAUUUUGUCGCUCGUUGGCCGUGGGAUGCUGGUCAAAGUGGUCUCCAACGUGCUGCUUGGCAUUGGAUCUUGGCUACGUCGUUGCUGCAUCGUCGCGUUCUGGUUUGACAGGGCAGUAAAAACGCAGAGGCGAAUAACCUGUGGGCUCAUGGUGUGUAGCGAUUGGCUGGGUCAGCGGAUUCUGUGUGUUCGCGCGGCCUCUCCUCACGCGCCGCGUGCGCGUGCGCGUCGCUGCUUUGGCUGCUUUUCCCGCUCGCUGCUUUGGCUGGUUGGUUGCUCCCGCUGCGGGUGGGCCUGCUUUGGGGCUGGUCCCACGCGUCGGUGUCCCACUGUGGGUUGUUUCGUGUGCGUGUGGCGUUUCUUGUUUGGACUGGCUCGGGUGGGUCACGCGUCGCGUCACGUCGUGCGUAUGGAGAGAGGGGUGUCUAUCCUGGCCACACCGCGUCGCUUUUGCAUCGUACGGACGCUUUUUUUCUUGGAGUCGUCUACUACCGUUGCUCCCCGUUUCUUCCACUGUUUGGUGGCCCAUGUUUAGCUCUGGUCCCGCGUGUCAGCGGGGUCCGUCCGGUUUGGAACGCACGGCCUCCUCGCUACUUCUCUUGUUGUUUCGAGAGAGGCUGGGCUGACUGAAUGUCUGAUGCAUGUGCACGUCGAGCCCUGGCUAACCGAUGCAUUGUGCGCGCGUCGUGCGUGCCUCACCUCCAUUUGCGGUUGGAGAAAGAUGGACUGGAAAAUAUCUUGCGAGCCGCCCCAGUUUCACUCCCCCUCCCUCCAAUCUCCCUUGACCUACUACCGCCGCCGCCGCCUCUCGGUUUCUGAUGCUGGAGCUCCGACUGUACGACGAAGAUCACCGCGUUGCUGGUGCUCUGAUUCCGGCGACAUCUCAUAGUCUUCAUUGGCGGGAGGAAGGGAACAGCAGUCGCGCCAAGUGGAAUGCCUCGUCGUGCCGCAUGGUGGCCGAGAUGCGGCCGCCCUAUGCACUGCAGGCGCCGUAUCAUAGUCUUCAUCGACUGGAGGCAUCUCUGCCGGACCACGUGUCCAUGUCUCCCCAUCUACCGCGCUGGAGUUAAUCGCAAGGAACUACCACACUUCGGCACGUCGUAAUAAAUCAAUAUCACUAUUCACUUCUUUUGCAGUUCAGUACCAACUCAAAGGCUAAGUGUUGCAAAACGGUCUGACAGCCGUAUAAGCGCGUAUUGACCACGUAUCUGACCGACCAGGCCCACAUGUCAGGUGCCACGGUGGCGUACCUGCGCGCACCCGCGCGGUCACUCGUCCCAGCCGGCUCGGUCGCACCAUGUAGCUGAGUCGGGGCUGGUCGAACCCGUACGGGAUGAACCCUAGUUUCCUCUCCCCUCUCCCACGUCUCCCUCUUCCCUCUCAGGCGAUGGCGGUGGCGACUCCCGGCGGCGGCGAUGGUGCGGGCGGGUACGGAGACCUUCCUGGCCUCGGGAGCGAUGACCACUUAGGUCUGGACGACGUCGACGGCUCCAGUUUGUACUACUCCAGCGCAGACGACGAGGAUUUGGAGGAGGAGGCGGCGCUGUCCAUGGAGGACAGGGUGAGGCUGGCAGAGAUAUGGGUGGCCAACCCUAGCAGUAGCCAUCAGUGGACGAGUGGAGCUGCUGGCGGUGUGCUGGAAGUCCCUCUCUUCUCUCCUUCUUUCUGUAUAUUCAAAACAGGGGAGUAGGGUUAGUUGCUCAUGAGAGUGUAAAUUUGUGCUGUCAAUUGUAGUUUGGAUGAUGCUGUUUGUGUUGGGUAACGCAGUAAUUUCAAAAAGUUUCCUAGGCACACGCAAGAUCCAUCUAGGUGAGGCAUAGCAACGAGAGGGCAGAGUGUUGUCUACGUACCCUCAUAGACCGAAAGCGGAAGCGUUAGGACAACGCGGUUGAUGUAGACGUACGUCUUCACGAUCCCACCGAUCCUAGUACCGAAAGUACGGCACCUCCGCGAUCUGCACACGUUCAGCUCGGUGAUGUCCCACGAACUCUCGAUCCAGCUGAGUGUCGAGGGAGAGCUUCGUCAGCACGGCGGCGUGAUGAUGGUGAUGAUGAAGUUACCGGCGCAGGGCUUCGCCUAAGCACUGCAACGGUAUGACCGAGGUGGAUUAUGGUGGAGGGGGGCACCGCACACGGCUAAGACAAUGUCAACUUGUGUGUCUCUGGGGUGCCCCCCUCCCCCGUAUAUAAAGGAGUGGAGGAGGGGGGAGGGCCGGCCCUCUAUGGCGCGCCCUGGAGGAGUCCUACUCCCGCCGGGAGUAGGAUUCCCCCCCCUUCCCUAGUUGGACUAUGAGAGGAAGGAAGGGGGAGGAAGGAGGAAGGAAAGGGGGGGGGCGGCCCCCACCCAAUUCGGAUUGGGCUUGGGGGGGCGCCCCCUCCUAGGAUCCCUUCUCCUCUCUCCCACUAUGGCCCAAUAAGGCCCAUAUACUUUGCGGGGGGUUCCGGUAACCUCCCGGUACUCCGGUAAAUGCCCGAACUCACCGGAACCAUUCCGAUGUCCAAACAUAGUCAUCCAAUAUAUCAAUCUUUAUGUCUCGACCAUUUCGAGAAUCCUCGUCAUGUCCAUGAUCAUAUCCGGGACUCCAAACUACCUUCGGUACAUCAAAACACAUAAACUCAUAAUUUCGAUCGUCACCGAACGUUAAGCGUGCGGACCCUACGGGUUCGAGAACUAUGUAGACAUGACUGAGACACGUCUCCGGUCAAUAACCAAUAGCGGAACCUGGAUGUUCAUAUUGGCUCCCACAUAUUCUACGAAGAUCUUUAUCGGUCAAACCGCAUAACAACAUACGUUGUUCCCUUUGUCAUCGGUAUGUUACUUGCCCGAGAUUCGAUCGUUGGUAUCUCAAAUACCUAGUUCAAUCUCGUUACCGGCAAGUCUCUUUACUCAUUCCGUAAUGCAUCAUCCCGCAACUAACUCAUUAGUCACAUUGCUUGCAAGGCUUAUAGUGAUGUGCAUUACCAAGAGGGCCCAGAGAUACCUCUCCGACAAUCGGAGUGACAAAUCCUAAUCUCGAUCUAUGCCAACUCAACAAACACCAUCAGAGACACCUGUAGAGCACCUUUAUAAUCACCCAGUUACGUUGUGACGUUUGGUAGCACACUAAGUGUUCCUCCGGUAUUCGGGAGUUGCAUAAUCUCAUAGUCAUAGGAACAUGUAUAAGUCAUGAAGAAAGCAAUAGCAAAUAAACUAAUCGAUCAAGUGCUAGGCUAACGGAAUGGGUCAAGUCAAUCACAUCAUUCUCUAAUGAUGUGAUCCCAUUAAUCAAAUGACAAAUCAUGUCUAUGGCUAGGAAACUUAACCAUCUUUGAUUCAACGAGCUAGUCAAGUAGAGGCAUACUAGUGACACUCUGUUUGUGUAUGAAUUCACACAUGUACUAAGUUUCUGGUUAAUACAAUUCUAGCAUGAAUAAUAAACAUUUAUCAUGAUAUAAGGAAAUAUAAAUAACAAAUUUAUUAUUGCCUCUAGGGCAUAUUUCCUUCAGUCUCCCACUUGCACUAGAGUCAAUAAUCUAGAUUACACAGUAAUGAUUCUAACACCCAUGGAGUCUUGGUGCUGAUCAUGUUUUGCUCGUGAGAGAGGCUUAGUCAAUGGGUCUGCAACAUUCAGAUCCGUAUGUAUCUUGCAAAUCUCUAUGUCUCCCUCCUUGACUUGAUCGCGGAUGGAAUUGAAGCGCCUCUUGAUGUGCUUGGUUCUCUUGUGAAAUCUGGAUUCCUUUGCCAAGCCAAUUGCACCAGUAUUGUCACAAAAGAUUUUCAUUGGACCCGAUGCACUAGGUAUGACACCUAGAUCGGAUAUGAACUCCUUCAUCCAGACUCCUUCAUUUGCUGCUUCCGAAGCAGCUAUGUACUCCGCUUCACACGUAGAUCCCGCCGCGACGCUUUGCUUAGAACUGCACCAACUGACAGCUCCCCCGUUCAAUAUAAACACGUAUCUGGUUUGUGACUUAGAUUCAUCCGGAUCAGUGUCAAAGCUUGCAUCGACGUAACCAUUUACGACGAGCUCUUUGUCACCUCCAUAAAUGAGAAUCAUAUUUGAAAGGAUCGAUAUAGUUCACUAGAGGGGGGGGGGGUGAAUAGGCAACUAACAAUUUUUAGCCUUUUCUUAACCAAUUUAGAGUUUGCAUCAAAGUAGCUUGUCUAGAUAUGCAACUAGGUGAGCAACCUAUAUGAUGCAACAACAACAAGCACACAAGUAAGCAAGAGAUGUAACACAAUAAAAACUUGUACAAGUAAAGGUACGAAAUAACCAAGAGUGGAGCCGGUGAAGACAAGGAUGUGUUACCGAAGUUCGUUCCUUUUGAGGGGAAGUACGUCUCCGUUGGAGCGGUGUGGAGGCACAAUGCUCCCCAAGAAGCCACUAAGGCCACCGUAUUCUCCUCACGCCCUCACACAAUGCGAGAUGCCGUGAUUCCACUAUUGGUGCCCUUGGAGGCGGCGACCGAACCUUUACAAACAAGGUUGGGGCAAUCUCCACAACUUAAUUGGAGGCUCCCAACGACACCACGAAGCUUCACCACAAUGGACUAUGGCUCCACGGUGACCUCAACCGUCUAGGGUGCUCAAACACCCAAGAGUAACAAGAUCCCCUAGGGAUUAGUGGGGGAAUCAAAUUUCUCUUGGUGGAAGUGUAGAUCGGGGCCUUCUCAACCAAUCCCGAGCGAAUCAACAAGUUUGAUUGGCUAGGGAGAGAGAUCGGGCGAAAAUGGAGCUUGGAGCAACAAUGGAGCUUUUGGGGGAAGAGGUAAGCCAACUUUGGAGAAGAAGACCCCCUUUUAUAGAGGGGGGGAACAAUCCAACCGUUACCCCCUAAACAGCCCCGCAGAGGGCGGUACUACCGCAGGGGGUAGCGGUACUACCGCUGGGACCAGCGGCACUACCGCUCCCCCUCGCGGUACUGCCGUGCAGUCUGGGAGGGCUAGCGAAUGAGCAGGAUUCAGACCCAGUGCGGUACUGCCGCGGUGGUAGGGCCGUACUACCGCUCUCGAGCGGCACUACCGCUUAUACUGCCGCUGCUUAGUGCCGCACAAUCCGACACGAGAGGUGACCCCCUCGAGUCGACGCGGUAGGAGCCCGGUACCGCAGCGGUAAUACGGCUGAGGACCCACCGGCGGUACUACCGCUGCCGAGCGGUACUGCCGCCUGUGGCUCUUGAGCGGUACUACCGCUGGGCACCGCGGUACUACGGCUGGGACCAAAUCAUGCUCAAAGAAGAAAGGGAAAGAAACCUCCAUCGAAGCGGGAAGGCUCAGAGGGUGUGAAAAGGAUGUGUGCGUGUUGAUUCCACCCUAGCCUGGCCAAAGCGGACCCCCUCUUGAUAGUCCGGUGACUCCUACAAAACAAGUCCACCAAAACAGAAACGAAAGAGCUACACCGUCUUGAUUAAAACUCCGAGGGGAAAGAAUUGUCUCGUGCCAAAGGAUGAAACUCUGAAAUACUUAACGCACACGAUUAGUCCGCAAAAGCAUUGUCAUCAAUCACCAAAACACUUUAGGGAUAAAUAUGCCCUUACAAUCUCCCCCUUUUUGGUGGAUUGAUGACAAUACGGGAUUUGCACAAAUGGGAAAAAUAUAGGACAUAAGCAAACCCCACAUCUCUAAAAUAUAGACGGGCUCCCCCUAGAUGUGUGCUAUCUAGAUAGGUGCUUUGGACUGCACGGCACACAUACUAGGAUCAACACUCCCCCUAUAUUUUAUAGACAAUGAAUAUCUUGCAACAAUAAGGCUAACACUAAGCAAGAUAGUAAAUAUGAGCAUAAUAUAAAUAACACAAGAUAAGCUUAAUAAGAUGCGAUAGAGUGCAUAUGUCUUACACCAUAUGAAAGAAAAGUCUCACGAGCACAAACCAAACCAAAGCAAACAAGGUUCAACACGAGAAAAGAGUUUGCGAGAGAAACAGGCAAGGCAAACACGCCACACAAACACACGCUCGCAACUCGACAACGACAAAUCCCUAAGCUCUCUCCCCCUUUGGCAUUGAGACACCAAAAAGGCAAAGAGCGCUGCUAAGACUCCAGGUGAUAGCAAACUGAGGGGCUCUAUCAUCACAUCCUGGCGGGAUCAUCUGCACUGCCAUCGUCAGUCGGAAACUGCUCGGUGUCUGAAUCGGUCCACGGACAGUGCUGCUGAAUCCACUCCUCCUCCUCAGUGAUCUGGCCCUUAGAACCGCUGGCAACGGUCGCACCCAACUGACGCAUGAGCUCCUUGUGACGACCCUUGGCCUGCUUCUCAGCCACAUGAGUCAUGUACUGACCAUGAGACUCCAUGCAGAAGAGCUUCUUCAUCUUGCGCUUGAGCUUCUUUGCCCAAGAGGGCUCUGCUCCAGAAGGCUCAUAGUCCUCAUCAUCAUCGGCCUCAGCCUCGCCCUCGGUCUCCAUGUCAGCAGCAGUAGAUGGACCCCCAGAUUUAGGAGCCGGGGUGCCCCAAUUGUCCUUCUUCAUCAGACGCUUGAUCUCAUGAGAAACCAAUUCUCCAGUUUCCAGCAUAACCUUGGGAUAGACAUGUGCCCAGGCCUUCUCAAUGAGCAACAUGAUGAACGGACCAUAGAUCGGGCACUUGCGCUCAAAAACGGCAGAUAGAAGUUUAGACCACAUAACAUGAGAAAUGUUCAGGGACUCGCCAGUGUUUGCUUCAUUCUCAUGCUGGCAGAAGAGAAGCAUGUCCACGAGAUAGGAGUGGACCAUAUCCAGAUUCCCGAUACGAGGGAAGAGAGUCUCUCGGAAGACGCGAUGAAGGAUGUCCAGAAAGGCAGGCAGCUCAUAGGUUUCCUUCUUAGUCACAGGGUGAAUCUUGUAUUGCGGUGAGGGCGGAAGCCGACUGGAGUCUCAAGCCCGUGAUCUUCCACCCCAAGUAAAUCCAUGAAGGCCUUCCACUUGACAGAAAGCAACUUGCCAUUUGUCAUCCAAGUCAGAGUCCUUUCUUCAUCAGUUCCAAGAUGGACAGUGGCAUAAAAUUGAGCCACCAAAUCUGCAUCAAAGUCCUUGUUGAACUGCAUGAUUCUGAGAAUGUUCAGCUGAGAGCACAUCUGAAGGGCUUCGCCAAAGUACUCAGGGUCAUUUUCCAUAGCAUCCAUGUCGAUGGAACGUACAUCAACAUAGAGAUUCUUCUUAGCCUUGAUCACAUCAAAGAAGAUGGCAAACUGAAAGCGGUUCCAGAACGGGCGGUUGACCAAAGUGGGUUCUUGGUCUUCCGCAUAGGGGUUGCGGCGACGCCUUUCCCAGAAUUCCUUGGCAGUCAACUCAGUCACAGUCUUGCCCCUUGGCUUCGGCCUGUUGGCAGAUUUCUUCUGGAGUUGAGGCGGAGGUGGCGCACUUGAGCAAGCACCCGCUGACUCAGAGGUGCAGUAGCGCUUUGAUGUUGCACGUUCGGGGUUGACACGGCGGGCUUGCUGCUCAGGAUGUUCAUCACCUGGAACCAAACACACGAGCAGAAGAAACAACACGAAAGAAAGAUCAUAAGCCACAAACAAAACAACAUGGAUCAAAAAGUGGUCGGAAAUGAUGGAAUUGGGCAUCCAGCGGUAGUACCGCGACCCAACCGCGCCAGUACCGCUCGAGCGGUAGUACCGCGCCAGACGAGCGGUAGUGAACGGCGGUUCCCUACUGCCGUGGACAGAUCCGGCACUACCGGGGAUGCCAAAUUCUAAAAUAAACCUACCAAACAUCAAUCCAAAAGGACUAGAUGCCAUCUCCAUCCUACUCAAGCCUCGACUUAGCCAAAAAUCGAGAAAAGCAAUGCCUAUUGCCCCUAACAACUAGAUGAGAGAUCUAGGAAAAGAGAGAACGGGAACGGGGGCAAUACCGGCAUCCAUGGCAAGAGGACACGGUGGGGAUCGACUCCACCGGAGGAACUGGAGAGGGACGGCACGUAGACGGCGGCCGGCCGAAGCCCUCCUGCGGCGAGACGUCGCUGGAGCGACGAAGAAGACGAGCGAGUGGAGCGAAUGGGUAUGGGGGAGAAAGCAACUCCCCCUGCCCCAACAUAACCCCCAUCGCCCGCCCCGUAGCGGUAGUACCGCUGGGGUGAGCGGUAGUACCGCUUGACGAUCAUAGGCGGUAGUACCGUGCACCCAACGGUAGUACCGCUCAGCCGCAAAAAGACUGGCCAACGCGGCUCAACUCAAGAGAAGAAACCGACUAGAAAAUGAGAGCAAACACACACGCAAAACCAAAACAAGGAGGACGAGAAACACACACCUCUCCAAGAGAGGGCGGUGGCCGAGGCCACCUAUGUUUGAGUCCAGAGGUAUGGCGCCACGAAGAUUUUAACCUUGGGCCCAUGACCAAAACUCAUCUUUGAAGCACAAGUACCAUAAAAAAUGGCUAAUGUGAAAGAGUUUGAUUUUUUUAUGCAUAAUGGGGGAGGGAAAGUUCAUUGAGAGAACAACACUCCCCCUAUGUCCAUGCCUACAUCUAAACUAGACAUCAAGUUGAGUGUGAUGGGGCGUGCACAGGUUCAAGCAACAUUGCUCGAAUCAAUGAUAUUUAGCUCAUGCCUUAACUCGCGAAAUCUUGCUUCAUCCAAGGGCUUCGUGAAAAUAUCUGCAAGGUUAUCAUGAGUGUUGACGUAGUUGAGCUCGAUCUCCCCUCGCCUAAUGUGAUCCCGGAUGAAGUGAGACCGAAUCUCAAUAUGCUUCGUCUUGAAGUGUUGCACCGGGUUGAGAGAAAACUUGAUGGCACUUUCAAUGUCACACCAAAGAGGCACUUUGUCACAAAUGACACCGUAAUCCUUUAAAGUUUGCCUCAUCCAUAGGAGUUGUGCACAACAACUACCGGCUGCCACAGACUCCGCUUCGAUGGACGAGAGAGACACACAACUUUGCUUCUUGGAAGACCAACUCACCAAAGAGCAACCAAGAAAUUGGCACCCUCUGGAAGGGGACUUCCUAUCCACUUUGUCUACCGCCCAAUCGGAGUCCGAAUAUCCUACAAGCUUGAAGUUUGCUCCUCUUGGGUACCAUGGGCCAAAGUUUGGGGUAUGAGCCAAAUAUCGAAAGAUUCGCUUGACCGCCACAAAGUGGCUUUCCUUAGAUGCGGCUUCAAACCAUGCACAAAUUCCCACACUCAACAUGAUAUCCGGUCUAGAUGCACAAAGGUAAAGCAAGGAGCCGAUCAUGGAGCAAUAUAACUUUUGAUCCACCGCUUUACCAUUGGGAUCAAUGUCAAGUUGGCACUUGGUGGGCAUUGGAGUGGAAGCCGGCUUGACAUCACUUAGCUUGAAUCUCUUUAGCAUGUCUUGAGUGUAUUCGGCUUGGUUGAUGAAGGUUCCUUCUCUUCUUUGUUUGAUUUCAAACCCGAGAAAGAACUUCAACUCUCCCAUCGAAGACAUCUUGAACUUUGAGGUCAUGAGAGCGGCAAAUUCCUCAUUGAAAGCUUUGUUAGGAGAACCAGAUAUUUAUAUCAUCAACAUAUAGUUGGCACACAAACAACUUUCCUUUGACCUUCUUAGUAAAAAGAGUGGGGUCAAUUUUCCCAACUUCAAAUCCACGAUCUUGCAACAACUCGGUAAGGUGGUCAUACCACGCACGUGGGGCUUGUUUAAUGCCAUAGAGUGCCUUAUCGAGUUGAUACACAUGAUCGGGAAAGUAGGGAUCCUCGAACCCAGGGGGUUGUUUGACAUAUACCAACUCAUUAAUAGGACCAUUAAGAAAAGCUCCCUUCACAUCCAUUUGUUGCAACUUAAAGUUAUGAUGAGAGGCAUAAGCAAUCAACAAACGAAUAGAUUCAAGACGAGCAACGGGAGCAAAGGUUUCACCGUAGUCGAUACCCUCAACUUGGGAGUAGCCUUGUGCUACCAAUCUUGCCUUGUUGCGAACGAUUGUCCCAUGAGCAUCCUGCUUGCUCUUGAAUAUCCACUUGGUUCCAAUGACAUUGUGGUUCCAGGUAGGCCUUGGCACCAAUCUCCACACCUUGUUGUACUCGAAGUUGUUGAGUUCUUCAUGCAUGGCAUUGAGCCAAUCCGGAUCUUCGAGCGCCUCAUAGACCUUUUGGGGUUCAACACAAGAGACAAACACGUGAUGUUCGCACUAGUUAGCCAAUUGUCUACGAGUGCUUACCCCCUUUUGAAUGCUUCCAAGCACAUUCUUCAUGAGAUGACCCUUGGUAGAGAGCUUGGGUGCAAUCUUGGCGGCACGACGCUCCAAUUCCUCCUCGAGGGAGAGUUGAGGAGCGGUCACUUGAUUAUCUUGAGCGCCGUCUUGAGCUUGUUCUUGAUCUUGAGCUUGCUCUUGAUCUUGAACUUGCUCGGAGGAGAGAACUUGACCUUGGUCAUCACUUGGUGACUCAACACCAUCUUGAGGUUGAUCUUGCCCUUGGUCAUGUUCAUGAGGUUGAGGGCCUUCACUUUGUUCUUCGGAAGCGUGUGGGUCUCGGGUUGGUGAUGGUUCCACUUGAGUGGAACAUUGUCCUUCUCCUUCGGCCACAAGGGGUUCCUCAAUGGGUAGAAUAUGACCAACACCCAUUCUUCUUAUGGCUUGGGGAGGAAUUUCAUCACCUACAUCACAAGUACCACUUUGCACCACUUGGGAGCCGUUAUUCCCAUCAAACUCCACGUUACAUGUCUCCUCAAUAAGGCCCGUGGACUUAUUGAGAACACGGUAAGCAUGGGAGUUUGUAGCAUAACCAAAAAAUAUGCCCUCAUGAUAUCUAGCCUAAAAUUUAGACAAACGAACACCUUUCUUGAGAAUGAAGCACUUACACCCGAACACCCGGAAGUACUUGAGGUUGGGCUUGUUACCGGUGAGAAUCUCAUAUGGAGUCUUGUUCAAGCCUUUGCGGAGAUAGAGCCGAUUGGAUGCAUGACAUGCGGUGUUGAUGGCUUCGGCCCAAAAGUUGUAUGGAGAUUUGAAGUCCGCCAUCAUGGUCCUUGCCGCAUCCAUCAACGUUCGGUUCUUCCUCUCCAGUACACCAUUUUGAGGGGUGUAUGGUGCGGAAUAUUGAUGCUUGAUCCCCUCAUCACUAAGAAACUCAUCCAAGGUGUAGUUCUUGAACUCGGUGCCGUUGUCGCUUCUUAUAGUCAAGAUCUUUGCAUUGUGUUGACAUUGGGCUUCAUUCACAAAGUCAAUGAUGGUUUGUUGGGUCUCGCUCUUCCUCUUGAAGAAAUAUACCCAAGUGUAUCUUGAAUAGUCAUCCACAAUCACCAAGCAAUACUUUCUACCCCCAAGACUAUCAAAGGAUGGAGGCCCAAAGAGAUCCAUGUGAAGGAGCUCGAGAGGCCUCUUCGAGUAAAUGAUAGUCGUGGGAGGGUGAGCCUUCUCAUGUAUCUUUCCUUCGAUACAAGCACUACAAGCACGAUCUUUAGCAAAACUAACAUUUGUUAGUCCAUGAACAUGAUCCCCCUUGAGAAGACUUUGCAAAGAUCUCAUAUUGACAUGGGCUAGACGGCGAUGCCAAAGCCAUCCCACGUCAACUUUAGCCAUUAGGCAUGUCGCGGUCUUAGUGGGUCGCUACGAAAAUUUAAUCACAUAGAGACCGUUUUCGACAUGCCCAACAAAGGCUACUUUAAGAGUAUUGAUCCACAAGAGGGCCACGGUAUCAAUGUCAAAGAAGGUGGCAAAUCCCAUGAGUGCAAGUUGACAAACGAAAAGUAAAUUGUAUGCAAGGGACUCAACAAGCAUGAAUUUCUCGAUCGUGAGAUCAUGAGAAAUGACAACCUUGCAGAGUCCCAAUACCUUGGAUGACGAUGCAUCACCCCACUCGACAUUGGUGGGCAUAGAUGGAAUCUUGUGCACGUCCACCACCAAGUCCUUGCUUUAGGUCAUAUGAUUUGUAGCUCCACUAUCGAGCAACCAUGAUCCCCCACUGGAAGCAAACACCUACAAGAGAUCAAUGCUUGAAUUUAGGUACCCAUUUUGUAAUGAGUCCUUUGAUGUUAGUGACAAGGGUCUUAGGAACCAAAAUAGACCAUUCAAUGUACUCAUAAGGAGAACCAACAAAUUUGGCAUAAACAUGCCCAUCACUAGCACGCCACAACACAUAAGAAGGGUUAAAGUCGCCGGCUUUGUUGGAAGGGGUGGCAUUGCCCUUCUUGACACCACCACCUUUCGCAUUGUUCUUCUUUUCCUUGGAGGCACUCUCUCCCUCCUUCACAAAAGUUUGCUUGAGAGGAGGAGGUCGUUCGGUCUUGUCAUUCUUCUUCUUGUUCUUGGGCUUGGGUGCGAACCCAAUCCCCUCCUUGGCUACAACUUCCUUUUGAUUACUCAAAAGGUCGUUGAGGUUCUUAUCACCUUGUAUGCACGACACAAGGCCUUUCUCAAGUUGCUCCUUCAGCUUUGCAUUCUCCUCAAUAAGAUGCACAUGCUCACUACAAGGGUUAGUAGCAUUUGCAUUAUCAAUUAACACCGUAUGAGGAAAAGUGGCUUUCUCCUUGGUUAGCUUCACUUGAAGUUGAUCAUGAGACUCUUUAAGACUAGCAUAAAUACCCUUCAAGGCCUUGUGAGCCUUGUCAAGUAUAUCAAACUCCUCCUUGAGUCUAGCAAGAUCAAUCUCAAGUUUGGCUUUCUCGGAAUUUAGCACACGAGAUACAACAAGAGCAUGAUCAAGAUCUUUCUUUAGUUCAGCAUGAUCAUCGUUGGAUGACUCCUCAAGAGCCAAACGAAGACCACGCUCUUCCUCAAGAGCAUUGGAAAGAUCUAAAAUCUCAUCGGCAUAGUCACGACUAUGCCCCUCCAUCUUAGAGAUGGUAUCUUCGUGAGCCUCGAUCAUGUCAUUGGCUUCACCAAGUUGUUCCAAGAGAGCAACGAAAUGCUUCUUGGAUUUACCCUUGAGUUUACCCAUAAAGGACUCAAACUCACUCUCCUUCACAUUAGAUCCCUCAUGUUCAUCAAUGCAAUCCGUCAAAGAAGGAUGAUUAAUGAUGGUAGUUUUGAUGUUGGAGUUACCUUGUUGGUGGCUUUAGCCAUGAGGCACUUGGCGGUGAUGCUCUCAUUGGGUGAGUCGAAGAGAGACACCCGUGGAGUCGUCGCAAUGGCAACGGAGGCCAUGGCACCCGACUCACCAUCUUCAUCAUCCUCAUUGUACUCUUCUUGUACCACCAAUGCCUUGGGAGGAGUCUUCUUGGUGAAGUAGCUCUUGUUGGGGAAAGACUUGGCCUUGUCCUUUCGGAUUAGCUUGCCACCAUUGUCUUCCCUCUUCUCAUAAGGCCACUCCACAACAAAAUGGCUCACAUUGCCACAACUAUAGCAAGUCCUCACACGUUGCUUGACCUUUGUGCCACUUGAAUUGUUCUUGUUGAAGUUGGGCCUAGAAUUCUUCUUGCUCCAAUAUUGCCUUGAAGCAAGAGCCAUGUGUUCAUGAUAGGCAUACUUUGUAUCUUCAGGGUUGCUCUCCUCCUCUUCCUCUCCGUCCUAUUCUUCCACAUUAACCUUGGCGUUUAGUGCAAGGUAGGGUUUCCUUGCUCUUUGAGAACGUAGCACUGCAUUGUCGGCGGUCUUGUCCAAGAUGCUCAUAGCCACGAACUCAUCCAACACUUCACUUGAGGACAAGGUGUGAAAGUCCGGCCUUUGACGAAUGACGGAGGACAUGGCCUUGUGGUAAGGCAUCAUUGCCUUGAGGAAUUUGCGCUUGAUCCAAUUGUCAUCCGUGUCCUUGCUUCCAUGACCUCGGAGUGAGAUCGCGAGUUUGGUUACUCUCCGUUAAAGCUCACGAGGUUCUUCAUCUUCUUUCAUUGCAAACUCAUCGGCUUCAUCUUGCACCACUUCAUAGUUGGAGCGCUGAAUGCUUGCGCUUCCCCUGUAGAGGGAAACAACUUGGUGCCAAGCAUCUUUGGCCAUGGAAUAGGGCCGAAGAUGAGGAAGAUCUUCAGGUGGAAUUGCUUCUUGGAUGAUGAAGAGAGCAUUCUCAUUGAAUUGAUUAUCCGUGGAUUCUUUAGGAGUGAAGUUGCUUCGGUCAUGCGGAUAGAAGCCUUCUUCAAUGAUUCUCCAAAGAUUAGUAUUCACAUGAUUUAAAUGACACUUAAAGCGAUAGACCCAAGAAUCAAAGUCCUCAUUUUUCACAAUCUUAGGGGCAGGGCCGGCAUGAUUCAAAUGAGUGGAAGGAACCGGUCCACCAUAGACAAGUGGAGGUUCCACAUGGGCAAAGAUGCCGGUGCCAUUUUCACCACUAGAAGAAGGAGCCUUUUCACGAGUAGCUUCUCCCUUGUCGGAGUUAGCAUCCGUCACCUUGCUAGUGGGAUCACCCACUUUCAACGGUGCGGUGGAUAAUUUAAGCCCUUCAAUGAAUUUGUUAAACAUGCGUUCAACCUCGGUCGUCAUGGAGGUUUUCAAUGUGUCCAAGGCCACAUUGAAUUCCUCAAAAGAGACCGCGGUUCCCCCAUCGGCCGUAGACGAGACCGGAUUCGCACCGGGGUGCUCUCCACACCGUCUACGACGUCAACCAUACUCUUCGGAUGGCAAAGUCCUUAAUAAAGAGACGAGGCUCUGAUACCAAUUGAAAGGAUCGAUAUAGUUUACUAGAGGGGGGUGAAUAGGCAACUAACAAUUUUUAGCCUUUUCUUAACCAAUUUAGAGUUUGCAUCAAAGUAGGUUGUCUAGAUAUGCAACUAGGUGAGCAACCUAUAUGAUGCAACAACAACAAGCACACAAGCAAGCAAGAGAUGCAACACAAUAUAAACUUGCACAAGUAAAGGUACGAAAUAACCAAGAGUGGAGCCGGUGAAGACGAGGAUGUGUUACCGAAGUUCCUUCCUUUUGAGGGGAAGUAUGUCUCAGUUGGAGCGGUGUGGAGGCACAAUGCUCCCCAAGAAGCCACUAAGGCCACCGUAUUCUCCUCACGCCCUCACACAAUGCGAGAUGUCGUGAUUCCACUAUUGGUGCCCUUAGAGGCGGCGACCGAACCUUUACAAACAAGGUUGGGGCAAUCUCCACAACUUAAUUGGAGGCUCCCAACGACACCACGAAGCUUCACCACAAUGGACUAUGGCUCCAUGGUGACCUCAACCGUCUAGGGUGAUCAAACACCCAAGAGUAACAAGAUCCGCUAGGAAUUAGUGGGGGGAAUCAAAUUUCUCUUGGUGGAAGUGUAGAUCGGGGCCUUCUCAACCAAUCCCAAGAAAAUCAACAAGUUUGAUUGGCUAGGGAGAGAGAUCGGGCAAAAAUGGAGCUUGGAGCAACAAUGGAGCUUUUGGGGGAAGAGGUAAGUCAACUUUGGAGAAGAAGACCCCCUUUUAUAGAGGGGGGAACAAUCCAACCGUUACCCCCCUAAACAGGCCCGCAGAGGGCAGUACUACCGCACGAGGCAGCGGUACUACCGCUGGGACCAGCGGCACUACCGCUCCCCCUUGCGGUACUGCCGUGCAGUCUGGGAGGGCUAGCGAAUGAGCAGGAGUUAGACCCAGUGCGGUACUACCGCGGUGGUAGGGCGGUACUACCGCUCUCGAGCGGCACUACCGCUUCUACUGCCGCUGCUUAGUGUCGCACAAUCCGACACGAGAGGCGACCCCCCCGAGUCAAUGCGGUAGGAGCCGUACCGCGGCGGUACUACGGCCGAGGACCCACCGGCGGUACUGUCGCUGCCGAGCGGUACUGCCGCCUGUGCCUCUUGAGCGGUACUACCGCUGGGCACCGCGGUACUACCGCUGGGACCAAAUCAUGCUCAAAAAAGAAAGGGAAAGAAACCUCCAUCGAAGCGGGAAGGCUCAGAGGGUGUGAAAAGGAUGUGUACGUGUUGAUUCCACCCUAGCCUGACCAAAGCGGACCCCAUCUUGAUAGUACGGUGACUCCUACGAAACAAGUCCACCUAAACAGAAACGAAAGAGCUACACCGUCCUGAUUAAAACUCCGAGGGGAAAGAAUCGUCUCGUGCCAAAGGAUGAAACUCUAAAAUACUUAACGCACACGAUUAGUCCGCAAAAGCAUUGUCAUCAAGCACCAAAACACUUUAGGGAUAAAUAUGCCCUUACAAUAUCCUUAGUCCUUUUCAGGUAUUUUAGGAUGUUCUUGACCGCUGUCCAGUGAUCCACUCCUGGAUUACUUCGGUACCUCCCUGCUAAACUAAUAGCAAGGCACACAUCAGGUCUGGUACAUAGCAUUGCAUACGAGAUAGAACCUAUGGCUGAAGCAUAGGGAAUGACUUUUAUUUUCUCUCUAUCUUCUGCAGUGGUCGGGCAUUGAGUCUGAAUCAACUUCACACCUUGUAACACAGGCAAGAACCCUUUCUUUGCUUGAUCCAUUUUGAACUUCUUCAAAACUUUAUCAAGGUAUGUGCUUUGCGAAAGUCCAAUUAAGCAUCUUGAUCUAUCUCUAUAGAUCUUGAUGCCCAAUAUAUAAGCAGCUUCACCGAGGUCUUUCAUUGAAAAACUCUUGUUCAAGUAUCCUUUUAUGCUAUCCAGAAAUUAUAUAUCAUUUCCAAUCAACAAUAUGUCAUCCACAUAUAAUAUUAGAAAUGCUACAGAGCUCCCACUCACUUUCUUGUAAAUACAGGCUUCUCCGAAAGUCUGUAUAAAACCAUAUGCUUUGAUCACACUAUCAAAUCGUUUAUUCCAACUCCGAGAUGCUUGCACCAGUCCAGAAAUGGAUCGCUGGAGCUUGCACACUUUGUUAGCAUCCUUUGGAUUGAUAAAACCUUCAGGCUGCAUCAUAUACAACUCUUCUUCCAGAAAUCCAUUCAGGAAUGCAGUCUUUACAUCCAUUUGCCAAAUUUCAUAAUCAUAAAAUGCAGCAAUUGCUAACAUGAUUCGGACGGACUUAAGCAUCGCUACGGGUGAGAAAGUCUCAUCGUAGACAACUCCUUGAACUUGUCGAAAACCUUGCACAACAAGUCGAGCUUUGUAGACAGUAACACUACCAUCAGCGUCAGUCUUCUUCUUGAAGAUCCAUUUAUUCUCGAUGGCUUGCCGAUCAUCGGGCAAGUCAACCAAAGUCCACACUUUGUUCUCAUACAUGGAUCCCAUCUCAGAUUUCAUGGCCUCAAGCCAUUUUGCGGAAUUUAGGCUCAUCAUCGCUUCCUCAUAGUUCGUAGGUUCGUCAUGGUCAAGUAACAUGACCUCCAGAACAGGAUUACCGUACCACUCUGGUGUGGAUCUUACUCUGGUUGACCUACGAGGUUCAGUAGUAACUUGAUAUGAAGUUAUAUGAUCAUCAUCAUUAGCUUCCUCACUAAUUGGUGUAGGAGUCACAGGAACUGAUUUCUCUGAUGAACUACUUUCCAAUAAGGGAGCAGGUACAGUUACCUCAUCAAGUUCUACUUUCCUCCCACUCACUUCUUUCGAGAGAAACUCCUUCUCUAGAAAGGAUCCAUUCUUAGCAACAAAUGUCUUGCCUUCGGAUCUGUGACAGAAGGUGUACCCAACAAUCUCCUUUGGGUAUCCUAUGAAGACACAUUUCUCCGAUUUGGGUCCGAGCUUAUCAGGUUGAAGCUUUUUCACAUAAGCAUCGCAGCCCCAAACUUUAAGAAACGACAACUUGGGUUUCUUGCCAAACCACAGUGCAUAAGGUGUCGUCUCAACGGAUUUAGAUGGUGCCCUAUUUAACGUGAAUGCAGCCGUCUCUAAAGCAUAACCCCAAAACAAUAGCGGUAAAUCAAUAAGAGACAUCAUAGAUCGCACCAUAUCUAGUAAAGUACGAUUACGACGUUCGGACACACCAUUACGCUGUGGUGUUCCGGGUGGCGUGAGUUGCGAAACUAUUCCACAUUGUUUCAAAUGAAGACCAAACUCGUAACUCAAAUAUUCUCCUCCACGAUCAGAUCGUAGAAAAUUUAUUUUCUUGUUACGAUGAUUUUCCACUUCACUCUAAAAUUCUUUGAACUUUUCAAAUGUUUCAGACAUAUGUUUCAUUAAGUAGAUAUACCCAUAUCUGCUCAAAUCAUCUGUGAAGGUGAGAAAAUAACGAUACCCACCGCGAGCCUCAAUAUUCAUCGGACCACAUACAUCAGUAUGUAUGAUUUCCAACAAAUCUGUUGCUCGCUCCAUUGUCCCGGAGAACGGAGUUUUAGUCAUCUUGCCCAUGAGGCAUGGUUCGCAAGUACCAAGUGAUUCAUAAUCAAGUGAUUCCAAAAGUCCAUCAGAAUGGAGUUUCUUCAUGCGCUUUACACCAAUAUGACCUAAACGGUAGUGCCACAAAUAAGUUGCUCUAUCAUUAUCAACUCUGCAUCUUUUGGCUUCAAUAUUAUGAAUAUAUGUGUCACUACUAUCGAGAUUCAACAAAAAUAGACCACUCUUCAAGGGUGCAUGACCAUAAAAGAUAUUACUCAUAUAAAUAGAACAACCAUUAUUCUCUGAUUCAAAUGAAUAACCGUCUCGCAUCAAACAAGAUCCAGAUAUAAUGUUCAUGCUUAACGCUGGCACCAAAUGACAAUUAUUCAGGUCUAAAACUAAUCCCGAAGGUAGAUGUAGAGGUAGCGUGCCGACGGCAAUCACAUCGACUUUGGAACCAUUUCCCACGCGCAUCGUCACCUCAUCCUUAGCCAAUCUUCGCUUAAUCCGUAGUCCCUGUUUCGAGUUGCAAAUAUUAGCACCAGAACUAGUAUCAAAUACCCAGGCACUACUACUAGAAUUAGUAAGGUACACAUCAGUAACAUGUAUAUCACAUAUACCUUUGUUCAUCUUGCCAUCCUUCUUAUCCGCCAAAUACUUGGGGCAGUUCCGCUUCCAGUUACCAGUCCCUUUGAAGUAGAAGCACUCAGUCUCAGGCUUAGGUCCAGACUUGGGCUUCUUCACUUGAGCAGCAACUUGUUUUCCGUUCUUCUUGAAGUUCCCCUUCUUCCCUUUACCCUUUUUCUUGAAACUAGUGGUCUUGUUGACCAUCAACACUUGAUGCUCUUUCUUGAUUUCUACCUCCGCAGCUUUUAGCAUUGCGAAGAGCUCGGGAAUUGUCUUAUCCAUCCCUUGUAUAUGAUAGUUCAUCACGAAGCUCUUGUAGCUUGGUGGCAGUGAUUGAAGAAUUUUGUCAAUGACACUAUCAUCAGGAAGAUUAACUCCUAGUUGAAUCAAGUGAUUGUUAUACCCAGACAUUCUAAGUAUAUGCUCACUGACAGAACUAUUCUCCUCCAUUUUGCAGCUGUAGAAUUUACUGGAGACUUCAUAUCUCUCAAUCCGGGCAUUUACUUGAAAUAUUAACUUCAACUCCUGGAACAUCUCAUAUGCUCCAUGAUGUUCAAAACAUCGUUGAAGUCACGGUUCUAAGCCGUAAAGCAUGGCACACUGAACUAUCGAGUAGUCAUCAGCUUUGCUCUGCCAGACAUUCAUAACAUCUGGUGUUGCUCCUACAGCGGGUUUGCCACCUAGCGGUGCUUCCAGGACGUAAUUCUUCUGUGCAGCAAUGAGGAUAAUCCUCAAGUUACGGACCCAAUCCGUGUAGGUGCCACCAUCAUCUUUCAACUUAGCUUUCUCUAGGAACGCAUUAAAAUUCAAAGGAACAACAGCACAGGACAUCUAUCUACAACAACAUAGACAUGCAAAAUACUAUCAGGUACUAAGUUCAUGGUAAAUUAAAGUUCAAUUAAUCAUAUUACUUAAGAACUCCCACUUAGAUAGACAUCCCUCUAAUCAUCUAAAUGAUCACGUGAUCCAAAUCAACUAAACCAUGUCCGAUCAUCACGUGAGAUGGAGUAGUUUUCAAUGGUGAACAUCACUAUGUCGAUCAUAUCUACUAUAUGAUUCACGCUCAACCUUUCGGUCUCAGUGUUCCGAGGCCAUAUCUGCAUAUGCUAGGCUCGUCGAGUUUAACCCGAGUAUUCUGCAUGUGCAAAACUGGCUUGCACCCGUUGUAUGUGAACGUAGAGUUUAUCACACCCGAUCAUCACGUGGUGUCUCGGCGCGACAAACUUUCGCAACGGUGCAUACUCAGGGAGAACACUUGUACCUUGAAAUUUAGUAAGAGAUCAUCUUAUAAUGCUACCGCCGAACUAAGCAAAAUAAGAUGCAUAAAGGAUAAACAUCACAUGCAAUCAAUAUAAGUGAUAUGAUAUGGCCAUCAUCAUCUUGUGCCUUUGAUCUCCAUCUCCAAAGCACCGUCAUGAUCACCAUCGUCACCAGCUUGACACCUUGAUCUCCAUCGAAGCAUCGGUGUCGUCUCGCCAACUAUUGCUUCUACGACUAUCGCUACCGCUUAGUGAUAAAGUAAACCAAUUACAUGGCGAUUGCAUUUCAUACAAUAAAACGACAACCAUAUGGCUCCUGCCAGUUGCCGCUAACUCUGUUACAAAACAUGAUCAUCUCAUACAAUAAAAUUUAGCAUCAUGUCUUGACCAUAUCACAUCACAACAUGCCCUGCAAAAACAAGUUAGACGUCCUCUACUUUGUUGUUGCAAGUUUUUACGUGGCUGCUACGGGCUGAGCAAGAACCAUUCUUACCUACGCAUCAAAACCACAAUGAUUUUUUGUCAAGUGUGUUGUUUUAACCUUCAACAAGGACCGGGUGUAGCCACACUCGAUUCAACUAAAGUUGGAGAAACUGACACCCGCCAGCCACCUGUGCGCGAAGCAUGUCGGUAGAACCAGUCUCGCCUAAGCGUACGCGUAAUGUCGGUCCGGGCCGCUUCAUCCAACAAUACCGCCGAAUCAAAGUAUGACAUGCUGGUAGCAGCCACGGAUGAUGGGGAACGCAGUAUGACUAUUAUCGCCCACAACACUUUGUGUUCUACUCGUGCAUAUAACAUCUACGCAUAGACCUGGCUCGGAUCCACUGUUGGGGAACGCAGUAAUUUCAAAAAAAUUCCUACGCACACACAAGAUCCAUCUAGGUGAUGCAUAGCAAUGAGAGGGGAGAGUGUUGUCUAUGUACCCUCGUAGACCGAAAGCGGAAGUGUUAUGACAACGCGGUUGAUGUAGUCGUACGUCUUCAUGAUCCGACCGAUCCUAGUACCGAAAGUACGGCACCUCCGCGAUCUGCACAUGUUCAGCUCGGUGACGUCCCACGAACUCUCGAUCCAGAUGAGUGUCGAAGGAGAGCUUCGAUAGCACGCCGGCGUGAUGACGGUGAUGAUGAAGUUACCGGCGCAGGGCUUCGCCUAAGCACUGCAACAAUAUGACCGGGGUGGAUUAUGGUGGAGGGGGGCACCGCACACGGCUAAGACAAUGUCAACUUGUGUGUCUCUGGGGUGCCCCCCUCCCUCGUAUAUAAAGGAGUGGAGGAGGGGGGAAGGCCUGCCCUCUAUGGCGCGCCCUGGAGGAGUCCUACUCCCACCGGGAGUAGGAUUUCCCCCCUUCCCUAGUUGGACUAGGAGAGGAAGGAAGGGGGAGGAAGGAAAGGGGGGCGGCCCCCACCCAAUUCGGAUUGGGCUUGGGGGGCGCUGUCGGUGUCAAAACCGGCGGAUCUCGGGUAGGGGGUCCCGAACUGUGCGUCUAAGGCGGAUGGUAACAGGAGGCGGGGGACACGAUGUUUACCCAGGUUCGGGCCCUCUUGAUGGAGGUAAUACCCUACUUCCUGCUUGAUUGAUCUUGAUGAUAUGAGUAUUACAAGAGUUGAUCUACCACAAGAUCGUAGAGGCUAAACCCUAGAAGCUAGCCUAUGGUAUGAUUGUUGUUGUCCUACGGACUAAACCCUCCGGUUUAUAUAGACACCGGAGGGGGCUAGGGUUUCACAGAGUCGGUUACAAGGGAGGAGAUCUACAUAUCCUUAUUGCCAAGCUUGCCUUCCACGCCAAGGAGAGUCCCAUCCGAACACGGGUCGAAGUCUUCAAUCUUGUGUCUUCAUAGUCCAACAGUCCGGCCAAAGGAUAUAGUCCGGCUGUCCAAGGACCCCCUAAUCCAGGACUCCCUCAGUAGCCCCCGAACCAGGCUUCAAUGGCGAUGAGUCCGGCGCGCAGAUUGUCUUCGGCAUUGCAAGGCGGGUUCUUCUCCAAAUUCUGAAUACCUGUUGAGUAGUGUCCGGCUUCCCAUAAAUGUUUCACUCCUUGGCUUCCGCGCCUAAUAAUGGCUAUCUUCCACGUGUCGAGCGAAUGCGAGAAGCUAGGUCAUUUUUACAUUUGCCACCCUAGCCAUGUGAGUAAAUCGUCUAUUAAAGAGACGGGGAUUCUCAGAUCCAGAUCACACCAUCCUCCCGCUGCGAGUAUCCAUCGGAGCGCGCCCGGAAAAAAAAUCCAUUCCAACAUGGCCGGCCGUCGCAGCUCCUCCUCUCGCUCCCGUAGCCCGAAGCCCGGCAAUUGGAAGAAGUGUUCCGUCCCCCACAGCCAAUUAGUGGAGUUACAGACCCAGGGAUUUCUCCCUCCAGCGUAUAUGGUCCCCGUUCGAGCCGGGCUCGCCACCUAUAAUGGCGGGGAGCAAGCGGAGAGCUUUCCCAACCCAUCCAUGGGGAAGCGGGUAUGCCUUGUCCCUUACUUAUUAAGAGGGCUCGGAUUUCCAAUUCAUCCGUUCCUCCAUGGGCUCCUGGAGUUCUACGGCCUCCAGCUGCAUAAUUUCACUCCUGCCUCCAUAUUACACAUCGCUGGCUAUGUCGCCCUUUGCGAGCUAUUUCUGGGCUGCGAAGCUCAUUUCGAGCUAUGGAAGAGGCUAUUCCGCCUCGUACCCCGUACACAGGAGGGGUCAAUAUACCAAGUGGGCGGAGCCGAAAUAUGGCGCAUCGCCGGGACCGGAUACCUGUCCGGUACUCCGAAGAGGACAUCCGAGGACUGGCCUUCGGAGUGGUUUUAUAUGGAGGACGUCCCCCUUCCAGACCCUAUUCGGAUGGGCCUUCCUGAGUUCGACAACGCUCCCUUGAAGAAACACCACAGCUAGCGCCCUCGGGGCCCGCAGGAGGAAGAUAACGGAGAAGUCCUCUACCUGAUGGGCCGGAUAAAAAUGCUGGCUCAAUCAGGACUGACGAUAAUCGAGGUUAUGUCAAUAUGUAUAAUGCGGGGGGUGCAGCCACUUCAAUAUCGGGGACAACCCAUGUGGCACUUCAACGGAGAAGACGAUGCCACCCGCCGCGGUCGUAAGGGACUGGACUCAGUCGCUGCUCUAGUAAAAAUCCUGUCCGAUUUGUACAAAGGAGAGGAAGAGGAGUUCAUCCGUAUUAAGCCACGGGAUGGAUUCUCCAUGUACAACCCUCUAAGCUGGGUGAGCUGCCACUUUUUACUCCAGACCGUUCCACUUUCUUUGUCAUAAAUAUUUACCUUGCUGUUUCAUAGCAGGAGUUGCGAAAAGCUGUGAGGGAGGUCCACAACCCGCCUCCACAACAAGAGGACCCUGACCGGGCCCUUGAUCCCGGACUCGAAGAGGAUCCGGACAUAUUUGUGGAACUGAUUGACAGGACGUUCUAUCAAUUGAGCUGCGAUGAUGCCAUGGUGGCCAUCAUUGCCGAUUAUCCUGGACUACUCCCUGCGUCGCAUGUAAGUAAAACCGGAGUCCCAACUUCCGAGAAGGGUCCCCUUUUCUGCACUUUUGCUACCGCACACAUAUGGUGUUUUACAGGGAAGGCCCUCGGGACGCCAUGCCGAACCCGCAGUGAUUCACCAACAAGGGGCACCGAAGCCGGGUAGGCUUAAAAGGAAAGCGGUCAGGACUGCACGCCGUCGCAGAGGUAUGAUACAGAACCCCGCUCUGUGGUUGUCGUCUUUUAAAAUAUAAUAACGUGCAUGUUUCCUAGUAGGAAAAACGCUCGCAGGACUAUAUCCGAAGAGGCUGCCGGUCACGCCUCCACCAGUCGGGCUUCAGAGCCGGACAUAGAGGCGGACGCUAACAUGGGGCGAACGCCGGAUGUUCCUCCUACAGAGGAUGCGGACAGGCUAUCCGCUACACACUCCGAAGUGGAGAGCCCUAUGAAUCACAGGCGUCGCCGGGCCGUACUCCGUGACGCUUGUUUCUCCCAAGAGGCGUUCGAUGCCUUCAACUCAGGAGACGCGUACAUCCGUGCUGCUCAAAAUGGUCUUGCCAGAGCCACGGACCAGUAUGUAAAGGAUAUACGGGUAAGAAAAUCUGAUGAUUAUGUAUAUGAGUGGCCCCUGAGACUUGAAACAGUUGACACAACUGAUUUAAGGAUCAUUAUAUGUGCAGGUUCUUACGGAGAAGAAUACCCAAUUGUCUCAAGAGCUGGAAGAGUGCAAAGCCCAGCUACGGGCCGCAGUUGCCGCAAUGAAGGAGUCCGAGAAGGCCCCCUCUGGUAACACUUGUCUCUAUCAAAAAGAAUGACAUGUACCGAUUAGUAUGCGGCAUGCAUGCAAAUCUAACAAUAGAUUCUGCAGAUGAUCCCGGGAUUAAUCCGGAGGUAGUGCAAGGGGAUGAGCAACAUGCUCAACGACAGUUAAAGGCUAGCGAGCGCGUGCUUAAGCAGGUUAGGCAGGAGAAAAACGAUCUCCAAGAUGCCAAUAUCCGGCUGAAUGUUGAACUGAAAGAUGUUCGGUCCCAACUUGUUGACUCCGUAAAGGAGAAUAAGAGGCUUCGACGCGGCUUUUAGUAAGUGCUUGAGCGAACUUUGUAUGGAGUUCGGCGAAGAAACCGGCUAACAGAGUUAUAUCUGUAGGUAUGUUGACGGGUCAUCCCGCAGAGGAAAUGCCCGGGUGUGCAGGUGAUCUUCUACCAGAGCUCUCACAACUGCACGAACAAGUUCGGCACGUGAUGCAGGGCAUUGCCCAAGCCUUGUGGCAAACCUCCUCCCUGUCAGGAGGCAUGGGGGAGCUUGUAGAGAAGCUCAAGGGAGCGCGGCGGCGCUUCCGAUUAUGGAAGAUAUCAGCCUGCCGACAAGGUGCAAGGGAAGCCUGGGCCAUGGUGAAGACGCGAUAUACCAAGGCUGACCCGAACCACAUGGCCGAGGUCGGACCUGUGGGGCCCGAUGGGAAAGAGAUCCCCGUCAGUUUGGUGUAUGACCAAGUAGAAUUAGCCGCAAAGUAUUCCCAAUAGGAUUGUAGGCUAGACAUCCUGUUGGAUGGUAUAGAAGAAGAAUUUAGUCAGUCUAAGUGACUGUGUACUUCAAGUGACAUGUAUUGUCCCUAGCCGGAUUGUAAACCAUUUGUCAUGGCGGACCUUUUCGCUUCAACCUCUGGACCCGACAGUCCAGAGUGUAUCCGAAUACCCGCUCAGUUAUGUAAAAACCGGGGUACGCGUGGAAACCAGGCGUAGGGGUCAUAAGUGCUUGAACAGACAAGUACCCAACUAGCUAUGUUAUAUUACAUGCAUAGUAAGAAACAUCUUCCAGGGAGAAUAGUUCCGUUAAGGGUUCCUUUCCCUGGGUACGCAUGCCCUAAUGUGCAUGUCAGAACUGCGAAAAGAGACGCAGGAUAUAAGCAUCUGGGGGCAUGUAUUAAAAUAAAUAAAAGUCAUCUUUUGUUCACUGACCGAGUAUUCCCUUAAGAACGCUAGCUUUCGGCUUCACCCAGUCUGAGGUACACAUCCGGGUGACCCGGCAGUAACAAUCGCAGAGAUGCUCCCCUUAUGCCCUAGCCGAAUUAACGGGAACGUAGGGCAUAAACACAAGAGCCAGGCAACCCAGCUUGGCCAAAACUUAAGUCAUAUCAAUGCUUAUAAUGGUGAAAAAAGGUACAUGCGGAAGAAUCACACAUGUGUGGGGCAUAGAGCCCAAAAAAUAGUUAUAUUAAGCUUCUGUAUAAGAAGCCCCCAGGUAUAAUGAGCGUGGUUAGCGCGUCAAGAUAGUGUAGUCAAGACACAAUUUAGCCUUUUAAGGCCUUGAAGAAAAAGGAAAAAGGAAAGAGAAAAGAGAAAAGAGACAGAUAACGGAUAUGUAAAAAAUUGACGGAGGUCAGGAGACGAACAUAGAAUCUGACACUAGGCAUAGAACCUUUGGAGUCUGGCUGCGUUCCAUGGGUUUGGCUCGAGUCGAUUGUCCGAUGCAUCCCGCAGACGGUACGCUCCACCGGUCAGAACUUGGUCAAUAAUGAAGGGACCUUCCCAUUUGGGCUUGAGCUUGUUCUUUUUCUUCUCCGGUAGGCGUAGAACGAGUUCGCCAACGUUAUAGGUUUUGGCCCGUACUUCUCUGCUUUGACACCUUCGAGCCUGUUGCUGAUAGAAUGCGGAACGGGCUUUUGCCACGUCACGCUCCUCCUCCAGGGCGUCCAAACUGUCCUGCCGAUCAAACUCGGCUUCUUUCUCUUCAUACAUGCGCACUCGAGGUGAGUCAUGAAUUACGUCGCAGGGCUGUACCGCCUCUGCGCCGUACACCAUAAAAAACGGUGUGUAUCCGGUAGUGCGAUUCGGCGUGGUCCGCAGCCCCCAUAGUAUGGAAUCGAGCUCCUCUACCCAGUGCAUGUUUGAUUCCUUUAAGGACCGCACUAAUCUAGGUUUAAUGCCGCUCAUGAUAAGACCAUUUGCUCGCUCGACUUGACCGUUAGUUUGCGGGUGAUAGACAGAAGCAUAAUCGAGCUUGAUGCCCAUGUUGCUGCACCAAAGUUUUACCUCGUUGGCUGUAAAGUUCGAGCCGUUAUCGGUGAUGAUGCUGUGGGGGAUGCCAUAACGGUGUACAACCCCAGAUAUGAAGUCUAUCACUGGUCGGCAUUCGGUCGUUUUAACUGGCUUGGCUUCUAUCCAUUUGGUGAAUUUAUCCACCAUGACCAAUAAGUAUUUUUUCUUAUGGCUUCGCCCUUUGAGGGGUCCGACCAUAUCAAGCCCCCAGACCGCAAAGGGCCAAUAAAUCGGGAUUGUUUGGAGAGCGGUAGGCGGCAUAUGGCUUUGGUUUGCAAAAAGCUGGCAACCGACGCAACGUUGGACAAGGUCCUGUGCGUCUGCUCGGGCCGUCGGCCAGUAGAAACCUGUACGGAAGGCCUUGCUUACAAGGGCCCGAGCUGUGGCGUGGUGACCGCCGAGUCCAGCAUGAAUUUUUGCCAAAAUUUGCCGUCCUUCCUCUUCAGAGAUGCACCUUUGAAGGACUCCGGUAGCGCUUUUCUUAUAAAGCUCUCCCUCGUGGACCUUGUAGGAUUUAGACCACCGCACAAUGCAACGUGCCUCGUUUGGGUCCUCAGGUAGUUCCUGCCUAGUUAGGUAGGCCAGGAAGGGUUCUGUCCACGGGGCGAUGACAGCCAUAAUCACGUGGGCGAAUAUGUUAUUUCGGUGGCAGAGCCGCAGAUUACGUCAGAGUGUUCGGUAUCUGGUGUUGUGGCCGGGUUCAGACUAUUGUUACCGGUCUCUCAUUCCCAUACCACGGAUGGCUUAAACAGCCUUUCCAAGAAGAUAUUAGGUGGGACAGGGUCGCGCUUAGCGCCUAUGCGGGCGAGGAUAUCCGCCGCCUGAUUGUUUUCCCGGGCCACAUGGUGGAAUUCAAGCCCCUCGAACCGAGCUGACAUUUUGAGGACGGCAUUGCGAUAAGCCGCCAUUUUUGGAUCCUUGGCGUCGAAGUUUCCGUUUAUUUGAGAUAUUGCAAGGUUCGAAUCCCCCCGCACCUCUAGGCGUUGAAUGCCCAUGGAGACUGCCAUCCGGAGACCGUGCAACAGGGCCUCGUAUUCUGCUGCGUUGUUGGAGUCUGUGUAUAGUAUUUGGAGUACGUACUGGACUGUAUCUCCGGUGGGGGAUGUCAGGACGACACCAGCCCCCAGACCCGCCAGCAUUUUAGAGCCAUCAAAGUGCAUGAUCCAAUUGGAGUGCGCACCGUAUUCUUUAGGGAGUUCGGCUUCUGUCCAUUCGGCGACAAAAUCAGCCAGUACUUGCGACUUAAUGGCUCACCGUGGUUUAUAUGUUAUGUCGAACGGGAGGAGCUCGAUAGCCCAUUUAGCAAUCCGGCCCGUGGCAUCGCGGUUAUUUAUUAUGUCGUUGAGUGGUACUUCCGAGGCCACCGUAAUUGAACACUCUUGAAAGUAGUGUCGUAAUUUCUGGGAUGCCAUGAAUACCGCGUACGCUAUCUUUUGAUAAUGUGGGUACCGUGAUUUGCAUAGAGUGAGGACAGUGGAUACAUAGUAUACUGGCUUUUGAAGUGGGAAUUUAUGUCCGUCCGUCUCUCGUUCGACGAUGAGCACUGCGCUUACAACUUGGUGAGUUGCCGCUAUAUAUAACAGCAUCGGUUCGCCGACAUUUGGCGCGGCCAAGAUUGGGUUGGUGGCCAGGAUGGCUUUUAUUUCUUCCAACCCGGCCGUGGACGCAUCCGUCCACUCGAAGUGUUCGCUGCGCCGAAGAAGGCGAUAAAGGGGUAGUGCCUUUUCUCCUAACCAGGAGAUAAAGCGGCUUAAGGCCGCCACGCAUCCAGUUAAUUUCUGGAUUUGCUUGAGGUCUGUUGGGAUAGCCAACUGUGACAGAGCUGGGAUUUUAGCCGGAUUUGCUUCAAUUCCUCUACUGGAGACAAUGAAGCCCAUGAGCUUUCCGGCGGGCACGCCGAAAACGCAUUUUUCCGGAUUGAGCUUGAUGUCGUAUGUUCGGAGAUUGUCGAACGUGAGCCUCAAGUCGUCUAUUAAGGAUUCGACGUGUCUAGUUUUAACGAGCACAUCGUCUACGUAUGCCUCCACUGUUUUACCGAUCUGUGUUUCCAGGCAUGUCUGAAUCAUGCGUUGAUAGGUUGCACCGGUGUUCUUAAGCCCGAAAGGCAUGGUGUUAAAACAGAAGGGGCCAUAUGGGGUGAUAAAUGCGUUGCGGCUUGAUCGGACUCCGCCAUCUUGAUUUGAUGGUAUCCGGAGUAUGCGUCGAGGAAACACAAUGAGUCGUGUCCUGCAGUAGCGUCGAUAAUUUGAUCGAUGCGGGGGAGGUGGCAGGGAUCCUUGGGCAAGACUUGUUAAGGUCCUUGAAAUCGACACAUAGGCGCCAGGAUUUAUCCUUCUUUGGUACCAUCACCAGGUUUGCUAGCCAGUCCGGAUGUUUUAUUUCUCUAAUGAAUCUGGCCUCCAGUAACUUGGCUAGCUCAUCUCCCAUGGCUUGUCGCUUAGGUUCAGAGAAACGCCGAAGAGUCUGCUUGACCGGCUUGAACCCCUUUAGAAUGUUAAGGCUAUGCUCGGCCAGCCUGCGUGGGAUUCCUGGCAUGUUUGAAGGAUACCAGGCGAAUAUGUCCCAAUUCUCACGCAGGAACUCCCGUAGUGCGGCAUCUACUGUGGGGUUUAACUGUGCCCCGAUGGAUGCUGUUUUUGUAGGGUCCGGUGGGUGGACUUGGAAUUUGACUAUCUCAUCCGCUGGUUUAAAAGAGCUGGACUUGGAUCUUUUGUCAAGUAUCACGUCGUCUCUGUCCACUGUGGAGCGCAGCGCAGUUAAUUCCUCGGCCGCGAGGGCUUCGGAUAACGCCUCGAGGGCCAGUGCGGCGGUUUUAUUUUCGGCGCGGAGUGCUAUCUCCGGAUCACUAGUAAUGGGGUAUGGCUUCGAAGAUCGUGAAUGCCUCAUGCCCUAGAAGGGCGUGGUAUCCGCUAUUGAACGGGGCCAUUUGGAAUGUGAUUUCUUCGGACCUAUAAUUCUCCGGUGUGCCGAAUACCACAUCUAGUGUGAUUUUCCCAGCACAUCGUGCCUCCCGACUAGGGAUGAUUCCUCUGAAGGUCAUGCUGCUUUGCUCAAUGCAGCUUCUGUCUAUUUCCAUUUUUCUAAGAGUCUCCUCAUAGAUGAGGUUUAAUCCGUUGCCGCCGUCCAUGAGCACUUUAGUAAGCCGGAAGCCGUACACAAUUGGACUAAGGACCAAGGCAGCUGGUGCUCUGGUUGUUCGUAAUUUAGGUUCGUCACUGGCGUUGAAGGUGAUGGUCGUAUCGCUCCAUGGAUUUAUUGCUGCCACGUGGCAGACUUCGGCAAGGCUGCGGAGUGCUCGCUUACGCCUAUUAUUUGAGGCGAAGGUCUCGAAGACUGUCAAUACUGUAUUGUUGUUCUCUACGGGAUGGUGCUCUACGGUAUUGUUGAUGAGGAGAUCCUCACCGCUCUUGGCCACCUGCCGGAGUACCCAACAUGCUCUAAGGCUGUGUGUUGGUAUGGUAUCCGUUGUACUGUGAAUUUUGCAUGUCCCAUUAAGCCAUCCCUCCAAUACGGUUCCACGCCCUGUAGUGGGCUUUUGCUUCUUUGUAAUUGGGUCGGGCGACUUACGAGAGUGCACCCUUUUAGUUCGUAUUGGGGGUUUUGUCAGAGCCGGAGGAUCCCAAAAUUUUGUUUGGGUUUUCCAGGCGCUUUCCAUCACACAGUACUUCCGUACUAUGGCUGCCAAGUCAGCGAAGUGUGCUAUGUCACGGCGACUUAUGGCGUUGAGGAUUCCCUUGUUUGUGCAAUUAUUGCAAAAGAAUGAAAUUGCGUCUUCCUCACGACAGUCCUUGACCUUGUUCAUUACAAGGAGGAAUCUGGCCCAAUAGUGGUGUACUAUCUCUUGGGGCUCUUGUCUAAUGUGGGAAAGAUCGCUUAUAUCUGGGUGGGUCAGUAGAUUUAGGUCCGAACCCUGGCCCGAUCUGAGACCCAGGGGCGGAGGAGUUUCCAAUCUUGGAAGUUCGGGCUCCGGGAUGUUGCCCAAUAGGUCUAGCCCGCUGCCUGAUUCUAAGUUCAAGGUUCGGGCCGUGUCCUCCCGUAGACGGGUAUCCGGAUCGGAGAGCUCAGGAAUUCGGACAUACUUUGUCCUCAAGAUAGAGGAAGAAUCGCCGCGUUGCUCCUCCACCACCGCUAUCUGAUGGGUGACCGGCGGGGAGUUAAUCUCCCUUUGGUCGGGUUUAAGCCCGAUCUGAUCAUAGUCCGUAGCGACUCCCAAGGCGGUGAUGCGAUCCAAGAGCUCGUUCAAGGAAUAGAGCUCCAUUGGAUCCAACUGCUCGGCGAAUUCCGAGCCGACAUGGAGGCUGUUUUCGAUGACCCGAGAAGUCAUCGUCGGCGCAGCGGCCGAACAGGCGGUCAUGACGAAACCACCCAGUCGGAGAGUUUGGCCUACAGCCAGGGCUCCCCCAGAAGUGAUGUUGUCCUUGACAACAAGACAAGCCAUCAAGCCUUAUGAUGACGACACAGUGGAACUCUCAAUGAAAGCACCAAUGUCGGUGUCAAAACCGGCGGAUCUCGGGUAGGGGGUCCCGAACUGUGCGUCUAAGGCGGAUGGUAACAGGAGGCGGGGGACACGAUGUUUACCCAGGUUCAGGCCCUCUCGAUGGAGGUAAUACCCUACUUCCUGCUUGAUUGAUCUUGAUGAUAUGAGUAUUACAAGAGUUGAUCUACCACGAGAUCGUAGAGGCUAAACCCUAGAAGCGAGCCUAUGGUAUGAUUGUUGUUGUCCUACGGACUAAACCCUCCGGUUUAUAUAGACACCGGAGGGGGCUAGGGUUACACAGAGUCGGUUACAAGGGAGGAGAUCUACAUAUCCGUAUUGCCAAGCUUGCCUUCCACGCCAAGGAGAGUCCCAUCCGGACACGGGUCGAAGUCUUCAAUCUUGUGUCUUCAUAGUCCAACAGUCCGGCCAAAGGAUAUAGUCCGGCUGUCCGAGGACCCCCUAAUCCAGGACUCCCUCAGGCGCCCCCUCUUAGGCUCCCUUCUCCUCUCUCCCACUAUGGCCCAAUAAGGCCCAUAUACUUCCCGGGGGGUUCCGGUAACCUCCCGGUACUCCGAUAAAUGCCCGAACUCACCCGGAACCAUUCCGAUGUCCAAACAUAGUCAUCCAAUAUAUCGAUCUUUAUGUCUUGACCAUUUUGAGACUCCUCGUCAUGUCCGUGAUCAUAUCCGGGACUCUGAUCUACCUUCGGUACAUCAAAACACAUAAACUCAUAAUUCUGAUCGUCACCGAACGUUAAGCGUGCGGACCCUACAGCUUCGAGAACUAUGUAGACAUGACCGAGAAACGUCUCUGGUCAAUAACCAAUAGCAGAACCUGGAUGUUCAUAUUGGCUCCCACAUAUUCUACGAAGAUCUCUAUCGGUCAAACCGCAUAACAACAUACGUUGUUCCCUUUGUCAUCGGUAUGUUACUAGCCCGAGAAUCGAUCGUCGGUAUCUCAAUACCUAGUUCAAUCUCGUUACCGGCUAGUCUCUUUACUCAUUUUGUAAUGCAUCAUCCCGCAACUAACUCAUUUGUCACAUUGCUUGCAAGGCUUAUAGUGAUGUGCAUUACCGAGAAGGCCCAGAGAUACCUCUCCGACAAUCGGAGUGACAAGUCCUAAUCUCGAUCUAUGCCAACUCAACAAACACCAUCGGAGACACCUGUAGAGCACCUUUAUAAUCACCCAGUUACGUUGUGACGUUUGGUACCACACUAAGUGUUCCUCCGGUAUUCGGGAGUUGCAUAAUCUCAUAGUCAUAGGAACACGUAUAAGUCAUGAAGAAAGCAAUAGCAAAUAAACUAAACGAUCAAGUGCUAGGCUAACGGAAUGGGUCAAGUCAAUCACAUCAUUCUCUAAUGAUGUGAUACCGUUAAUCAAAUGACAACUCAUGUCUAUGGCUAGGAAACUUAACCAUCUUUGAUUCAACGAGCUAGUCAAGUAGAGGCAUACUAGUGACACUCUGUUUGUCUAUGUAUUCACACAGGUACGAAGUUUCCGGUUAAUACAAUUCUAGCAUGAAUAAUAAACAUUUAUCAUGAUAUAAGGAAAUAUAAAUAACAACUUUAUUAUUGCCUCUAGGGCAUAUUUCCUUCAGUUUGGGAUGUUCGGAUUCAUUUUGAUGCACAACAUAAUCUGGAUAGGAAGAUAUGCAGCUCAGAUGUGACAUUUCUGAACAUAUAUGCACUGAUGCACACACAAGGUUAUUCCUUCUCUGAUGAACUGUACCACAUGAAGAAUUUAGGCAAAGCAGAGGAAAGAGAGCAUGGGUUAGAAUUGAUUGACACAAACAUCAAACUGCGGCAACUUAAGAAGGAAUAUGAGCAUAGUUUAGUUCUGAAUUUGCUAGUGAGGGCAACAACACCUUUUGUUAGUCAAAUAGAAGAAGAUUUGGUGAGAUCAAAGUACAUCAACGUCAGUUAGAGGAGAGAAGAAGAUUUAGCAACUAUAUUGUAUGAACCACCUUUAGUGUAUGAUCUCAGUGAGCCUUCAGUUCUUGCUGUAGAUGAAGAAGGUGUUGCUUUUCAUAGUCAGUGCACACAAGAGAGCAGAAAUUUCAGUAAGGGGAAGCUCAAAGCUGUAAUGGAGGAAGAGGCACUGCUAGAGGAGGGACAUAAUAACAGUGAUCACUCUGAGGCUGCAUAUGACAGUGAUAACAAUCCUUUCUGCAUGGAGAAGUACAGGAUAUGUGAAGACACAAAAUUAAUUGAGGGGAAUAAACUAGCAGAGCAAGAAGUUGAAUAUGAAGAUUCAGAUGAAGAUUUAGAAGAGGAACAAGUACAUUAUGAGGGUGACACUGAGGUUGAGGAUUUGUUUGAGAUGGAGUUGGAGGAGGAGAAGGAGAAGGAGGAUGGGGUCAAUGUUGUUGCAACAGAAGAAGCAGCAAUGCAAAAACCUGCAAAAAGGUGGAAGAAGCUGGUAGUUAGGAGAGGCCCUACUACUAGGUCACAUUCAAGUGUGUUGGAGGAGGUGAAACCUGAUUUCAUUCCUUCAUCAGAUGAAGAAGAUGAUGGGUUGCUGUUUGAGGAUGAAGAUGAUGGACAUGAGCCACUGUCAUUUGUCCUACCUAAAGGGAGGAAGAGUAGGGCCAAGAAAAGGAAACCAAGGAUCUGGUACAAUGACAAACUUGAGCAACCACAUCAGCAAUUAUGUAUGUACAUGUGCUUUAAGAAUCAACAGCAAUUCAGAGAUGCUUUUUUAAGCUUGCACAUCACACAGGCCAGAGACUUCAGGUAUCACAGAAAUUCAGACCAAAGGAUCAUUGCCUGUUGUAAGCAAGAGCACUGCUAGUUUUGCAUAGUUGCUGCAGUUAUCAAAGGGGAGAUAACUUUUGCUAUUAAGAAAAUAAGGCUGGAGCACACUUGCCCUAGAAGUACUGAGACAUCAAGGAUUAGUGCCAAGUGGCUUGCAAAUACCUAUGAGUCAUUGUCCAGGUCUGAUCCAACCACCAGCAUACACACUCUGAUUGACAACUGCAAUGAGAAGUAUGGUGUUGAUGUGCCAAGGCACAUGGCCUAUAGGGCCAAAAACCUUGUUGUAGAAGCUGUGCUAGGAGAGCACAAGAAACAGUAUUCCAGACUUAGGGAUUAUGCUCAGACCAUCAUGGAUACAAACCCUGGUAGUAGAGUUGUAGUUGCAACAGUUACUCCAAAACCAACUACAAAAAUACCACAUCUAGGACCAAGGUUUCAGGCUAUGUUCUUUUGCAUAAAUGGAGCAAGGGAGUGAUUUCUCAAUGGAUGCAGACCAUUCAUUGGUUAGUUAUGCCAUUAUCACUGCUGCUCAAAUCAUUGUUUAGUAGUGCUUUAUAGUGACUGAAAUAUAUAGUUUAGUAAUGCUUUAUAGUCCUUUUUACUGACUUAAAUAUAUAGUUUAGUAAUGCUUUAUAGUUCUUUUUAUUGACUUAAAUAUAUAAUGUAGUGGUUCUUUAUAGUUAUUUUUUGUGACUUAAAUAUAUAGUUAGUGGUGCUUUAUAGUUCUUUUUUGUGACUUAAAUGUGUAGUUUAGUAGUGCUUUAUAGUUCUUUUUAGUGACUUAAAUAUAUAGUUUAGUAAUGCUUAAUAGUCCUUUUUAGUGACUUAAAUAUAUAGUUUAGUAAUGCUUUAUAGAAGUUUAAAUUGUUCUUUGGUUGCAACAACAGGUGUUGAUGGAUGCUUUAUUAAGCUCGCCAUUGGUGCUCAAAUCCUAGCUGCCACUGGAAGAGGUUGGAAUAAUAAUAUUUCCCACUUGCAUUUGCUGUUGUUGGACAAGAGGACACAGCUAACUGGUGUUGGUUUCUACACCAACUGAAGAUAUGUCUAGGAGGAGAAGUUGGGAAAUUUGGGCCUUGUACUAUCAUGUCUGAUAGACAGAAGGUAUGCAUGCAUCUUCCUGUUAUGUUCUUCUGCAUUAGCAUGUUAUGUUCUAGAUGCAGUAGUACAGCAGCUAAGUCUAGCAUGCUAUGUGAACAGGGGCUACUAAAUGCAGUAAACCAAGUUUUUCCAAACUGCCAUCAAAGAUUGUGCCUUAGACACCUCCAUGCAAAUUUCCAGAAUGUUGGGUUUAGGGGUAAGAUCUUAAGAAAUGCAUGGAUAAUGCCAGCUAUGCUUAUAACCAGCACAAGUUUAACAUUGCCAUGAAUGACUUGAAAAAUGAGGGUGAGGAAGCUUGGAAGUGGCUAAGUGGAAUACCUAAGCACACAUGGGCUAGGCAUGCUUUUGACACUAACUGCAAGACAGACUUGGUUGUUAACAACCUGUCUGAGGUGUUCAACAAGUACAUCCUAGAUUUUAGGAAAAAACCUAUUAGGACUAUGAUUGAUGGUAUUAAGGACAAGAAGAUGGUGAGGUGGCAUAGGAACAGAGAGAGAGGAAAGGCAUCUCUGUGGGAGAUCACACCACAUUAGGCUGAGAAGCUUGAGGUGGAAAAGGAAAGGGCCAGAUUCUGCAAACCAAUUCAAGCUGGUGUAAAUCUUUGGCAAGUGACCAGUGGGCAGCAAACACAUGCCGUAAACUUGGAAGUUCAUACAUGUGGCUACAGAAAGUGGGACAUGUCUGGCAUACCAUGCAACCAUGCAAUAUCAGCAAUUAACAAGGCAAAAAGAUUUCCAGAGGACUAUGUCUGCAAUUUCUUCAAAAAACCUUUUUACCUUGCUGCAUAUGAACCAAUGAUAUAUCCAGUUCCUGGUGAACAUGAUUGGACAAGGACAAGUGGACCAGACAGAGAGCCACCCAAAUUUCAUGUGAAUAAGGGGAGAAGGAAAGAGAAGAGAAUAAAGGGCAGAUUUGAGGUUCCAAAACCAAAGGACAGUUCAAGAAUGGCCACUAUAACAUGCAGCAACUGUGGGCUCCAAGGCCAUAGGUACACCAACUGCAAGCAACAGUUGAGACCAGAGUUGGCUAUGAGGAAAAACAAGCAGUGGUAAACCCUUGUGAAUUGUACUUGUUAAUUGGUCUUCUUUCCUUAUAUGUUUUAUGUGCUAAACCCUUGUGACUAACUAGCAUGUUUCCUUGUAUGUUUGCAAGGCACCUGCAAGAUCAAGGAAUGAAGCUACUCCACCUGCAAGAUCAAGGAAUGAAGCUACUCCACCCGCAAGAUCAAGGAAUGAAGAUACUCCAUCAGGAUCACAGCAGCCACCAGCAAGGUCUGCUACUACAAGAUCUGCUUUUGCAAGAUCUGCUACUUCCAGAUCUGCUAGAGGGUCAGCUAGUGCAAGAUUUGCAAGGCCUUUCACUGCCCCAAGAUUUGCUGCUGGAGCUUCAUCUUCUGGUCCUUCUACUUCUGGUGCUCCUUCAAGUGUCCCAGGGAAUUAUACUCGCUUGAUGUCAUUCUUUACUGCCAGUGGUAACACUUGAGCGAUAGAAUGGUGCAACUUUGGUAGUGUAACAGAAAAUGCUUAUGGUUUUUGCUUCUGAACUAUGUUAUUUGUGCUACAAAACCAUGUAUGUUCUGAUGGAGUAGUAAGUUGCGUCUGAUGUGUACUAUCUGGUCAUUUGUGAACAUAUCAUGCUCUUGUCAACAUAUUAUGCCUGCAAUAUCUGCAAUAUUUGGUCAUUUGGUAUUAUUCAAGAAUUCAAUGCUUUUUGUGUUGUUGCAAAGAUGCUCCUGUCAACAUAGCAUGCACAUAAAUUUGGUCAUUUGUCAAGAAACCAUGCUCAUGUCAAUAUUAUUCAACAUUUUAGAUCAGUUUAGAUCAUGCUCAUUAUUCAAGAUAUCACGCAACAAGGCAAAUGCACAAACUGGAUGAUAAUGCCACAAUGGCCACAUACUUCAUUACGAGGAUCAACAUACCAAAUCUUUUUUACAAAGACACCUGACACAUUACUAGGAUCAACAAUACUAGGAUCAACAUUCAGUUCCAGCAACACCUGACACUAACCAACCAUUCUCCUUACAAGGAUCAACCUGACCACAACUUGCAUCUUCAGUGCCAAAAGAUCACUUGAGUCUAAACCACUGACCAGUACUACACUGCAUACAACUAACACUAAACAAGCUUACUGCAGCAGCAUCUUGGCUGUCACUAAAACUACCACAAAGACAAGAAAAAGAAAGACAGCAUUUUGAUAUUUCCCCUUCAGUGCAUCUAUCUCUGCAUUUUUCUCCCUGAGCUGACCUUCCAAAGACAUAACCACCACCUCUCUUCCUCUUUGAGCUUCAGGCAGAGCCACAACUACAGUGUCGGUAACUCGGUUACUAUCGCUACCGCUACCGCUUAGUGAUAAAGUAAAACAAUUACAUGGCGAUUGCAUUGCAUACAAUACAGCGAAAAACCAUAUGGCUCCUGCCAGUUGCCGAUAACUCGGUUACAAAACAUGAUUAUCUCAUACAAUAAAAUUCAGCAUCAUGCCUUGACCAUAUCACAUCACAACAUGCCAUGCAAAAACAAGUUAGACGUCCUCUACUUUGUUGUUGCAAGUUUUACGUGGCUGCUACGGGCUUAGCAAGAACCGUUCUUACCUACGCAUCAAAACCACAACGAUAGUUUGUCAAGUUGGUGUUGUUUUAACCUUCGCAAGAACCGGGCGUAGCUACACUCGGUUCAACUAAACUGAGAGAGACAGACACCCGCCAGUCGCCUUUAAGCAACGAGUGCUCGCAACGGUGAAACCAGUCUCGCGUAAGCGUACGCGUAAUGUCGGUCCGGGCUGCUUCAUCUCACAAUACCGCAGAACCAAAAUAUGACAUGCUGGUAAGCAGUAUGACUUAUAUCGCCCACAACUCACUUGUGUUCUACUCGUGCAUAUAACAUCAACGCAUAAAACCAGGCUCGGAUGCCACUGUUGGGGCACGUAGUAAUUUCAAAAAAAUUCCUACGCACACGCAAGAUCAUGGUGAUGCAUAGCAACGAGAGGGGAUAGUGUUCUCCAUGUACCCUCGUAGACCGAAAGCGGAAGCGUUAACACAACGCGGUUGAUGUAGUCGUACGUCUUCACGAUCUGACCGAUCAAGUACCGAACGCACGGCACCUCCGAGUUCAGCACACGUUCAGCUCGAUGACGUCCCUCGAACUCCGAUCCAGCCGAGUGUUGAGGGAGAGUUUCGUCAGCACGACGGCGUGGUGACAAUGAUGAUGUUCUACCGACGCAGGGCUUCGCCUAAGCACUGCUACGAUAUUAUCGAGGUGUAAUAUGGUGGAGGGGGGCACUGCACACGGCUAAGAGAUCAAUGAUCAAUUGUUGUGUCUAUGGGGUGCCCCCCUGCCCCCGUAUAUAAAGGAGCAAAGGGGACGCGGCCGGCCAAGGAGGAGGGCGCGCCAAGGGGGGGAGUCCUACUCCCACCGGGAGUAGGACUCCUCCUUUCCUUGUUGGAAUAGGACAAGGGAAGGGAGAAGGAGAAAGAAGGAAGGGGGCGCCCCCCCUCCCUAGUCCAAUUCGGACUAGUCCAUGGGGAGGGGUGCGGCCACCCUUUGGGGCCUUUCUCUCCUUUCCCGUAUGGCCCAUUAAGGCCCAAUACGAAUUCCCGUAACUCUCCGGUACUCCGAAAAAUACCCGAAUCACUCGGAACCUUUCCGAAGUCCGAAUAUAGUCAUCCAAUAUAUCGAUCUUUACGUCUCGGCCAUUUCGAGACUCCUUGUCAUGUCCCCGAUCUCAUCCGGGACUCCGAACUCCUUCGAUACAUCAAAACACAUAAACUCAUAAUAUAACCGUCAUCUAACUUUAAGCGUGCGGACCCUACGGGUUCGAGAACUAUGUAGACAUGACCGAGACACGUCUCCGGUCAAUAACCAAUAGCGGAACCUGGAUGCUCAUAUUGGCUCCCACAUAUUCUACGAAGAUCUUUAUCGGUCAGACCGCAUAACAACAUACGUUGUUCCCUUUGUCAUCGGUAUGUUACUUGCCCGAGAUUCGAUCGUCGGUAUCUUAAUAUCUAGUUCAAUCUCUUUACCGGCAAGUCUCUUUACUCGUUUUGUAAUACAUCAUCCCGCAACUAACUCAUUAGUUACAAUGCUUGCAAGGCUUAUAGUGAUGUGCAUUACUAAGUGGGCCCAGAGAUACCUCUCCGACAAUCGGAGUGACAAAUCCUAAUCUCGAAAUACGCCAACCCAACAAGUACCUUUGGAAGCACCUGUAGAGCACCUUUAUAAUCACCCAGUUACGUUGUGAUGUUUGGUAGCACACAAAGUGUUCCUCCGGUAAACGGGAGUUGCAUAAUCUCAUAGUCAUAGGAACAUGUAUAAGUCAUGAAGAAAGCAAUAGCAAGAUAAUAAACGAUCGAGUGCUAAGCUAACGGAAUGGGUCAAGUCAAUCACAUCAUUCUCCUAAUGAUGUGAUCCCGUUAAUCAAAUGACAACUCAUGUCCAUGGCUAGGAAACAUAAACAUCUUUGAUCAACGAGCUAGUCAAGUAGAGGCAUACUAGUGACACUCUGUUUGUCUAUGUAUUCACACAAGUAUUAUGUCUCCGGUUAAUAUAAUUCUAGCAUGAAAAAUAAACAUUUAUCAUGAUAUAAGGAAAUAAAUAAUAACUUUAUUAUUGCCUCUAGGGCAUAUUUCCUUCACUUACAACCAUAAUUAAUAGAUUCUUACAACAUUAGCUAAAGACCAUAGCAUAGUGGAGUUCAACAUUGUUCAUAACUACUACAUCCAUACAUUACACUUCAUUAAACCACCCUUCACAAAAUAUUAGCAAAGCCUUUUAUCAAAGCAACAUAUAUCAUGACAUAUGAUAGGUAUGCUCUGCUUCAUCUACCCAGAUCAUCUUCAUCAACCUCAUUCCUUCAAGAUGUCAUGGAUCAACUUCAACUUAUCUUUGCUCUUCUCCAGUGAAUUGAACUGACUAGCUAGCUGGAGCUUUAACUCAUCCCUGCAUUUUAUCAGAUUCUCAUGUCCCCUCUUGAGAUCAGACAUGUGAAGGUUCAGCUGCACAUUCUCUUCUGUGAGUUUUUUCACAUCCUUGGUGAGCUCAUCAACCUGAAUCUUUAAAUUGUUGUUGCCUUCAGUUAGCUUUUCCUUCUCUUUCAAAUGAUUCAUCUUCAGGUUCCUAAUGACACUGCCUUGAGCUUCUACCAGGUUCAUCAGCACUUUAUACUUCUCUUUCAGCUUGAAGUUCUCUGCCUCUUUCUGAAGGAAAUAUGCCCUAGAGGCAAUAAUAAAGUUAUUAUUUAUUUCCUUAUUUCAUGAUAAAUGUUUAUUAUUCAUGCUAGAAUUUUAUUAACCGGAAACUUAGUACAUCUGUGAAUACAUAGACAAAACAUAAGUGUAGUAUGCCUCUACUUGACUAGCUCGUUUAUCAAAGAUGCUUAUGUUUCCUAACCAUAGACAUGUGUUGUCAUUGAUGAACAAGGUCACAUCAUUAGGAGAAUGAUGUGAUGGACAAGACCCAUCCGUUAGCUUAGCAUUAUGAUCGUUAAGUUUUAUUGCUAUUGCUUUCUUCAUGACUUAUACAUGUUCCUCUGACUAUCACUACUGGAAUCCACUUCUCUGUCGUCCGCCACUUCUUUGCCGUCAGCUAGCGGACGGCAAAGAAGGCUUUGCCAUCAGCCACCAGAAAACUGAUGGCAAAGAGGCAGCGGACAGCAACGGAUGGCUUUGCCAUCAGCAUAUAUCUUUGCCGUCCGCUUGCUGGCGGCAAAGAGGGUGGGUGGCGGGCGUACGAGGGCGACCUAACGGCCAUCUUCUUUGCCGUCUGCUGGCUGACGGCAAAACUUCUUUGCCGUCCGUCAGCGGAUGGCAAAGAAGAUGGCCGUUAGUUUGUCCGUUUCCCCCGGUCCCACCCCACUAGGUACGCUCUUUGCCGUCUGCUGGCAGACGGCAAAGAGCUGUGACCUAGCAGAUAAGGGGUCGCGCCCGCGCUCUAUCUGUCCAUUUCCCCUCUCUCCCUGCCCGAGCCGCCCAGACCCCUCACCCCUGCCGCCGCCCGGCCGUGCCGCCGCCCGCCCCGCCCANNNNNNNNNNNNNNNNNNNNNNNNNNNNNNNNNNNNNNNNNNNNNNNNNNNNNNNNNNNNNNNNNNNNNNNNNNNNNNNNNNNNNNNNNNNNNNNNNNNNNNNNNNNNNNNNNNNNNNNNNNNNNNNNNNNNNNNNNNNNNNNNNNNNNNNNNNNNNNNNNNNNNNNNNNNNNNNNNNNNNNNNNNNNNNNNNNNNNNNNNNNNNNNNNNNNNNNNNNNNNNNNNNNNNNNNNNNNNNNNNNNNNNNNNNNNNNNNNNNNNNNNNNNNNNNNNNNNNNNNNNNNNNNNNNNNNNNNNNNNNNNNNNNNNNNNNNNNNNNNNNNNNNNNNNNNNNNNNNNNNNNNNNNNNNNNNNNNNNNNNNNNNNNNNNNNNNNNNNNNNNNNNNNNNNNNNNNNNNNNNNNNNNNNNNNNNNNNNNNNNNNNNNNNNNNNNNNNNNNNNNNNNNNNNNNNNNNNNNNNNNNNNNNNNNNNNNNNNNNCCACCCGGUCGCACCGCCCGGCCCUGCCCCGCCACCGCCCCGCCCGUCAUCGUGGUGAGUUUUUUUCUUCCGUUUUUUUAGAUUUAGUUUAUAUUUGUUUAGUUUAGGUUAGUUUAUUUUAUUUAGUUUAGUUUAGGUUAAUUUAGUUUAUUUUAGGUUACAUUUAGUUUAUAGUUUUGUUUAGGUUUUUUUUCCUGUUUUUAAGAAUUAUCAAGAAAGAUGAAAAAAAGAAAAAGAAGAAGAGGAAGAAGAAGAAGAAAAAAGAACAAUAAGUAGUAGAAGAAGAAGAAGAUGAAAAAAAGAAGUAGAAGUUGAAGAUGAAAAAAAGAACUAGGAAAAGAGGGUGCCCGGGGACGAGCAGGUUAGGGGGUUCCUCGGUGUCGAUGGAACCCUAAAUAGCAAGUAUCGUCGGUGCAAGGUACAUGUGGCCGUCGGUGUCGAAUACUACAUCCACGUCCCACAAGUGACGCCAACGUCCGGCGUCCCAAAGCAACUGUUCUCGGGGUCGAUGGCGGUCGAACACCAUUGCGAAUUUGUCUGGCAGCCUCUGUGAUGACGAUUAAAAGGCAAGUGUUGAAACUUGAAACACCCAAACUGACUCAAGUCGGUUUGGUUGUUUGAAAUUUCAAAACUUGGCUUUAAUCCUCAUCGCAGAGGCUGCCAGACAAAUUCGCCAAGAAGUUCGACCGUCAUCGGCCACCAGAACUAUUGUUGCGGGACGCCGGGCGCCGGCUUCACUUGUGGGAUGUGGAUCUAGUGUUCAACGCCGGCCGCCUCAUGUAACUUGCACCGAUCAUAGUUGCUAUUUAGUUUACCCACGGAUGAGCGGGUUAGGGGGUCGCUAUGUUACUCAUCUUUGGAUUUAAAUGUGCAGUUAUUUCGUUGCUGCGAGGGUCUAGUGUUCGACGAGCUCCGCCCCUGCGUUCGUUGGUGAGCACAAAUGACAUCUCCCGAUGAAACUUGCUAGCUACAGGUGUCAAUCAUCAGUAUGUGUAACCACGAUGCGUCUCCCAUUCGAAAGGGUUACAUCUAUAAAUAUGCAUGCAUUUGCAUAUUUAUAAUCGUGAUUCUUUCGAAUUGUCCAACGUUAUCCAUGGACAGCCCGAGUAUGUGUAGAUUGGGUUCGUUUUCCCAUAUGCUCAGCUCCGGAUCCGAUGCAGAAUUUCGUCAGUGCCUGCCUGUUGUUCUCCGGGUACACAUUCUCUCUGCUUAUUGCCGAGACGUGUAUCAGGAGAACAGCGGGGAGGUGCUGCCAAAAUUUUGCGUCGGAUCCGGAGCAGAGCAUGUGAAAACGAACCCGAUCUACACAUACUCGGGUGGGAUUAGGACCUAUCUUUACAUAUUAGUGUGUAUGUUGCAUGGACGUAAUAAAACUGACAAACUCCAUUAACUGAUGGAUAUGGUUUGCUUAAUUAUGUAUAUAUUUCUUGUGUGUCCAGUAGGAAGUCAAUAUGAGUGAUCGUGCAUGGAUGUACACCGGUUACACUAGUCAGAAAGUUUGGACCGAGGAAUGCUUAACAAAAACCAAGGGGUUUGUUAGAGCCGCAUUUGCAAAUGGCCAGGAAUUUAGCUGGUGCCCCUGUGCCCGUUGCGACAACUAUAAAAAGAGGGACGGGCUUGAAAUGAGUAAAGACCUGCAGAAGUUUGGUUUUACGCCUGGUUACACGGUCUGGACAUUACAUGGUGAGUCUGCCCAACGUGCCAGAGCCGAGGUUCGUUGUCGCACCGACGAGCAUGGUACCGGGACCGCAGACAUGGUGCAAAACUUUGACGAUGCUCGGGACUCGGACGAGGAGAUGGAGGAAUCUGCAAAGGCCUUCACUUAAAUGUUGGAGUCCUCAAAACGUCCUCUCCACGAGCACACUGAGCUUUGUCAGCUAGAUGCCAUCUCACAAAUAAUGGCUUUGAAGGCUCAAUUCAACUUGGGCAGAGAAUGCUACGACGCGAUGAUGACAGUAUUCGGACGAUUUCUACCCAAAGGCCAUGUGCUACCUCCAAACCUGUACCAGUCAGACAAAAUCCUCCGUGCUCUUAAGAUGCCCUAUGAGAAGAUACAUGCCUGUGAGAAAGGAUGUGUCUUAUUUAGGCUUCAGUAUGAGGACUUGAAUUAUUGUCCCAUUUGCAAUUCUUCCAGGUAUGUUGUGGUAGACAACGGUAUGGGUGAGAAGACGCAGACCGAAAUACCCGUUAAUAUUCUUCGGUAUGUGCCAAUCGUACCAAGACUUCAACGUCUUUUCAUGGUCGAAGAGACAACCAGACAGAUGACAUGGCACAAAACAGGCAAAAGAACCGAACUAGAUGCAGAUGGGAAUGUGAUGAUGGUGCACACAUCGGAUGGUGAAGCGUGGAAGCGCUUCGAUGCAUUACAUAAGGAAAAAACGGCAGAUCCAAGGCAUCCUCAAGUCGCCGUCAGCACAGAUGGGUUCAGUGUGUUUGGUCAGAUGGCAGCCCCAUACAGGUGUUGGCCCGUGUUUGUCAUUCCACUCAAUCUCCCCCCCCCGAGCAGAUUAUGCAACGAAAGAAUAUUUUCUUGGCGUUGAUAAUUCCACGACCCAACUAUCCGGGGAAGAAUAUGAAUGUGUACAUGCAGCCGCUUAAGGACUAAUUGCAAGAAGCUUGGGAUAAUGGGUUCAAGACAUACGACGCCUUUACCAAACAGAACUUCAUAAUGCGUGCCUGGUACAUGUACUCGACGCAUGACUUGUCGGCGUAUGCGCUAUUCGUUGGCUGGUGUGUGCAUGGAAGGUUCCCGUGCCCCACAUGCAAGGGAGCUCUUGAGUUUCGUUGGCUGACGGCAGGGCGCAAGUAUAGUUGCUUCGACUUGCAUAAACCGUUUCUACAUCCUAGCCAUAAGUUCAGGAAAGACAAGAAGAACUUCAUCAAAGGUAGAGUUGUCAAACACUCUGCACCACCAGCGUUGACAGGCCAACAGACCCUAGAUCAGUUAAAUGCUCUCGAGCCAGAUCCAGAGCGUCCAGGGUAUUUCAAGGGGUAUAAUAAGGAACACGCCUGGACUCACAAGACAUGCUUCUGGGAUCUGCCUUACUUCAAAGACCUCCUUUGCCCACACAACAUCGACAUGAUGCACACUGAAAAGAAUAUCGUCGAAGCCAUUUUUGGUACAUUGUUCGGCAUAGAGGGGAAAUCAAAGGAUAAUACUAAGGCUAGAGUCGAUUAAGAGGAGCUAUGUGAUAGACCGUUACAAAACAUGAAAGAACCGAAAGGAAAGGGGGUCAACUGGACGAAGCGAAAGGCAUGGUUCAAUCUUGGAAGGCCAGCUAUGAAGGAAAUUAUUUUGUGGGUGAAAAUGCAGUUGAUGUUCCCCGAUGGGCAUGUAGCAAAUCUAAAGAGGGGAGCGAAUCUUCAAAAAUUGAAAAUAUUUGGUCUAAAAAGUCAUGAUUGGCACAUAUGGAUUGAGUGGAUAAUGCCGGUGAUGUUGCGUGGCUUCAUCCCUGAGGAUGAAUGGCUAGUAAUGGCAGAGCUGAGCUAUUUCUUCCGUGUUCUUUGUGCGAAAGAACUAUCGCCUGGCCUCCUAGAAGAAAUGGAACAGUUGGCGCCGGAGUUGAUCUGCAAGUUAGAGAAGAUCUUUCCGCCAAGCUUCUUUAAUCCAAUGCAACACUUGAUUUUGCAUCUCCCGACCGAGGCACGAUUGGGGGGGGGGGGCGUGCAAAAUCGUUGGUGCUACUCAACUAAGAGGAUGCAGAAGACGCUUCGAGCAAAAUGUAAAAAUAAACGUAGAAUAGAAGCAUCGAUGGCGGAGGCAUUCAUCACUGAGGAGGCGGCAAACUUCGUGACCGCACACUACGAAGCCAAAAAUCGUCAUUUGCAUAAUCCGAAGCCUUGGUACAAUGCUGACGAACCUCAAAAGGGUCAAUCCAACCUCAGCCUAUUCAAAGGGAAUCUCGCACCAGCCGGUGGUUGGAAACCAGUAAGGUUGGAUGUUGAAGAAUGGCGGACCAUUUCGCUGUAUCUCUUCAACAACCUAACAGAAGUGCGGCUGUACAUCGAGUAAGAUCUCGGUACAUUGUUUCACAACUUCUAAUUCCUUUGAACUUCUCUUAUUCCUGGAUUUUUCAUGCAGUCGAUACGCCGCCAUAUUCUCAUAUGGAGCGGUGAUCCAAAAGGAUUCCGUCGAAGAGUAUGAGCUUCUGGCAAAACAAGGAGCCGAGUUUCCCGGUUUCAUCUCUUGGUUCAAAAAAUGGUAAUUUCCAUUAGACCCUUUUUUUCUUUGGCUAAUUUGCGACUAAUGCAACAAUCCUUUUGUAUUAAACUUGUAGGCUAAUUCAGAGAUUAUGGAUGCCGAAUUCAGACAAGUAGCUAAUGGUUUUGACUAUAAGGUCCGUUCAUUUGACAAAUACGACAUCAACGGGUAUCGCUUUCGUACCUAUGGCAAAGAGCUAUCUAUGGCCGACCGAAAGUCUACAAAUUGUUGUGUCUCUGCUAUCGGCGAAGGAGGUAUCGAGUAUUAUGGAAGACUUGAAGCAAUUUAUGAACUUGAAUUCUAUGGUGAAAACCCACCAAACGUCAUAGUCUUCAGAUGUUAUUGGUUUCAGCCGAGGGAGACUAGAAGGACUCAUGAACAUAUAGGGCUAGUCGAAAUCAAACAAAGCACCCAUUUGGAUGUUCCCGAUGUCUAUAUUACGGCUCAACAGGCAACCCAAGUUUUCUAUCUACCGUGGGCCUGUCAAAGUGAUCCAAAUCUCAGUGGUUGGGACGUUGUUUAUGAAGUGCCGCCACGUGUUAGACCACCUCCCCCCAAUGAAAAGGAUUAUGAACCUCACAUUAACCAAGACACAUAUGACGAAGGAGAAUUCUUCCAAGAAACACGUCUUUCCAAAAAACGUUUCAAGAACCGCUCUACUCCACCCCAGAACAUUGAAGUAGACAACGAUAGUGAAUCCGACUUCACCCCUGAGCUGGAACAAGAAGAGCCAGAAGAAGAAGAAGAAGUUAAAUUUAGUUGAAAAAGAAAAUGAGUAUUUGAAAGAAAAAUUAAAAGAAUUGAAGAAGAGAAGAUGACAUUGGAGUUGUAUGUUGCCGAUGCCAUCGAUGAUCACAAGAUGAAGAUGAAUGCAAUGCGCUUGAAGAUGGAUGCAAUGUGCCUGAAGCUUAAGAAGAUUAGAAAAUAUGCCAUUGAUAAUGAGGCUUGGUAUCAUUAUGCCGUUGGAUCAAUUGUUACCUUAGUUGCGAUCUUCAUCACAUUUGUUGUGAUGAGGGUAAGUUUUCUCUAGUGUUUUGCUUUACAAAUGGAUACUUAGCUUAUUUUCCUCCUAAAUGGCAUAAUUACCUAAGUUAGAUAAAAUAUAAGCUAUACUUAGCUUAUUCAGUUCAUUUAUGACAUACUUAGCAUACUUAGGUAAAAAAUGGCAUGAUAAUCUUUGUUAGCUCCAAAAUGAUAUAGACUUGGCUUAUUUUCCUCGAAAAUGACAUAAUAACCUUACUAAGCUCCAAAAUGACGUAUUUACAUACCUUAGCUCUAAAAUGACCUACACUUAGCAUUUUUACCUAGCUUAGAAAAAGAAAGAGAAGAAAAAAAAUCUUCUUCUUCUUCUUCUUCUAACUAGUCUUCUUCUUCUUCUUCUUCUUCUUCUUCUUCUUCUUCUUCUUCUAACUUUCAUCUUUCCCAAUUUGCAGAUUUGCUUUACAUGAGGAAGCUUGGAUUCAUGGAGUGUACUAUUCUUGUGGUGCUUCCAUGUUGUUUAUGAAAACUUGUUUGGAUAUGUAUGUCUAUAUGGAUAUGUUGUUGGAAACUUGUUUCUGGUUAUGUAUAUAUGGAUAUGUUGGACUUUGUUGAACUAUGUUGUUGGAUUGGAUGAAAUAUGUUGUUGGACAUGUUGGAUAUAUAUGCAUGUAUAUCUGUGUUUGAACCAUGUCUAAUUAAUCGGAUUUAAAUAAAAACAGGGGAUAUAUAGUCUCUUUGCCUCAGCUAGCAGACGGCAAAGAGGACACGUGGCAAUCACCUGUGCAAACUGGGAACACUGGCUGCCUAUUUGGUCAUUUUGCCGUCGGCUGGCGGACGGCAAAGUGACCAGCUAUGCCGUCUGCCAGCCGAAGGCAAUGAUUCAAACCUCUUUGUCAUCUGCCAGCGGACGGCAUAGCAGGCCACGUGGCAGCUUCCCAUUGCUGCCUAGCUGGGCUCUUUGCCGUCUGCCAGCGGACGGCAAAGAUCUUUGACUCUUUGCCGUCCGCUGGCAGACGGCAAAGAGCGCCGUUAACCCCCUAACGGCUCUCACGCCACCGCACUGCCGUCAGCCGUCUUUGUCAUCUGCUGGCCUCGGAUGGCGGACGGCACAAUCCUUUGCCGUCCGUUUCCAGGAAGCGGACGGCAAAGAAGGCCUUUGCUGGCAGGAGUUCAUCCGGACAGUUUGCCGUCCGCUAGCGGACGACAAAGAAUUUUGCCGUCCGUGAUCUAUGCCUUUGCCAUCCGCCAUGGCGGACGGCAAAGAAGCUGAUUCCAGUAGUGUAUGAGAUUACACAACUCCCGAAUACCAGAGGAACACCUUGUGUGCUAUCAAACGUCACAACGUAACUGGGUGAUUAUAAAGAUGCUUUACAGGUGUCUCCGAAGGUGUUUGUUGGGUUGGCAUAGAUCGAGAUUAGGAUUGUCACUCCGUGUAUCGGAGAGGUAGCUCUGGGCCCUCUCGGUAAUGCACAUCACUAUAAGCCUUGCAAGCAAUGUGACUAAUGAGUAAGUUGCAGGAUGAUGCAUUACGGAACGAGUAAAGAGACUUGCCGGUAAUGAGAUUGAACUAGGUAUGAGGAUACCGAUGAUCGAAUCUCGGGCAAGUAACAUACCGAUGACAAAGGGAACAACGUAUGUUGUUAUGCGGUUUGUCCGAUAGAGAUCUUCGUAGAAUAUGUAGGAGCCAAUAUGAGCAUCCAGGUUUCGCUAUUGGUUAUUGACCGGAGAUGUGUCUCGGUCAUGUCUACAUAGUUCUCGAACCCGUAGGGUCCGCACGCUUAACGUUCGAUGACGGUUUGUAUUAUGAGUUAUGUGAUUUGAUGACCGAAGUUUGUUCGGAGUCCCGGAUGAGAUCACGGAUAUGACGAGGAGUCUCCAAAUGGUCGAGAGGUAAAGAUUCAUAUAUUGGAAGGCUAUAUUCAGACACCGGAAGUGUUCCGGGUGAUACCGGGUCACCACAGGGGUUCCGGGCAUCCCCCGGCAAAGAUAUGCGCUUUAUGGGCCAAGUAAGGGAACACACCAGCCCACAAGGGGCUGGUGCGCCCCCUAUAGGGCCAGCCACGUGGGGAGAAAGGGAAAGGAGAGGAGGAAAAGGAAAGUGUGAAGUAGGACUCCGACUUCCUUCCCCUCCCCCCUCCUUCCUUUCCCCCUUGUCCAAAUAUGGUAAGGGGGGGGCCGAAUUGGACUAGGGGCCCAAGUAGGAUUCCUCCUACUUGGGCGCGCCCUAGGAUGCCUCCCUCCCUCUCCCUCCUUUAUAUACGUGGGGAGGGCACCCCUUGAACACACAUCAAUUGUUCCUAGCCAUGUGCGGCGCCCCCCUCCACAGUUAACACCUCGGUCAUAUCGUCGUAGUGCUUAGGCCAAGCCCUGCCCCGGUAACUUCAUCAUCACCAUCGCCACGCCGUCGUGCUGACGAAACUCUCCCUCGGCGUCAACUAGAUCAAGAGUAUGAGGGACGUCACCGAGCUGAACGUGUGCAGAUCGUGGAGGUGCCGUGCGUUCGGUACUUGAUCGGUUGGAUCGCGAAGAUGUUCGACUACAUCAACCGCGUUACUUAACGCUUCCGCUUUCGGUCUACGAGGGUACGUGGAUACGCUCUCCCUGCUCAUUGCUAUGCAUCUCCUAGAUAGAUCUUGCGUGAUCGUAGGAAAUUUUUUGAAAUUACUGUGUUCCCCAACACUUUCUUCUCCGUCUCACUCUUCAUGCCAGCCACAGCUGAUGCACUGGCAACCUCAGCUCUCUUCUCCUUAGCUUGCACAUAGCUGAAAUCCAACACCAUGUCCUCCUGUGCACUGAGAAGUUGAUGCACAUCUUCAACUAGUUUGUCAUAGUUGGCAUCCAGAUUCCCUUUCUCUUCUUUAAGGUGGUGGAUAGUAAGUGAACUUUCCAGGUUAUCCUUCCUCCUAGCAGUCCUGUUGUCUUCAAACAUUUCCCAAAGCUUCAACAAUGCAUUUUGCAUUGUGGGAGGCCACUCUGAGUCAACCCACCCAAGAAAACCACAAUUCUCAUCUUCCUGCAAUAUAGCAAACAUUUAUAUUGUUACUCUAUGAAGAAUUACAAUUAUAAAAGGGCACUUUUAAAAAUUCAACUAACAGCAUAAGAACUACAACCUAUACAUGUGGUCAACUAAACAGUGCUACUUCUACUGCAACAUAUACUGCCUCAAUUAAAAAUUAGCAUCUACACUGCUAACUAAGCUGCUGGUCAAAUAUAAUACUACAAAAAAGUGGGCAAUUUAACUAAACAGGAAUAUACAUGAGCACAUGCCCACACAACAUGUUGAAGUGAGCUUCAGUACUAAUAAAUAACUAAACUAUGCGCAUCUCCGCUGCCAACUAAGCUACUGCCCAUAUAUAUUACUAACAUCAGGUGGCAUGUUUAACAAAGGUGAGCAGCAAAGCUACUAAAUGGUAAACAAUGUGCUUCAUCAUCAGUAGUACUAACUUACUAAACAAAGGCUACCAACUAUAUUACAAUGAACAUAGAGAGAGAGCAUGAAUCUUACAGGCUGAGCACAAACUAGAAACCUCCUGCCCGUCUCAAAUGAUUCAAAAGCUACACUGCACUCAGUUGGCAGCCGAUGCUCCACGCAGAGCACCUCUGGUGCCUUCUCCAAGCCAUUGUAGUCUUGGUCUUCAAUGCUAGCAGGAAUCUACAGGAGCAAAUCCCCAAAUCAGAAACCAGAUCACCAAAUCCCCAAAUCAGAAACCCUAACCCUAACCCUAGUUCUACCACUGACCUGAUAAUGCAUAUCGACGGAGGAGGAGGAGAUAUGCAGGCUGGACAAGUCGUCGCUGCUCUCAUCCUCGGAGACCAUGGCGCGGUGGCGAUGGCGGACGCGGCGGUCUACGUGGCGAGCGGCGGCGGAUGCGAGAGACAAGGGCGAUGGGGCGAGGAGAGGGACAGAGUGCGGCUGGCUCCGGUUCGACCAGCCCCGACCCAACUACAUGGUGCGACCGAGCCGGCUGGGACGAGUGACCGCGCGGGUGCGCGCGGGUACGCCACCGUGGCACCUGACACGUGGGCCCGGUCGGUCAGAUACGUGGUCAAUACGCGCUUAUAUGGCUGUCAGACCAUUUUGCAACACUUAGGCUUUGAGUUGGUACUAAACUGCAAAAAAGUGAAUAGUGAUACUGAUUUGUUACGACGUGCCGAAGUGUGGUAGUUCCUUGCAAUUAACUCACCGCGCUGGAAUGACCACCUCCUGGAUGAGGUACCACGGUUCAUCGACUAUCCUCUGUUGCCGCCGCUGUUGCUGCCCGGACCGACAGGCAGGGCCGCAGGCAUGGCAUAUGGGCCGGCGGCCGAGGCAUUGGCCCUUGGCAAACUCGACUAGUCCCGUCACCGGGCCAGUUUUCACUUCCGGCUCCAGCCCCCUAUCUUACCUCCUCGCGGCAUAGGUGGUGCGCCCCGCCCCCUCUUGAGGCCAGUCACCGUAUCGAUCCCCUCCACACGUCAAGGUGGUAGCACACGAGAUGGCAUACAAGAGGUCACAACAUGGAAGGAUUGUUGGGGAACGUAGUAAUUUCAAAAAAAUUCCUACGCACACGCAAGAUCAUGGUGAUGCAUAGCAACGAGAGGGGAGAGUGUUGUCCACGUACCCUCGUAGACCGAAAGCGGAAGCGUUAUAACAACGCGGUUGAUGUAGUCAUACGUCUUCACGAUCCGACCGAUCAAGUACCGAACGCACGGCACCUCCGAGUUCUACACACGUUCAGCUUGAUGACGUCCCUCGAACUCCGAUCCAGCCGAGUGUUGAGGGAGAGUUUCGUCAGCACGACGGCGUGGUGACGAUGAUGAUGUUCCACCGACGCAGGGCUUCGCCUAAGCUCCGCAACGGUAUUAUCGAGGUGUAAUAUGGUGGAGGGGGGCACCGCACACGGCUAAGAGAUCUCAAGGAUCAAUUGUUGUGUCUAUGGGGUGCCCCCUGCCCCCGUAUAUAAAGGAGCAAGGGAGGAGGAGGCCGGCCCUAGGAGGGGGCGCACCAAGUGUGGAGUCCUACUAGGACUCCCUAGUCCUAGUAGGAUUCCACCUCCCAUAUGGAAUAGGAAAAGAGGAAGGGAAAAAGAGAAGGAAGGAAGGGGGCGCCCCCCUUCCCUAGUCCAAUUCGGACCAGACCAUGGGAAGGGGUGCGGCCACCCUUGAGGCCCUUUUCCUUCUUUCCCGUAUGGCCCAAUAAGGCCCAAUACGUAUUCUCGUAACUCUCCGGUACUCCGAAAAAUACCCGAAUCACUCGGAACCUUUCCGAAGUCCGAAUAUAGUCGUCCAAUAUAUCGAUCUUUACGUCUCGGCCAUUUCGAGACUCCUCGUCAUGUCCCCGAUCUCAUCCGGGACUCCGAACUCCUUUGGUACAUCAAAACUCAAUAAAACUGUCAUCGUAACGUUAAGCGUGCGGACCCUACGGGUUCGAGAACUAUGUAGACAUGACCGAGACACGUCUCCGGUCAAUAACCAAUAGCGGGACCUGGAUGCCCAUAUUGGCUCCCACAUAUUCUACGAAGAUCUUUAUCGGUCAGACCGCAUAACAACAUACGUUGUUCCCUUUGUCACCGGUAUGUUACUUGCCCGAGAUUUGAUCGUCGGUAUCUCGAUACCUAGUUCAAUCUCGUUACCGGCAAGUCUCUUUACUCGUUGCGUAACACAUCAUCCCGCAACUAACUCAUUAGUCACAAUGCUUGCAAGGCUUAUAGUGAUGUGCAUUACCGAGUGGGCCCAGAGAUACCUCUCCGACAAUUGGAGUGACAAAUCCUAAUCUCGAAAUACGCCAACCCAACAAGUACCUUUGGAGACACCUGUAGAGCACCUUUAUAAUCACCCAUUUACGUUGUGACGUUUGGUAGCACACAAAGUGUUCCUCCGGUAAACGGGAGUUGCAUAAUCUCAUAGUCAGAGGAACAUGUAUAAGUCAUGAAGAAAGCAAUAGCAACAUACUAAACGAUCGGGUGCUAAGCUAACUGAAUGGGUCAAGUCAAUCACGUCAUUCUCCUAAUGAGGUGAUCUCGUUAAUCAAAUGACAACUUAUGUCUAUGGCUAGGAAACAUAACCAUCUUUGAUUAAUGAGCUAGUCAAGUAGAGGCAUACUAGUGACACUCUGUUUGUCUAUAGAUUCACACAUGUAUUAUGUUUCCGGUUAAUACAAUUCUAGCAUGAAUAAUAAACAUUUAUCAUGAUACAAGGAAAUAAAUAAUACUUUAUUAUUGCCUCUAGGGCAUAUUUCCUUCAAGGAUGUCACACAGAGGCCAAGAACGAGGUGAGAAAGAGUUCACUGCCCAAAAAAAUCUCACUCUGCUCUCUGAUGUGUUCUUACAUCCUCUAGGAUUCCUCUUUUUUGCCCUUUGUUACAGACGAGGUCUGCUUCANNNNNNNNNNNNNNNNNNNNNNNNNNNNNNNNNNNNNNNNNNNNNNNNNNNNNNNNNNNNNNNNNNNNNNNNNNNNNNNNNNNNNNNNNNNNNNNNNNNNNNNNNNNNNNNNNNNNNNNNNNNNNNNNNNNNNNNNNNNNNNNNNNNNNNNNNNNNNNNNNNNNNNNNNNNNNNNNNNNNNNNNNNNNNNNNNNNNNNNNNNNNNNNNNNNNNNNNNNNNNNNNNNNNNNNNNNNNNNNNNNNNNNNNNNNNNNNNNNNNNNNNNNNNNNNNNNNNNNNNNNNNNNNNNNNNNNNNNNNNNNNNNNNNNNNNNNNNNNNNNNNNNNNNNNNNNNNNNNNNNNNNNNNNNNNNNNNNNNNNNNNNNNNNNNNNNNNNNNNNNNNNNNNNNNNNNNNNNNNNNNNNNNNNNNNNNNNNNNNNNNNNNNNNNNNNNNNNNNNNNNNNNNNNNNNNNNNNNNNNNNNCGCCGAUCGCCGCCCUUACCCGCUGAUCGCCGCCUUUCCCGCCGAUCUAGCCGUGAUCACGCUGCCAAUUCCAACGUCUCCCCGUCCAGCGGAUCGCCGCCUUUCCCCACCGAUCUCCGACCAUUCUCCCCGUCUUUACCCGAGAUCUGGCCGUCGCGGACGUUGUUGGAGUCGCCCGCCGUACGUGAUCUGGCCUCCGUGCAGGUCGUCGCGGUGACGUGGCCUACGUGGACGCCGUCGCCGCCCGCAACUCCGUGAUCAACCUCUCCGGGAACGUCCUCGCCGUCCGCAGCCAGGCCAGGCCGGCCGAAGUGCACGCAUGCCAUGUAAGCCGUCUAGUUUGUCAGAAAAAAUUGUACAUGCAAAUAAUUAUCUGCAAUCACUCAUCCGUAUGACCAUAGUAUAUUUAAUUUGAUUUAAAAUUGAUAGAUCAAUAUUUAUUUAUAAUGUUGCAGUGUUGGUUGUGAGGUCAUUCAAUGGAUAAAGAAACUGGAUUUACGGAUCUGUUUUUGGAUACGCGUGAGUUGGAUGGUAGCGAUAGUGUUGAUCGUACAAAUGGUAAUGAAAGUAAAAAUGAUGAUGAUAGCAGCGACAAUGAAUCCUGGUCGUCGUACGAUAAUUUACCUGAGGAGGAUUUUCAAAAGAAGGAGGAGGGUACUUGUAGUGAAAACGUAAGUGACGUGUACAUUCAUUUCGUCGGAUGACGAACCAUAUGGGUACUUACAUGUGCAUAUGAUUUAUUUUAUGUGCAGGAGGAUAUUGACGUCCAGAACGAGGAAAAUCAUGGUGUUGAAUCUUUCGCGGAUAACAUAAGCCAGGAUCGAUCCAAAAUUUAAGAUGUCAUACAAUAAUAAAAACUUGUUAAUGACAACUUACACUUGCUUAUGUGGAAUAUUGUAGGCUUACUUUGAUGGUUGGAGUGGUGAUAAUGGCUAUGAGCAUGAGGAUGGAGCUAAUAUGGACAUUGAGGAAGCUGAAAUCCAGCAACGUGCGCUGGAGACACAGUUGAAGGUUAUGGGUAUGACAUUUGCAUCACAAUGGGAGGCUUACAUGUUCUAUAAUAACUACACCAAAGACCGUGGAUUCAGUAUCAGAAAAGAUAAGGUGAAACGAGGAAAAGGACUUUCAACCACUGUUCGGUAUAGGCGAUACGUUUGCUCGAGGGCAGGAAAACGUCUCAGUAAAUUUUUAAACCCGGAGGGCCGUACCCGCGGGCUAAGACCUGAGACUCGUUGCGAGUGUGGCGCACAUUUAGUCGUGAAGUUGGACAAAGGGCGUGGAGUUUGGUUCGUGGCAGCUUUUAUGGAUGAUCGCAACCAUUUGUUGGCUAGAGCAGAUGAGGUGGUAUUUCCGCGGUCACAUCGAGUGAUGGGAGAUCACCAGAUAGCUGAGAUCUUGGCAAUGGAAGGAGCUCGGAUCAGAAAGCAUAUCAUCAUCGACAACUUCAUUAGCAGGUAUGGCUCAUAUGGUAAGUGUGGGUUUCUGAGACGAGACGUCUACAACCUAUGUUGCCGAGAAAAAAUGAAGUUGAUUGCGAAGGGUGAUGCUAACACGGCAAUCGGAAUUAUGAGGAGCAGAAAGGAGAAGGAUCCAGACUUUUUCUUUGAGUACAUGCUCGAUAAGGAGGGCCGUUUGAAGAGCAUGUUCUGGUGCGAUCCACAGUCACGGCGGGACUAUCAGUUGUAUGGAGAUGUGACUGUGUUUGACAGCACGUAUAAGAUGAAUAGAUAUGGUAUGCCGUUCAUCCCCUUUGUUGGUGUAAAUAAUCACCGUUGCACCAUAGUUUUUGGUUGUGCCAUUGUGUCCUACGAGACCGAAGCGACGUACGUGUGGCUGCUCCAGACAUUCCUGAAGGCCAAUUGUCAGAAAAAGCCAAGGUCAAUCAUCACAGAUGGAGACGCUGCAAUGAUACGAGCUAUUCGAUUGGUUUUGGUUGAUGUGUUGCACCGUCUCUGCUCAUGGCACGUGGAAAAAAUAUGUAGAAGCACCUUAAUUGCAAAUCGCUAAAUGAGUUCAGGGCACUCUUGUACUACUCCACCUCUCCAGCCAACUUUGAGGCGAGAUGGCACGCUUUUGUCCAUAAAUGGAAGACUGAUAAAACAGAGAGUGGCUGCGUAGGAUGUACAGGAAGAGGAGUCUGUGGGCAGCAUCAUAUCUGUCAGAUGGUUUUUUCUGGGUAUGCGCAGUAAUCAGAGGAGUGAAAGCCUUAACUCUUGUCUUUACCUUCACCUGGACAGCGGUAUGACUAUUGUUGACCUAGUUGUGCAUUAUGAGAAUUGCAUAGUUCGACUACGUGAGAACGAGGCGCAUGAUGACUGUGUUUCAAAUCAGUCAUUGCCACCAUCAGUCACAUAAUAUAAGGACAUUGAGAAGCAUGCUGCAAAAGUAUUCAGUGAUUCCAAUUUUUAUAUUCUUCAACAAGAUCUGAAGAAGAUGGGAGAGCUUGAGAUUUUUGAGACGCUAGUGGGAGUUGACUGCCACACCUUCAUCGUGACAUGGAGAAAUAACCGCAAAUUUCAAUUCAGCGUGAAUUAUUGAGCUGUAAACUCUGAGAAUACGAUAGACUGCAGUUGUGGACGAAUGCUUCGGAAAGGGUUGCCUUGCAAACACAUUCUGUAUGUGUUGGUUCAUCUGAAAAUAUCUAAAAUACCUAAGUGUUGCAUCCUUAAGAGGAUGUCGAAAGUUGCGAGAGGUGGGCUGCCUGCACAGCGGAAGAGUGACAUGUUUGGCUGGGGUUGGACAGGGGCAGAGCAGCGUGCUCGCUAUAGUCAACUCAGUAUAACAGGAGCUGAAGCUUUUCAUAUUGCUUCAAAUGAUCCAUUCGUCUUUGAUGAGUUGAUGCAGUGUCUACAGAAUAUAAUAGCGAAGAAAAAGGUCACUGAUGAUGAUGUUGUUGGUAGUAGAAGAAAUGUGCAUGAGGAGCCACGUGAGCCGGAACAACAUGUUGAUGUCAUAGGUGAUCCCGUAAAAGUUUCCAGGAAGGGCGCCCCUAAACAGAGCACGACAGGGCGGGCAAAGAAAAAUCCAAAUGUUACAAAAAAUGGAAGACCAAAAUCAUUUUAUGAGAGAAAACCCGGUUCUCUUUGUGGCAUUUGUAAGAAAGAGGGCCAUAAACGGCAAACGUGCCCUGAGAAUGAAAAGUAAGUUUUACAUUAUUUUAAUUAUCUUUUGUUCCUCUCUUUACAAUUGUCUGAUGAGUUGUUUACAAUUUGUUAUGUAGGAACCGGGCAUAAAGAUGAAGUAUUCAUAAUCAAUGGAAGGCACUGGGACAGAGUUCAAUUAGCAUGUCGUACUAUUUGUCGCUUUAUUUUGGUUAAUUUGUUCGAUUCUAAUGCGACAUGGCACUUUCAGUUUAUUUGUUUAAGGAUAAGAGACAUGGCACUUUGAGUUUAUUCUUUAUGCCACCUUGUUCAAUGUUAUGAGACAUGCGAUUUUUAUUAUUAUGUGUGAAACAUUAUAUAUUUGUAUGAAUGUGUUACUGCUGUCAUGACUUUGUCAACUGUUUAACAUUUUUUAAAUUUAAUCUAUGUGAAAAAUAUAUUUGAAAAAAAGGCCCAGCCGUGGCCGGGCGCGCACACAGACAGUAUGCUACAACGCCUUCUGUGCCGCCGAGCGGGAGGCCACGGCGUACAACAGGGCAUUCAUUAGUGUUCUGUAGUGAGCUUGUGAGAAGGCAACGACACGGGUAUAUAAACCGGUCGUCGCGUCUCUCCGCGGGCGAGGUGGGACUAAACCUGGUCGGCACAACGCGCCAGCGUCCCCAUCCUCACACGAAGAGGCAUUAAAGGGCCGGCCCACGCGCCCGACGCGUGUCGUUAAUGGGCCGACAGAUCGCCAUAAAUCCCCCUCGAGAUCGUUGCAUGUGCCCGCUCGGUGGGGCGGGACGAGACGUCUGCCACAUGGCCCGCGGCUGUCGCUCGGUCGGCUGCUAGGCCACCAGACGCGCGUGUGGCCCACGGCGAAUCGCGCCAGCCCGCACUAGCUGGACUGCGCGGGCCCGCCACUGCGUCGGCUGUCAGCCACUGCAUGGGCUGGGCUGGAAUAUUCGUCGGAUCCAGCGCCGCUGCUGCCACCAGAAUCGCCCUGGGAUAUUGUGCAGGUUUUGUCCACAUCGCGCCAACUCAGGACGGCGGGAAUAUUUUUUAAUAAAUGAAUGACCGCCGCGAAUAGAAACAACAACAGUACAUAUAAUGUCGCAGCCGCAAACUGAUACAUUUUAGCACAGCAAAAAUAUUACUUGCCCACACGCAUUUAAAUGUUUAGUCUCACACGAAAGCGAUAAAUAAAACGUGAACAAUUGUCGAAAUCUGUCCCAGUGCCAUGUCGCAUUACAAUCGAUCAAAGUAUCCAACAACGGCAGGGAAACCUUCUACGGGACUAAAACCCUACCGAUGCUAAUACCUAUUCCUUCUCCAUGAUUUUAACAAUUUUCAUCUUGACCUUCUCUAAUUUGUUCACCUCUGAAAAAAUAAUUUCCGCGACAAUACGUGGCCUUGACGCACUAAUCUCUUCCUAGUCAAAUUCAUGUGUCCAGCGAUCUCCGUCCCAGUAUUUCAUGCACCACAUCACAAAAAGUCCACAAGACACUCUGCAAUAAACAUGUGUGAUCAGCUUACGAUGUAGCAUGCACUUGCUUGUACUCAUUUAACUUACCCAUCUUUUUGUCUUGGCAUUUUAUACUCAUUAAUUGGCCACGAUGAGACAUCUAGAAGUUUUUUUGCUUCAAGAGUUGAGUUGGCCUCCAUAAUAUCGUUAGAAAUUUCAGCUCUCCGAAACAAAUUAACAAAACCAGAAUUUAAUGUAUGACCCAAUAUUUUUCAGAAUGCUAGUACGAAAAUUAUAGCGUACCAGGGUGGCAAUCAUAUUGCGAAUUCUUUGACUAAUUGCGCCUUUAGAAUUUGAGUCAAGAACUUGAAACUCCUCCUUGACGGUGUGCAUCACUAUGGUUAUCCAAUGAUUAUCAUUAACGUGCAUAGGAAAAUACGCCUACAUAGUAACCAAAUGAUGUUAGUGCAAUUAAAUAGUAAUGACUAAUAAAAACAAAUAAAUAUGAAAGCAAUACCUUGUCCCGUCUGAAAUACUCAUCCAUUACUCUUACGAGAACUUUUGUUUUCUUUGUAACAUUCUCUGAGCCUAAAUCAUUUACUGACUUGGUCUUUCCCCUUGCCCUAUUCAACAUAAAUUUGGGGAACCACAUUGUUGUUAUGUAACGAUCAGAAAAAUCACGGUGUUGUAGGUGUUUACAAUAUGCAUUGAUGAUCUGCAUACAUAAACAAAAAAUUCUAUCAACUUGUGAAGUACAAAUGAGAGUUUUGUUAAAAUCAAACUCAUACUUACAGCGCCAUUCAACCAUUUAAAUGUCAGGACAUCGUGAAGCAUAGCUGGCGUGCAUAUGUCCCCAUCUGGUGGCGGCACAUCAACCACGGUUCGGUGUGCAUGCUUCUUCGACGGUGCGAGAGUCUCAACAAAAACUCUGGCUGCCUCUAUAUGAUCCGGAGUCAUAUUAAGAGAACUUGCUAGAAUUGAAUAUGGUGACGAUGCAAACAGAUCUAAAACAAUGCAGCUACAGUCAGUUAUAUAAAAAAAUUACAUAACGCGUGAAUGAAUUCUAAAGUAGUAUUUGACUUACUUUUUUAACACGUUUGUUGCGGGUAAUGAGAAGGUCGUAGGGGGAUUGACAAUAUUUCGACUUUUUUCUUUUGCGCUUACCUUCAUUUUCCUGACUGCCUUCACCAUUACCUAUGUUGCUCUCUGCCGGAAAACUCUCAAACGUGUCUUCGGACUUUGUUGGUGACAAAGCAUCCAUAGACCCACCAGAAAUAUUAGCAUUCUGCGGGGUUCGGGACAUAGACGGAAAGUCUUUUGUACGUACAGUUGAUGCCGAAGAUGGAGAGUUUCCAUUAUCGUCUAUAAUGAAAGGAUCAGUAGCUUCACCUUUACCCGGUGUCGUCGCCGGAGCACCCGUGUCAUCAACGGGCACGGAGGUAUCAUUGAUACCCGUGAAAGAUGUUCCUAUCUUUACGUUCGUAGGUGAUUCAAUAUCUGGCCAAUAUUUUGAUGACUUGUACUGGCCAUUCUCCAUCCCAACUCCUUCACCUACAUUAUCAAAUUCGUCAUUGUUGUCCCUCUUAUUGGGUUUGUACAGCACACCUUCCGUGUUCAACCUUUCCAUUACCAUCUACGAACACAAAUGAAACACGAUAAGUAGUUGAACAAUUAAAACACGUUCAAUACAACUUGUAAAUUACCUGUGCACAUCUUUCGGGUAUAUUGAGAACCUCCUUGUGAACCAGCUUUAUGUAUGUCAUCACACGGUCCAUACUAUAAGUCGUGUUUGAUGAAACCGCGGACGUGCUUGGCUUUCUACUCCUGCCACCACCUUUCCGUUUAGGUUUCUUCGUUUCUUCCUCUGGGACAGUCCCUUCACGUGCUACCUUAGCACGUAUGUACUCUUCGCUAACGCAGUUUUCAAUCUGUACAACAAACACUAAAAUAAAUUAAAUAAUGAAUAUACUUAAUUACUAUGUGAAACCAAUAAGGACUAUACUUAUUGACUUACAUUGCCGGUGCCUCGCCCGUGCAUGUUGUCAUAGUCGUCUCGCUUUUUCCCUCCCGUUUCUGGCCAGUUAAGAAUUAGUGGGUAUUCACGAGACAAAGGAUCAAAUGUAUCCACACCAAUUGGCUCAACUUUUUCCCAGUAUAUAUACUGCAUGAUAGUAAACACAACUAGUCAGACACAUAGAUCACAUAAAAAAUAUAUGUACAUACAACUAUUACGAAAUGACUUGUACCUGAAGAAGAGCCAAGUUCCCGAUAGGCCACUUGAAUUUUUCAAGAUCUUCGACCGUUUUUCUAAUAGCAUCCAUGCACACCCCCAACGUGAAAUCGUUCCAAUUGUAUGACUUGAUAGCGUUCAUGUCCUCCAACAUUUUGUAAUAACGAUAAGGAACAAACUUGGUGGAUUGUGGUACUAAGACUGUACCCAUGAGAACCAAUACGGCCCUUCUCACAAAAUCAUCAUCAUAUGACUGAGUAUCAACAAUAUUUUUUAUCAAAUCAUCGAUGAGGAUUAGGCAUGUUCUUUUGUUUAGAAACCGAUUCGGAACAAUUUUUUCGGCAUCUAGUUGUACUGUAGCUAUCAUGCUACUGACAUCAUCACCCUCGUUAUGUAGCCCCAAUAUGUCAUAAACAUCUUCAUUAAGCACACUGAUGCCGUCAGUAUUUGGCCGAAUAAUAAAUCGCUUUCUACUACCAUCAUAUGUUGUAAUCAUAAAUUCCAAUAAAUUUUUCCUCAUUUUCACCGGAGGAAUUCUCAACAUACUGUCCAAAUUUGUGCCACGUAGCAUCAUGCGUUGUGUGGGUGUGAAUUUUCCCACCAAUUCGCACCACUUCUCAACCGAGCAGUACACAUCUCCGAAUUCUUGCAUUCUAAAUAAGAUGACAGUUAUCUAACUAGUUACGAGAUUCAAAAAACAUUACAUAUGGUUUAAUACCAUACCUUCCGGCGCCUCGACGUGCACCGGCAGCCCCCGUUGGCUAACCCCACCCGGUGUGGGUUAGUCAUGGCAGCCACGCGCCCUCUGCCCACACCACCGCGCUGGCCGACGGCCCGUCCUAGGGUUCUGGGUGCGGGCGACUUUGCCGAGACGGCACGGCCGGGCCUGAGAUCCAAGUCGGGCGCAGAUGCCGGAGUGUAUGUCCGCCGUUAGGCCGGCAGGGAAGAGAGUUGGGACGGCCACGGCGGUGCGACCGUCGGAUCGGGGUGAGGACGUGCGUGGAGGCGGCGGGGUUAGGCGGUCCUGGGGCGAGGUAAUGGCGGCGUGGUUUCCAUGCCAUGCACGCACGUACGACGUCAUAGACGUGGUCACGCCAUAGUGGGCCCCUUGGCCCGUCCCGUAAAAUUACCGCCGGCUGGCCCAUGAUGCAUUUAUUUCUGAUUUUUUUAACGACAGAAAAUAUUAAUGCAUUUUUAAUGCAACCAUUCAAAUAUUUUGCACACGCACUCAUCACCAGGGCCAUCAUGCGUGCAAGUUUUCAUAAUUUUCCGACACCGUAUGAAUUGCUUAUGGUUUUCUCCGUGAAACGCACCGAAAACACUGACCGGCCGUGACACAACGUGUGUUUCGUGUCCGAAUUCGUUCAACUCUUGCGUGGGGCCCUAACAUGGGCAUGCCCACUGCCUCCCAAAAUUGGGUGAUGUUCCGUGCAUGCACAUCGUACCUCCCAUGCAACCGGCACUGAUCGGAUAUGAAGGAUGCCAGCCCUGUACUGCGUUCUCUUUUCUGACUCAGCCGGUGGACCACAAACUUUUUCCACAUGCCAGCAUCNNNNNNNNNNNNNNNNNNNNNNNNNNNNNNNNNNNNNNNNNNNNNNNNNNNNNNNNNNNNNNNNNNNNNNNNNNNNNNNNNNNNNNNNNNNNNNNNNNNNNNNNNNNNNNNNNNNNNNNNNNNNNNNNNNNNNNNNNNNNNNNNNNNNNNNNNNNNNNNNNNNNNNNNNNNNNNNNNNNNNNNNNNNNNNNNNNNNNNNNNNNNNNNNNNNNNNNNNNNNNNNNNNNNNNNNNNNNNNNNNNNNNNNNNNNNNNNNNNNNNNNNNNNNNNNNNNNNNNNNNNNNNNNNNNNNNNNNNNNNNNNNNNNNNNNNNNNNNNNNNNNNNNNNNNNNNNNNNNNNNNNNNNNNNNNNNNNNNNNNNNNNNNNNNNNNNNNNNNNNNNNNNNNNNNNNNNNNNNNNNNNNNNNNNNNNNNNNNNNNNNNNNNNNNNNNNNNNNNNNNNNNNNNNNNNNNNNNNNNNNNNNNNNNNNNNNNNNNNNNNNNNNNNNNNNNNNNNNNNNNNNNNNNNNNNNNNNNNNNNNNNNNNNNNNNNNNNNNNNNNNNNNNNNNNNNNNNNNNNNNNNNNNNNNNNNNNNNNNNNNNNNNNNNNNNNNNNNNNNNNNNNNNNNNNNNNNNNNNNNNNNNNNNNNNNNNNNNNNNNNNNNNNNNNNNNNNNNNNNNNNNNNNNNNNNNNNNNNNNNNNNNNNNNNNNNNNNNNNNNNNNNNNNNNNNNNNNNNNNNNNNNNNNNNNNNNNNNNNNNNNNNNNNNNNNNNNNNNNNNNNNNNNNNNNNNNNNNNNNNNNNNNNNNNNNNNNNNNNNNNNNNNNNNNNNNNNNNNNNNNNNNNNNNNNNNNNNNNNNNNNNNNNNNNNNNNNNNNNNNNNNNNNNNNNNNNNNNNNNNNNNNNNNNNNNNNNNNNNNNNNNNNNNNNNNNNNNNNNNNNNNNNNNNNNNNNNNNNNNNNNNNNNNNNNNNNNNNNNNNNNNNNNNNNNNNNNNNNNNNNNNNNNNNNNNNNNNNNNNNNNNNNNNNNNNNNNNNNNNNNNNNNNNNNNNNNNNNNNNNNNNNNNNNNNNNNNNNNNNNNNNNNNNNNNNNNNNNNNNNNNNNNNNNNNNNNNNNNNNNNNNNNNNNNNNNNNNNNNNNNNNNNNNNNNNNNNNNNNNNNNNNNNNNNNNNNNNNNNNNNNNNNNNNNNNNNNNNNNNNNNNNNNNNNNNNNNNNNNNNNNNNNNNNNNNNNNNNNNNNNNNNNNNNNNNNNNNNNNNNNNCCGUAUGAAUUUCUUAUGGUUUUCUUCGUGAAACGCACCGAAAACACUGACCGGGUGUGACGCAACGUGCGUUUCGUGUCCGAAUUCGUUCAACUCUUGCGUGGGGCCCUAACAUGGGCAUGCCCACUGCCUCCCAAAAUUGGGUGACGUUUCGUGCAUGCCACCUCGUACCACCCAUGCAAUCGACACUGAUCGGAUAUGAAGGAUGUCAGCCCCGUACUGCGUUCUCGUGUUUGACUCAGCCGGUGGACCCCAAACUUUUUCCACACGCACUCAUCACCAGGGCCAUCAUGCGUGCAAGUUUUCAUAAUUUUCCGACACCGUAUGAAUUUCUUAUGUUUUUCUAUAUUAAGUAGUUCUAUAUUAAGUAGUUUUUUAAUAUAAUUACAUAAUAAAUUCUAUAUUAAGUAUGUUUUUAACAUCACUACUUAAUAAAUUCUAUAUGAAGUAGUGUUUUUUAAGAAGAGUGUUCUCCAAAUUAUUAUUACUUAUAAAUUAUAAUAAAAAACUCUCUACUAUUAUGAAAACAACUGUAGCCAUUAAUGCAAAACAAAUAAAAAAUAAAUAAUGAACAUUACAUAAAUUAUAGAACAUUUAUACAAUACGUAGGGCUUUUCAUUAAUUAUAGAACAUUUAUUAAAAAACUUAAUAUUAUUUUUUAAACAAUAAACAAAUAACAAAAAAAAUCUUCGACAGCGCGCGUUGGCCGGCCCAGUGACUGUGUGCGACGGCGCGCGUGGGCCGGCCCAUUGACUGUGUGCGCGGUGCGGUGGCAGGGUCGGCGGGGGUGACGACUAAAGUUUAGUCCCACCUCACCCGCCGAACGACGCCGCGACCGCCUUAUAUACCAACCUCCCACCACCCUUUCGAACUCGUCUGAUUCCCGCCGUCCCGCCACUGCCCCAUUUGACUGUGCUGCAGGUCGUAGCUGGGCCGAAAGGCCGGCCCUUUCGCCACCCGGCUUGGUCGGGCCGGACCGAUUAAGCGCAGUUGCGGCCUGCAAGCACAGCUGGGCUUAUUUNNNNNNNNNNNNNNNNNNNNNNNNNNNNNNNNNNNNNNNNNNNNNNNNNNNNNNNNNNNNNNNNNNNNNNNNNNNNNNNNNNNNNNNNNNNNNNNNNNNNNNNNNNNNNNNNNNNGCGUCGAGGGACGCCAGGACUGGCUUAUAUACCCGCCUUUGAGCUAUUUAUUAGAUAAGGUAGUAAUAAUGUCAGUUGACUUUAACUAAAUUCAACUGAGAUUAUUACUAUCUUAUUUUUUAAUAUCAGCUCAUCAAUUCACGCACAAAUAACAAUAGUAAAGUUUUCAUAUGUAUAAUUUAAAUACGAAAUAAAUUCUGUAUUAAGUACUCUUUUUAAUAUAAUUACUUAAUAAAUUCUGUAUUAAGUAGUGUUUUUAAUUUAACUACUUAAUAAAUUCUAUGUGAAGUAGUGUUUUUUAUGAAUGGUCGUUUCCAAAUUAUUAAGUAGUAGCAAUAAACUCAUUAAUAUUUUUUAAUAAGCUGAAAAAUGUUAGGCAUUAACGCAAAACUCAUAAAAAAUUAAAACAUAAACUGAUUAUUUUUACCUAUAAAUUGUAAUAAAAAAACUCAUUAUUCUUACUUAUAAAUUAUUAAAAAAUGCAUUAUUAUUAUGAAAAAACAAUUAGCCAUUAAUGCAACACAUUACAGUACUAAACUUUGCAUAUAUUUUAAGUAUUUUUUAGCCAUUAAUUAACUUUACAUAAAUAUUAAAAAUGUAAUUACUAAUCUACACAAAUAACUGAUUAAAAUAUUCAUUACAAAAAAACUCAUUAUCAAUUAAUUAUCAAAAAACUCAUUAUUGUUUUAGCAAUUAAUUAUAAAAAACUCAUUAUUUUUCCUAUAAAUUGUAAUAAACAACUCAUUAUUAUUAUAAUAAAUAUAGUUAACAAUUCUAUAUUACGUAUGGAUUUUUAUUAAUUAUAGAAUUUUUUAUACGAUAAUGAAAGGCAUAAAUAACUAAAAAAACUUCAUACUAUUUAAAAAACAAAAGUCUUGACGGUGCGCGACGGCCCAGUGAUUGUGCGCGACGGCGCGCGUGGGCCGGCCCAUUGACUGUGCGCGCGGUGCGGGGGCAGGGUCGGCGGGGGUGAGGACUAAAGUUUAGUCCCACCUCGCCCGCCGAACGACGCCGCGACCGCCUUAUAUACCAACCUCCUACCACCUUUUCGAACUUCUCUGAUUACCGCCCCGUCCCGCCACUGCCCCGUUGGCCUGUGCUGCCAGCCGUAGAUGGGCAGAAAGGUCGGCCCUUUCGCCACCCGGCUUGAUCGGGCCGGAACGAUUAAGCGCAGUUGCGGCAUGCAAGCACAGGUGGGCUUAUUUUUUUGCAUCACUAUUUUUUUUGCCUUCUAUGAGUCACAACGCGGGGGGAGGUGGAAGGGAGCUUUUUUAGUCCCACCUCGCGCGCCGAGGGACGCCAGGACUGGCUUAUAUAGCCGCGUUCGUGCACAUUGCUAUAUGAGACAGUUAGUACUAAUUUGGUUUGACUUUGCACUGCCAGGGGUGGCACUGCCGUACUGCCCGGACAAUGUAAGCUCAUUACACUGCCCGGGCAGUGCGUCAGAGCUGCGAGUUGCAGUGUAAACUGAAAUCACAUCAUUACUAUCUGUCUUAUUUUUUAUUAUUUGUCACACUAUGCAAAUUUAGUCUAUCUACAUUAUUUUUUGACAUCCUUCAAAUGAACCCAAAUUUUUUUUAUAGUGUUCCACCAUCAUGACUAGGAUGCAUAACAAAUUAACCUCCUUCUUCGGAGACCGUUUGGGCAGGACCGAAGGCCCCGUCCGAAAGGAUUUUUUUUCGACACCCUUCAAAUGAACCCACAUUUUUUAUAGUGUUCCACCAUCAUCAUAGGAUGCAUGCCAAGUUUUCUGGCUUUUUAUCGCUUUAUGAAUUUUCUAUAAUUUUUUCGGUGAAAACACCACAUAGCACACCCCGGACGUGACACAACAUGUUUUUGGUGUUCAAAUACGUUCAAUUCUUGGAUUGAAUGUGGGGGUGGCCAUACCAACUCACUUGCAAAAUUUGAGGUCAUUCCAAAUAUAUUGAAAAAUUGACCUCCUUCUCCGGAGACCGUACGNNNNNNNNNNNNNNNNNNNNNNNNNNNNNNNNNNNNNNNNNNNNNNNNNNNNNNNNNNNNNNNNNNNNNNNNNNNNNNNNNNNNNNNNNNNNNNNNNNNNNNNNNNNNNNNNNNNNNNNNNNNNNNNNNNNNNNNNNNNNNNNNNNNNNNNNNNNNNNNNNNNNNNNNNNNNNNNNNNNNNNNNNNNNNNNNNNNNNNNNNNNNNNNNNNNNNNNNNNNNNNNNNNNNNNNNNNNNNNNNNNNNNNNNNNNNNNNNNNNNNNNNNNNNNNNNNNNNNNNNNNNNNNNNNNNNNNNNNNNNNNNNNNNNNNNNNNNNNNNNNNNNNNNNNNNNNNNNNNNNNNNNNNNNNNNNNNNNNNNNNNNNNNNNNNNNNNNNNNNNNNNNNNNNNNNNNNNNNNNNNNNNNNNNNNNNNNNNNNNNNNNUUUUCUAUAAUUUUUUCGGUGAAAACACCACAUACCACACACCCGGACGUGACGCAACAUGUUUUUGAUGUCCAAAUACGUUCAAUUCUUGUAUUGACUGUGGGGGUGGGCAUACCAACUCACUUGCAAAAAUUAAGGUCAUUCCGAAUAUGUCGAAAAAUUGGCCUCCUUCUCCGGAGACCGUUCGGGCAGGACCGAAGGCCCCGUCCGAAAGGAGUUUUUUUCGACAGCCUUCAAAUGUACCCACAUUUUUUUAUAGUGUUCCACCAUCAUCACUAGGAUGCAUGAAAAGUUUUCUGGCUUUUUCAUCGCUUUAAGAAUUUUUUAUAAUUUUUUCAGUGAAAACACCACAUACCACACCCCGGACGUGACACAAUAUGUUUUUGGUGUGCAUGCAUGACAAGUUCUCCGGAGACCGUUCGGGUAUGAGCGAAGGCCCAUGCAUGCGUUUUGCGACUGAUGUUUCUACAAUUUGUGUGUCGAUUAUCGUCUUGUAACGUCAAAAUGCAUGUUUCCGUUUAUUUUUUGAAGUUGCACGACUAACAUCAAAUUAAACAUAAGGAUUUUUUUUUAAGAUAAACCAUUCCGAGUUCAUUCAUAAUUCAAAAUAUUUUACAUAACCCUAAACAUAACCGAGCACUGCUCUUACAUAACUUAGACCGAAAUUUAAAUAUAAACCCUAAAACUAGACUACUCGUCGUCGCUGGCGCCGGUGAGGUCGACGACCGGCGCCAUACCGCCGGCCUCUCCUUCGCCGCCGUCGCCGCCAUCGUCGCCGCCGCCGUCGUCGUCGUCGUCGCUGAAAUCCCACCAGUUGUCUUCCCGCGCCUGCUGCUCCUGCACCGCCGCUAUGGUCGCCAGCCGCUCUCGUUCCUCUGCCGACCGGGCCAGCACCGCAAGUAGCCCCGGCGUGUCGUCGGGGUCUCCGUCUUGCGCGAGGGCAGGGGGCGCCUGCUGUGCCGGGGCAGUUGGGGCGGCUGGAGGUGGGCCGUGACGGCGGCGACCACGGAAAGUGCCGACCUCGCCGGUAAUGUCCCCGACGGGGAGGCCGGCCGCUGAGUCCCUGAACGCGCCGAGGACGACGUUGAAGUUCUUCCCGCGCCAGAACCUACGGCGGGCCCUCCGGUUGUACCGGCCGCCAGGGAAGGCGCGGAGCUGCUCCCUCGUCGGCGGCGGUCCCAUGGUGGGGAUGCCGUCCGCCCCGAUCCGCCAUGGCCCCGGCACCUUAGCUGCCGGCGGCACCAUCAGGCAGAACCGGGCCAGAUCCUCCGUGUCGCCGACGGUGAGGCUCAGCGGCCAGACGCCGCCCGGCCACGCGCCCUCGUCGGAGUCGCUGGAAGACAUUGCCGGCGAGGAGAGGGAGAUGGGCGGGCGAGGAGAGGAAGAGAGAUGGGCGGGCGAGGAAGAUGGCACUACGUGGAGAGGGCUGGCGCGGCCUUUUAUAGACAGCGGGGGAGGGAGGUGGGCGGGCGAGCCGUCGGUGGCGCGCGCCACGAGGGAGAGGCGGGCAGCUGGCGGCACGCGCGACAGCGGUGGCGUGUGAAGGUGCGGCAGCGGCGGCGUGUGAAGGCGCGGCAGGCGAGGCAUCGGUGGCGUCUGGGCGCGGCAGCGGGGGCGUGGGAAGGCGCGAGGACGGCAGGCGCGACAGCCGAUGCGUCGGUGGCGUCUCAAGGCGGGCGGGCGGUCGCCGCAGCGGCGGCAGCCGACCGGGCGCGUCAACUGCCGGCCCGAGGCGGAAGGCUGGCGGCAGGCGCNNNNNNNNNNNNNNNNNNNNNNNNNNNNNNNNNNNNNNNNNNNNNNNNNNNNNNNNNNNNNNNNNNNNNNNNNNNNNNNNNNNNNNNNNNNNNNNNNNNNNNNNNNNNNNNNNNNNNNNNNNNNNNNNNNNNNNNNNNNNNNNNNNNNNNNNNNNNNNNNNNNNNNNNNNNNNNNNNNNNNNNNNNNNNNNNNNNNNNNNNNNNNNNNNNNNNNNNNNNNNNNNNNNNNNNNNNNNNNNNNNNNNNNNNNNNNNNNNNNNNNNNNNNNNNNNNNNGCAAUUACUGCAAAGCAGUUAAUUGCACCACGAUACGGCCGUCCGCGCCACGUCCACACGUACGCCCCCACCGGUCAACGCCGACUUUUAAAAAAAAACACGCCCUACAUCUGACAUACUCGGCCCAUGGAUGCUAACUGCUCGGCUCGGCUCGCGUCCUCACGGCUGCCAAGCGGCUCGGCUCGUCCCGCAGCCGUGUAUACACAGGCGUGCGGGGUAUCGGCGUGGACGCGCGGGGUUACUUUUUUUACAUAAGAUGAUCGUGCCCCUGUCAGCGAAGGGGUGUAGGGGAAUCUCAGUCCUUGAUGUGUUUAACGGGGGUGUACCGAAGCAGAAGUGGUUACGGACAGGAGACCAUGAUCGCAACCAACGGUUCCCAGUUUCCAGUGUUGGCUGACCUGUCGCCACAUGGGAAGCGCUGCCACCGUUGCGUCACUCCGUUGGCUCCUGUAGCCGGCGACCCCAAGAUCAGCAAGGUAAAUAAACACCAAUCAUCGAUCUUGCAGACUAGGGAGGGUAGCAUCUUGGGCGUAAAUUACAACGAGCAUGUGUUCUUAGUGCUGAUUUGAUUUUGGGAAGAUAGGACGUCGAUCCUGGGGGAAACGAUUGACUACAUGAAGGAGCUGCUGGAGAGGAUCCCACUGCAGAAGGAGAUAAAGGAGUCACAUCUGCAGCCGACACCGCUGCUGAGUGUGUUCCAGCAGCUGAACCCCAACGAGAGAAAGCUCCAUUGCUGACAAUCUUUGAAAAUCCAAGUAAACUCUGCUUCUCUGCCGUAUUUUUUAUGUGCAGCUUCUUAAUAUGUGUUCGGACUUGGGAGAAAGAUGUUGCUCUUUGUUCAGAAAAUGUUUAUUAGAUGGAAAAUACUCAGCAUUUAAAGUUUUUUCUCCAACUGUUUUUGUGCGUGCAACUAUGAUCUGAUUUCCUUGCACCCAAGCUAAUGGAUAUGUGCAGAGGGCCGCAAUGAGGCAGAUGACAGCGGGUGGCAACAAUAGGUGUUGGCGGAUGCUCCGAGACCAUGAAGAGCCUAUUCAACGGUGUAUGCCCUCCCUGUUCGUUUUUGUGGGAGUUCCGUCUCCAGAUUGGUGUGAUGCAGAUGUUUUUUUGUGUGCAUGUGUUGUGUGAUGCAGAUGAGAUGGAUGACAUGGAGAAGGAGGAUUUCGACAUGGUACCUCCCACAAUCGCGCAGUUGGAGAGCAUGCAUGAGUUUGGUAUACUAUGUAUUCUAUUAGUAUCGCUCUGAAAGGUUAGGAUGCAUUAGGUUGCGGCCUGAACUAUGUAUCUGUGGAUAGUAUUACACUUUCAGCAUGCUAUUUCUUAUUUUUAAGACUUCAAUUUUUGUGAAUUUUGACUGAACUAUGAUACUUUGGAUUGCAUGCUCAACUAUGUGUAGGGUCAUUACCGCUUUCUCCCCUGAUUGUACUGUCCUUGCCAUGUUAUCCCCUAAAUGCUUACUCUUGCCAUGUUAUUCCCUAAAUCAUUACUCAUUUCUUCCUUGCUCUGCUUAUGCAUCAUGUAUUUAGUACCAGAAAACGAGGUAUGCUUCUUUACAUUAAACAGUCUUUCCUUGUCAGUAUAUAUGGAAGUAUAUGGGACGGCUUCCAUAGAAUACUUGUUUCUGUACUAUAUACUGGAUGAAAAUAAUUUCCUUGCAUGCGAACAUGGCAUGGCUAAUUAGUAGUUGCACUACAUUCCUGAAGCUUUUUUGAACUAUUGGGAGACAUGAGAAAGUUGUUGCACAGAAGUAAAUGGUUCUUGUUUCCAUUUCCAACAAAACCAAGGCUAAAAGUUGCUACUUCUGUAGUACUCCUGUAUACAACAAUUAGUGUUCAGCUAGACUGUCAAUCUUACAGCUUGUUACUAACCGCUGCCUGGCACACGUUGAAAUUCAGGCACAUUGGCAGAGCCCCCAGCCCCCGCGUCGCUCCCGUGUGGGCGACUCGGGCGGAACCUGCAAAACCUAGCCGCCGCCACUAAGAAAUCCGGCCGUCCCCCUCUCCGCCGCCGCCGGACGACGCCAUAACGCAAAGCCGUGAGGCUGACGGCGGCGGCGGGGACCUUGCUGCAGCGCAUGGCUGCUCUCGGGCACGGCGGAGCUCAGUCCUGAGGUCUCACGCGUCGGUGCUCUGGCUGGCGCUCCGGCACGCCGCGGUCGACCUCGGUGCCCUGCCUUCUGCCUCGGUGUGCACCGGUUGCCUUCCGGUUGUCACCUGCGGCCAGCCGGUGCGCGACGGGCGUCCUUCUCCCUCAGAUCCAAUCGGGCCUGCGGCUCCCGUCCGAUUUGUUGCUGCGCCUCAGAUCCAAUCGGGCGCGAGAAGCUGGGGGCACCCACGGCGCGCGUGGUGGCUGCGGCUGCUCGGUGGCUGGCCUCCUUCCUCGGAGCUCGCCGCCGGGCGCCGCCACCGCCUCUCUCUCCGGCCACCGCAGCUCGCCGCCACUGGCAAACAACGUCGGGCAAAGCCCCCCGAAGGUGCGGCGGCGGGAUCCAUCCCGCGCGCGUGGGUUUGGCCCUGCUGCCCCGUCCCCUCUUCCGCGACGGGGGCCGUCAGCUCUGGCCUUGGGCCUCCUCUGGCCUGCUCCCCCGGCGUCGGCCGGCGCCCUCCUUCUAGAUCCGGCUAGCGCGCCGCGGCUGCGGGCUCUCGGGUGGCUCUCGUCCGGGCCUCGUGGCUGCUUCGGCGGUGACUGUUACCUUCUGGGCUGGGGGUGCGACCCGCUCUCCUGCUCCACGCCUUGCGCCGACCUCCGCCGUCCCGUCCUCAACUGCUCGCCGUCGUCAUCUGUCUGCCGGGCGCUCCGCAUCCUGCCUUCCCGCAGAUCUAAACUACCGUGUCCUCCACCUCCGCCGCCGCCCGUUCUGUCGUCGUCGUGCUCCUCCGCGCGGUCGCCAAACGAAGGUGGCGUCGCGGCUUCCUGCCUAGGGAGCCCUCCACCUCCCAGUUCCCCAGGUGGGUUGUCGCUGUCUUGUGGCUUUACCUGCAGGGGGCGCCGCGCCAGUGGUCCUCGCUGGUGGCCUUGGCGUCAAGGGUGCCUGCCGGCGUCGCUGCCAGUUGGAUUCGCCUGGAUCUGGGGCUGUCCAUUCCAGCGCCGCCCGGCGCUAUUGGCGGCUGCUCUGCGUCUCGUCGUGUGGAGGAUGUGACCGGGGUUUGGGAGAAAUCCAUGGUCGGCCAGCAGCAGUUGGUCGAGACAGCGGCGACGCUUCCCGUCGUUCCCAUCUUGAUGGCGUUGUCUUCAUCCCCCGGUCUUGUGAUGUUUUGGGUGUGCUAUGUGGAGUUCUAUGCUUGGUGAUGCCCUUCGACUACGCCGGUGGCACACAGGUGCCGUGGCGUCGUCUCGGCCUGGGUGACCGUUCGAAUGUACCCCAUGACACAAGUGGUGUCGUGGCAUUGUGCAGUCUUGGUUGCCCGUUGCUUUUCGAUUGCGUCGACGGUGCAGUGUCAUGGUUUAGUCUCGGCUCGCCGCCGCAGUUCGAGCGCCCGUGGUGCCCCUUGUUGUGAUGUUUUGGGUGUGCUCUGUGGAGUUCUAUGCUUGGGGAUGCCCUUUGGCUACGCCGGUGACACACAGGUGCCGUGGCGUCAUCUCGGCCCGGGUGACCGUUCGAAUGUACCCCAUGACACAGGUGGUGUCGCGGCGUUGUGCAGCCUUGGUUGUCCCGGUGCUUUUCGAUUGCGUCGAUGGUACAGUGUCGUGGUUUUGCCUGGGCUCGCCGGUGCAGUUCGAGCGCCCGUGGUGCCCCUUGUUUUGCUGUGUCCCCCCCUCGCCAUGUGUUUGCCUGUGUGUUAUUUUGCUUUAUUUCUUCUUCCCGUGCCCCCUGUACUUCUCUGGUUCACUUGAACCCUAUUUUGUAUUAGGCUUUAAAGCCUAUAGGCAACAAAUGAAUACAAUUCAAGUNNNNNNNNNNNNNNNNNNNNNNNNNNNNNNNNNNNNNNNNNNNNNNNNNNNNNNNNNNNNNNNNNNNNNNNNNNNNNNNNNNNNNNNNNNNNNNNNNNNNNNNNNNNNNNNNNNNNNNNNNNNNNNNNNNNNNNNNNNNNNNNNNNNNNNNNNNNNNNNNNNNNNNNNNNNNNNNNNNNNNNNNNNNNNNNNNNNNNNNNNNNNNNNNNNNNNNNNNNNNNNNNNNNNNNNNNNNNNNNNGGCGCUGGUGUAAAAGCACCUGGGGCUGGGACGAAAGCAAAGUUGUAGCUAUCAUGCAUUGUGCAUGCAGGCAAUUAGAAUUUACGAAAACAAAUAGAAAUUGUGAUUCUAAUCGGAUUCAUUGUAUUACAUGAUCUUUUGCAUAUCAGACUCUCUUUGCUGACAUCUGGUGAAGUUGUGGUCCAGGAGAAGCAUGAAGAUUUUAUAGCGCUAGCUUUCCCCUUCCGAUAGUCAUGCUAUCUUUCUCUAGGUUUUCUAAACUGAGAUUAUAUUUACUGCCAGAUUUUGAUCUGAUAUACCGUGAAAAUGUUACUAAUUUUCAGAUCCGGAAGUAGCAGAGUCCGCCAAAGGCCAACAACUGAGAUUGUCAAUGUGUACAUGGCAUGCAUGUUUCUGUAUUUCUUUUGCUGGCACCAGUUACAUGUUGUGUUAGCACUUCCUAUAGAUGCUCAAAAAUAUUAAAUGUGAUGGAGUAGUGUCACCAUUUAUGCAAGAGAGUGGUUUUUCUAUACCCAGGGUUGGUGCACCCACGCUGCACCCAUUAUCUAGCCCAUCCAUGUUUGCUGCUUUCCUCGAGAUACGUUUCAAGAACUGAGAUUAAAGCAAUGCGUGAAUAGAAAUUUAGGCAGGAGACAUAGGAACAGAAUAGGGUACUGUUCACCGCACAACCUGACAAAUGCAUGCACAUCUCUCUCCCCUCACGCCAACUUUCUGUCACAUGCAUGUACAGUUCCUCUCUCAGCUCCCCUCUCUCUCUUCUCACGUCACCUCUCUCUUAAAAAGUUUACUACUAAAUAUGAGUACCAAAAGUUUGACUUUCUUUGACAAAUAGAAAGGGCGAGGAAAAGCUUUUGAUAGAAAAUUGUAGUUUUUCGUAGUUUUAAAGAGUUGAGAGAGCUGGUGAGAUAAUUUUUAAUGAGAGAGAGAGCAUUCAUGUACACCAUGCGAGUGGAAAAGUGAGCAUGCAUGCUGUGCAUGUGAGAGAGCAUUUUUUAGAACAUGUCAGAGAGCUUGAGAGACAGAGGGCGUGAGGAAAGAGAGUGUGAGAGAGAUUGAGCACGCAUGUGAUAGGUCCCACAUUUUGUGCAGGCCUACUAGUACAUAGCUGUGCUACUGCUAAUCACCUGGCGCACCUUCAAACAGUUCGGCCCGCAGUACGAAUCUCACGGCAAAUGAACGCUAUGGAUAAGGGGGUGCAGCGGGGGUGCAGCCAACGUGGGUAUAGCCACUACUUUCCCUUUAUGCAACCCUAUCCAGGAAUCCUUUCAUCUCUCUCUCUAUAUAACUAUAUAUUGACGCAAGGUGGGAGAAGAAGCAGGUGACUGGCCUUUACUGUGUUUUGUUAUGGUCCUCUCCUAUUUAAUGGUAGAUAUGAUGUAUAGGUUGAAGCAUCUGAUGUUUCUUUCAGUGCAUAUUUGUGCUUUACGACGUUUGAUGCACACAUAGUUGAACCUCUUAUUCCAUGUAAUACUUUGCCAAAGAAGAAUUUAUUAACGUUACUGCUUUUGCUCUUUUCAGAUAUUAGCCUGGGUGUAUAAGCAUACAUGCCACACAUUGUAUUCAAAUUUCAAUGCAAGACUAAACUAGGGGAUUAAUUAUUAUGGAAGGGAAAUGAUUGAAUAACAAAUUGUAUAGAUUUAGUAUCAUAUCAUUUAUUUGUGACUGCAUGAUCUUAAUUGUGCAUCUGUGAAAAUAUUUUAGGCUCUUGCUCUUGGAAGAUUAGACUGAUGUGGUGUUGCUUUAUAAAUAAAUGACAAGCUAGCUUACAGGUUUGAUUUAGGUGUGUAGGCAGAGGCGAAAAAACUAUCAUAAUCUCAGGUUUAGGCAUGCACAUGGCCACUUAUCACAAAAUAGGUAGGCACAGGUGCAGUAUUGUGAUUUUCAGUAAGAGAAAGAGAAGUGCAGUUAAUUGUUCAGAUUUUAAGCUACACUUGAACCUUGCCCUAAUAACUAGAACUGUUGUGAUGUUGCUCUAUUAUAAGUGCCUUGCUUAAAUGCUUGGUUAGGUCGAGUGUGUAACACAAAGAAGGCUAGCUGAACCAUGCUAGAAAUAACAUUAAUGUGUUAAGCUUCAGAUAAGCCAAAUACUUUGUGAUAAGCUUCUAUGGAACUUACCUGGGUUUGGGAAGAAAGCAAAGAUGUAGCUAUCAUGUGUUGUGCAUGGAGGCAAUGCUUCUGUAUAGGUAUGCCACAUCUGUUAUCUGACACUCGGCACCAGUUUUUAUAGCAAUUUGAAUUUGUGAUUCUAAUCCGAUUCAUUGUAUUACAUGAUCCUUUAUGUAUUAGCAUGUCCUUACCGGCACAUGGUAGAAGUUGUGAUCCAGCAGAAGAAUGCCGGUCUUAUAGCUCUUGCUUCGCCCGGCUGACAGUCCUUCGUGCUCUCCUCUUGGUAUAACAUUCAAUGGUAGUGAUAGCGUUGGGUGUGCCUCUGCACCCUUUCAUGUAAUUGUGUUUCCCCAACAAAUUUUUUAAUUGUAAUCUCACAGGUUUUACACUCAGAGAAACAGUUGGAGUAAUGGUUAAUGAUCCAGUGUUGAGAAAAUAAUAUGAAAUGAAAUGUGCGUUGACUGGCUUUAGUUUUCUUUCCCAUCAUACAAUGCAUCUUUACGUUUUCCUAAAUUUUAUGUAUUAAAAGGGUCCUGAGUAUAUCCAAAUUGUGAACAAUUUAUUCUAUAUUGUUUUGCUUUAGAAGUUUCUCCAUGACGGCGCUUUCCAACUGGAAAAAGUAUAAGGCCAGCGACCCAUUUUUUGUUCUAUAGGCAUCCCUUUGCACGCACAUUCUGUAAAUUAGACUAAGCAGGGAGACUUCGACAAUUGUGUUCGCUGUCGUCACCCUUUCAAACAAUAUAUCAUCUCCCGGUUCAUUUUUUAAUGCAAGUUUACAGCUAUUCGGACUUUCUAAUUGCAGGCUCACUAUCUUGCCUUACCGAUGACCUAAUUUGUUGCAUUAUUACCUUAAGAAAAUAUUUGCAUUAAUUUCCUUUAUAUAUAGGGUUAUAAGUUCUUACCAAAUGUACUUAACACAGUUGAAGGGUAAUGAUCAUACGUUUGUAAUACAUUGUAUUGCCCAGAAUAGGUCCUAUUCUUCUACCUUUUCCAGGUAGUCGAUGGCUAUUCACAGCUAUCACCGUAAUCCAAAGAAGAGUUUGAACUAAUGCUUUAUUUCUGUCUUCGCUCAAAUAUAAGGAUACUGAAAAAAUGCAAAUAUUUUCAAUACGAACAUGGUUUAAAACUGGUCUCUGCGUCAUUUGGCGCAACGGGUCAUCUAGUAAUGUAACACAUGCAUGAUGCUUUGACUUAGUACUGGUCCCUUGGAUGCACGUACGUGAGCUUCUUCUACUUGGUUUGAGCACACGCAUUGGCGUCUAGGAUUUAAAUACUCAUGUGCUUCAAAAUCUUCAAUAUAAUUCCGCCUUUUAAUACGUAGUGUAUAUGUGUUUCCAAUAAUUUUGCAUAAAUCACAAAAAUGUGUAGUAUUUUUGCCCCUGAUAAUAAAAUAUAAUAUUAUAGAAUUAUCAAUAGAAAUUACCUGAGAAAUAUCUCGUGUAAUAUUUGUAGAAGUAUUUAUGGUGUCUAUGCCCACAUCACCCGCUGACGUGGAUAAGUGAAGAGGUAUUUCGGUUAGUACGUUUUCUGUUUCCUAAAGAGUAUUCUUUCCUUUAUUUAUUUAAAAUACAUUUUCCCUUCUAGAAAGCGUAUUCGUGUCAACUGCGGCUGAAAAUACGCUUACCUUUCAAGAAAACGUAAUCUACCCGAAGGCGCUUUCAGUUUUUCCUCCCAGAGACUUGUUUGUAGUAACUUUUAUUACAGAUUGGUCCCUAAGCUUCCACCCUUGGUAUCUCCGCAACCGUAAGUCCGAUUGGGGUGAAACCAACGCUCACUUCUUCAUCUCGUUGAGAUCUUUCUGUGAGUAACAUUUUCACUAGGUGGUCCCAUAGUGAAAAUGACCAUUUUGCCCUUAAUUCUAAUCAGCCCCUUUUGAGAGAGAAGAACAUCCGACAAACCAUUCCGCGGCUUCACCGCACUUCUUCCCGGAAUCUCCAUCACCCCCAGGCAAGCCACAACAGCCACUUGCAUGAUAGCCAUACAGUAGCCAUGGUUUCUACUUGAAUAUUUAAUAAAAGUUUGCUCGUUAACUGCUUGUUUGUUUGCUACUACUAUCGUUGUUUCGGUUAUGCUCGUGGAUUCAUGUUCACCUUCAUGCUAUGUUCCGAUGCAUCUUGUUAUCUUGUACUACUUGCUAGUAUCAUGUUCACUUGUUAUGCUUGGUAGUAGUAGUACAUGCUGGUAGCAGUGGUGUUCUUCCUGAUGCAUGUUUGUCGUCUAUCAAGUGCCGUUGUUAUGCAUGUUCCUUUGCAUCUAGUUGGUUACAUGCUUACUUGAUAGUGUUCUUGCUAUUGCAUGGUAUUUACUUAUGAUGCUAGUAGUCAUGCUAUGCUCAUGUGUAAUGUUAUGCUUAUGCUCGUCGGUAUGCCAUGCUCAUUUGGUUUAAUGGUUCAUUAUGGUUAUGCUCGAUGAUUGUGUUGCACCUUCAUGCUUAUGUUGAUAUCAUGCUCAUGCAUUAUAGUUGCAUCAAAUUUUCUUAUGGCUCAGCUCACUGCAUUCAAGUUUAACCGGAUAAUAAUGAACUUGAACAACUGUUGGCUGAGUCAUGGUGCACCAAAUCGAACUAUAAUGCAGCCACAUUUGCCUUUUAUGGGAAGGCCCUAAUGCGGUCUAUUGUCAUGCCUCUCGCCGGUGCCUCCAACGAGGGAAGGUUAUGGCCGCGCGCUACCCUGAUCAGGUACGCGGACAUAAACCUUGUGUGCUCGUUGUUGUUGUAAGGAUCCUUGUCCCCGUUUGGGACCGUUUAUGUUUUGCCACGACGGUAGCCGUUGGAUGUCACGAGUUGACAUCGGGGCCACCCAGGACUUAGCCCAAAGGGGAGUUUGUCGGAGUGGCUGGGAGAGUGUGAUGACAAUAGAUCGGUUUUGUCGGAAUGCCGUUGGUCCACCCGAAUGGGAGCACGAGGCCAUGGGUUCUGUGGUGUGGGUACAGUGUACUAACCUCUGCAGAGUGUGUGUUUAAAUCUAUCGAUAGCCGCGCCCGCGGAUAUGGGCCCAGUUCAUAGUCGGUCACACUAUGAGCCAACUAUAAUAAUAACUUGAUUAAUAAUAACCCCGGUUCGUUGAUGAGAAAGAGAUUGGUUGUGAUCGAGAGAGGAUCACGGAGGUAUCGUGGAUACCGAGGUUGGUUGAUCUUUAUGUGAUCGCGAGAUGAUCAUGGAGGUAUCGUGGAUACCGAUGUUGGUAAGUUGAUGCAUGAGAUGGUUACGAGGUAACCGCCGAAUAAGAGUAAGUUGGUGCAUGAUACGGUUUACCUGUUGCAUGUAGUAUCGUCAUGUUCAUAUGCUCAUGACAUGCUAAUGUUAUUCUAGCCGUAUCAUGUUCAGUUUGUGCAUGCCAUGUAUCAUGUUCAUGAUUGCUUUAACCUGCUAAUGCCAUGAUGUUGUUUGUCUUGACUGCUUUUGGUUAAUUAUGAGCUUGCAGGUACAUUCAAUGUACUGACCUGGCGUGUCAUGACAGUUUGCAGGUCCUGCCUAGUCUGCUUGCUUGUUUGCCGAGGAUCUUGAGUUUGCGAGCUAGGAUAAAUGUUCCAGCCAGAGUCCCUGCGGAGUGGAGUCCAUCACUAUCGUUCGUUGUUCCACUGCCAGUAGAGGUUCUGUUGCCUCGAGUUGUUAUGCUGCUUGCAUAGAGCAAUUGUGGUUGGCGUAGCGUCGCCGUGCCGGUGUUAUUCAUUGUAAUAUCGGAGACCUUGUAUUCGUAUUCAUGUUGUAAUAGAGAGCUAGUUUGUUCUAUGCUAAGCAAUGCCGUAUUCCAGAAGACUUCACCUUGAUCUCUGGGCUGGAAUACAGGGCGUUCCGGUUUCUCUGAGCUGGGGUGCCACAGUGUGGUUCUUAAGCGCACGUAUGUCAUUAUUGUAAUCCCUACAGAACUUGUUUUAGAUCAAUUAAAGUGAGUGUGUUAACCCUAAAAAAAGUGAAUGAAAUUUUCUGGGUACAUAGAGAACAUCCAUUAUGUAUUCCUAGAAAAUAAAUCCCAACGGAGCCCGGCAAGGUGCGGAAGUGUUGCGCUCAUUCUGCUAGCUCUAACGGACUAGAAUAUCUAGAGGGGAAAACCACUCGGAUAGUGGGCGCCAGACGACGAUGUUUCUAAAAAAUUGUUGUUGUUGUUGUUCUUCUUCUUCUUCUUGUUCUUGUUGUUGUUGUUGUUGUUGUUAGAGAAAAAAUCCAAUUUUUUUGAAUUUAAAUAUUUUCUCAACGGAGCCUGUGAAAAUGCCACAUUGGUUCUGCUAGCUCUCAGGGACUAAAAUAUCUAGUGUCGUAUUAGAAUAUCUAGCGGGCAAAACCUGUUGGGGAACGUAGUAAUUUCAAAAUUUUCCUACGCACACACAAGAUCAUGGUGAUGCAUAGCAACGAGAGGGAAGAGUGUUGUCCACGUACCCUCGUAGACCGACAGCGGAAGCGUUAUCACAACGCGGUUGAUGUAGUCGUACGUCUUCACGAUCCGACCGAUCAAGUACUGAACGUACGGCACCUCCGAGUUCUACACACGUUCAGCUCGAUGACGUCCCUCGAACUCCGAUCCAGCCGAGUGUUGAGGGAGAGUUUCGUCAGCACGACGGCGUGGUGACGAUGAUGAUGUUCCACCGACGCAGGGCUUUGCCUAAGCUCCGCAACGGUAUUAUCGAGGUGUAAUAUGGUGGAGGGGGGCACCGCACACGGCUAAGAGAUCUCAAGGAUCAAUUGUUGUGUCUCUGGGGUGCCCCCCUGCCCCCGUAUAUAAAGGAGCAAGGGGGAGGCAGCCGGCCAAGGGGAGAGGCGCGCCAUAGGGGGAGUCCUACUCCCGGUGGGAGUAGGGCUCCUCCUUUCCUUGUGGGAGUAGGAGAAGGGAAGGGGGAAGGAGAAAGAAGGAAGGGUGCGCCCCCCUUCCCUAGUCCAAUUCGGACCAGACCAUGGGGAGGGGUGCGGCCACCUUUUGAGGCCUUUCUCUCCUUUCCCGUAUGGCCCAUUAAGGCCCAAUACGAAUUCCCGUAACUCUCCGGUACUCCGAAAAAUACCCGAAUCACUCGGAACCUUUCUGAAGUACGAAUAUAGUCGUCCAAUAUAUCGAUCUUUACGUCUCGACCAUUUCGAGACUCCUUGUCAUAUCCCCGAUCUCAUCCGGGACUCCAAACUCCUUCGGUACAUCAAAACUCAAUAAAACUGUCAUCAUAACGUUAAGCGUGCGGACCCUACGGGUUCGAGAACUAUGUAGACAUGACCGAGACACGUCUCCGGUCAAUAACCAAUAGCGGGACCUGGAUGCCCAUAUUGGCUCCCACAUAUUCUACGAAGAUCUUUAUCGGUCAGACCGCAUAACAACAUACGUUGUUCCCUUUGUCACCGGUAUGUUACUUGCCCGAGAUUUGAUCGUCGGUAUCUCGAUACCUAGUUCAAUCUCGUUACCGGCAAGUCUCUUUACUCGUUCCGUAACACAUCAUCCCGCAACUAACUCAUUAGUCACAAUGCUUGCAAGGCUUAUAGUGAUGUGCAUUACCGAGUGGGCCCAGAGAUACCUCUCCGACAAUUGGAGUGACAAAUCCUAAUCUCGAAAUACGCCAACCCAACAAGUACCUUUGGAGACACCUGUAGAGCACCUUUAUAAUCACCCAUUUACGUUGUGAUGUAUGGUAGCACACAAAGUGUUCCUCCGGUAAACGGGAGUUGCAUAAUCUCAUAGUCAUAGGAACAUGUAUAAGUCAUGAAGAAAGCAAUAGCAACAUACUAAACGAUCGAGUGCUAAGCUCACGGAAUGGGUCAAGUCAAUCACGUCAUUCUCCUAAUGAGGUGAUCUCGUUAAUCAAAUGACAACUUAUGUCUAUGGCUAGGAAACAUAACCAUCUUUGAUCAACGAGCUAGUCAAGUAGAGGCAUACUAGUGACACUCUGUUUGUCUAUGUAUUCACACAUGUAUCAAGUUUCCGGUUAAUACAAUUCUAGCAUGAAUAAUAAACAUUUAUCAUGAUAUAAGGAAAUAAAUAAUAACUUUAUUAUUGCCUCUAGGGCAUAUUUCCUUCAGUCUCUCACUUGCACUAGAGUCAAUAAUCUAGUUCACAUUGCCAUGUGAUUUAACACCAAUAGUUCACAUCACCAUGUGAUUAACACCCAUAGUUCACAUCGUCAUGUGACCAACACCCAAAGGGUUUACUAGAGUCAAUAAUCUAGUUCACAUUGCUAUGUGAUUAACACCCAAAUAGUACUAAGGUGUGAUCAUGUUUUGCUUGUGAGAGAAUUUUAGUCAACGGGUCUGUCACAUUCAGAUCCGUAAGUAUUUUGCAAAUUUCUUUGUCUAUAAUGCUCUGCAUGGAGCUACUCUAGCUAAUUGCUCCCACUUUCAAUAUGUAUCUAGACCGAGACUUAGAGUCAUCUAGAUUAGUGUCAAAACUUGCAUCGACGUAACCUUUUACGACGAGCCUUUUGUCACUUCCAUAAUCGAGAAACAUAUCCUUAUUCCAGUAAGGAUAAUUUUGACCGCUGUCCAGUGAUCUACUCCUAGAUCACUAUUGUACUCCCUUGCCAAAAUCAGUGUAGGGUAUACAAUAGAUCUGGUACACAGCAUGGCAUACUUUAUAGAACCUAUGGCCGAGACAUAGGGAAUGACUUUCAUUCUUUUUUUAUCUUCUGCCGUGGUCGGGUUUUGAGUCUUACUCAAUUUUACACCUUGUAACACAGGCAAGAAACUCUUUCUUUGACUGUUCCAUUUUGAACCACUUCAAAAUCUUGUUAAGGUAUGUACUCAUUGAAAAACUUAUCAAGCGUCUUGAUCUAUCUCUAUAGAUCUUGAUGCUCAAUAUGUAAGCAGCUUCACCGAGGUCUUUCUUUGAAAAACUCCUUUAUGCUUUGCAGAAUAAUUCUACAUUAUUUCCGAUCAACAAUAUGUCAUUCACAUAUACUUAUCAGAAAUGUUGUAGUGCUCCCACUCACUUUCUUGUAAAUACAGGCUUCACCGCAAGUCUGUAUACAACUAUAUGCUUUGAUCAAUUUAUCAAAGUGUAUAUUCCAACUCCGAGAUGCUUGCACCAGUCCAUAGAUGGAUCGCUGGAGCUUGCGUAUUUUGUUAGCACCUUUAGGAUUGACAAAACCUUCUGGUUGCAUCAUAUACAACUCUUCUUUAAUAAAUCCAUUAAGGAAUGCAGUUUUGUUUAUCCAUUUGUCAUAUUUCAUAAAAUGUGGCAAUUGCUAACAUGAUUCAGACAGAUUUAAGCAUAGAUACGAGUGAGAAACUCUCAUCGUAGUCAACAUCUUGAACUUGUCGAAAACCUUUUUGCGACAAUUCUAGCUUUGUAGAUGGUGAUACUACUAUCAACGUCCGUCUUCCUCUUGACGAUCCAUUUAUUCUCAAUUGCUUGCCGAUCAUCGGGCAAGUCAACCAAAGUCCAUACUUUGUUCUCAUACAUGGAUCCCAUCUCAGAUUUCAUGGCCUCAAGCCAUUUUGCGGAAUCUGGGCUCACCAUCGCUUCUUCAUAGUUCGUAGGUUCGUCAUGGUCUAGUAACAUAACUUCCAGAACAGGAUUACCGUACCACUCUAGUGCGGAUCUUACUCUGGUUGAUCUACGAGGUUCAGUAAUAACUUGAUCUGAAGUUUCAUGAUCAUCAUCAUUAACUUCCUCACUAAUUGGUGUAGGUGUCUCAGAAACUAGUUUCUGUGAUGAACUACUUUCCAAUAAGGGAGCGCCUGCUGGUCAGUCCAGUCGUUUAGGGAGAAAGUGAGGGGUCCGGUUGGAUCAACUUUUUUUGACCGGACACUGACUGGGCUGGCGUCUUAGAAGUUUUGGGAGAGUAUAGGGGGUCUGACUGUAGAUGCUCUUAGGUUCAGGUUUGGUGUGUGUGGGGUGGGGUGUGAACUGUACGCAAAAUUCAAGCACACACUAAUUAGGUUCAACAUUUGAACACCACAGUGAAUCGCAAAUUGUAUGGAAGCUUGGUUAUUUUCUUUAGUUCCGACCAAAUCGCUACAAUUCCUAGUUGAUUUUUUUCAAAUUCCUACAUAGUUUGAGAAAAGUUCAAGUUCUGUUUAAGUUUAUUCGAAUUCAUGUGCCACCAAUAAGUGUCAUCGAUACAUUUUGGCCAAUAAGGUGCCUAGUGAUUUAACUGAGAUGUCAGAAUUCCAUGCGAAAUUUCGAUCAAAACGGAACACAAAAGGGAUGGCAGUCCUCCAGAGGAAGACCAUCUUCAAAUGCUUUCUCAUCCUGGACAUCGUGGCCCUGGUGACCAACAUUCUCGUGGUGGUCCUGCUCGUCUACGGCAAGGCCGCACGCUCCGCCCGGUCGUGGAAAAGCUUUGCGGCGGCGUUGCAUUGCAUAUGCAUGGGUGUUCCUCAUCAACAUGCUCCUCGCAUUCUACGCGGCCAUAGCAGCUGUGACGAGCACCAUGGGGGUCUACGAUAUCAGGGUCUUCAUCGUGAAUCUCAUCCUUGUCGUGCUGUUCAUCGUGCUCUCCGCCUUUGUGAGCCCUGCGGUGUCGCACCUCAUAAUGUGCAAGUUCCUGUGGCAAUGCGGCUUCAAAGGACGUCAAGGCGUCGUCCGUAGGCUUAUCAGCCAACAAUAUCCAUUCGUGGGCGCUUUUGUCUUCAACCUGCUUCUAUUCAGGGCUGCGCAUUAUGUUAUACUGUUUGCCGGCUUUAUCAUUGUCUCGACCCUGCGUAGCGGCUUUGAUGUUACUUAGAGCAUCGUUACUAGUAUAAUUAAUGGGGCUCACAAUCAUAAGAUGUCCAAGAUAGUAUAUUUAUAUGUGAAAUCUCUCUUCCUUCAAUAUUCUUUCAUGAAUUGUUCAAGUGACCAAUGUUGUGUUCGCUAACUUUCAAUAAAUUUUACCACCUAUACUUCUUAUAUGUAAAGUCAUUACUCCCCAUGGAAUAAGCAUAUGAAACAUAUAUAAUUUCAUAUUUAUGAUAUUCAAUUCAUUCAACGAUUUACUCAUAUGAUAUAAGUGAAGCACUGGAGUAAAUGACAAAACUACUCCAAAAGAUAUAAGUGAAGAUCGAUGAGUAGUCAAAUAGUUAAAUAGCCAUGUGAGGACUCUCUCUCAUUCAAGAUUUCAGAUGCAAUGAUUUUAUUCAAACAGAUAGUAAAAUGAAAAUACGCUCCAAGCAAAACACAUAUCAUGUGAUGAAUAAAAAUAUAGCUCCAAGUAAGGUAUACUGAUAGUUUUGAAGACGUAAGAGGGGAUGCCUUCCAGGGCAUCCCCAAGCUUAGGAGCUUGAGUCUUCCUUGAAUAUUACCUUGGGGUGCCUUGGGCAUCCCCAAGCUUAGGGUUUUUCCACUCCUUAUUCUCCUCAUAUCGACAUUCUCACUCAAAAUUUGAAAACUUCAAGCACACAAAAUUGAACGAAACUUCGUGAGAUGGGUUAGUAUGAUAAAGACAAAUCAUUCACUCUGGUACUGUCAAGAUAAGAUUCACAAUUAUUUUCACACAAUGCUUACGGUACCAUAUUAUUUCUACAAUUUAUAUUGACAAUAUAAGCCAUAGAAACUAGAAAACAAGCAAACUAUGCAUUAAAAACAGAAUCUGUCAGAAACAGAAUAGUCUGUAAUGAUCUGAACAACAACCAUACUUCUGCUAUUCUAAAAAUUCUGAAAAAUUAGGACAACGUAGGCAAUUUGUAUAUCACUCUUGUGUGAAAAAUUCAGGUCAAAAGCACGCUUCUAUGAUAUUUUUAAAAUUCUGGCAAUGAGCGAGAAAGUUUCUGUUUUUCAGCAAGAUUAAAUCAACUACCAUCAUAAAUCAUCCCAAAGGUCUUACUUGGCACUUUAUUGAAACAAAAGAUAUAAAACAUGAUUACUAUAGUAGCAUAAUCAUGAGAACACACAAAAACAGUAGGGGUAAAUACUGGGUUGUUUCCCAACAAGCAUUUUUCUUUAAUGCCUUUUUAGCUAGGCAUGAUAUUUUAAUGAUACUCUUUCAAGCCCAAUUCCGAUGAUAAUUUUGUUCAUACUUUAAAAGAUAUAAGUGAAGUUCAUAGAGCAUUCUACAAUUAAUAUAGACUAGUACAAAUGCCCGUACAUUGCAAAGGGUGGAAAAAAUUGUAAAACCUGCUCUGUGUGCCAUUAUACGACAUUUCAUAUAUGUAGUUCCGAUAAACAUCGGUAAUGAGAUUACACUAUUGUCGUUUUUUGAAGCAUGAAGUGUGGACAUAUGCCUAUGCGUUGCAACGGAAGAACACAACACGCAAGAUGCAAGAAUUAGGUUGUGCAGAUGUGGCCAAGAUCUCGAGCGCAAACAUUAACCGACGUGCCCUCACACCAUCGAAUUGCCUCAUGCAUCCAGGCGAUGCAAUUCUUGAUUGGUUCCAACUUCCAAACCUACAUGGCAAUUGAUCAUGUGGUCGUGCCUAGGAUAUAUCGAAGGAACAUAUGUUAACUUGAGAUAAGAACUUGUUUAGUUUAGCUGCCUGCUUUGGUUUUGAGUAGUGUGGCCUUCCCCGAAUCUUGUAACAGUUUGAACACCCGACCGGUGUGCGCCUUUUCUUUUGUCUUCUUUGGAUUUUGAUCUCUGUAGUGUUGAACCAGUUGAUACAAAAAAGGGACUUUUAAAAUACCAUUUGGAAAACUAAAAAUAUAAUGGCGUUAUCACGGAUUUAGAUCCUAAGGACCAAUCCAAAAUAUUAUUUGGCCGAAACGUACGUUGCCAUGAGUAAACUUUUUUUUCCGGACAAAAUAGAUACAAAAAGCAAAAUCAAUAUGAAAAUCCAACACAACAUAAGAAUAGAAUUGCCGCCUGGAUGUUUUUUAUGUACAUGACAUGAUUUAAAAAAUCAUUGAGUCUUAUGUAACUGUACUGAAUGAAUCUUAUGGUUAUUGGUAAAGACACAAGGCACAUGUAACAUGCAGGGGUUAUAGCCUGGAAGAAGGCACUUUUUUUCUUUGCUUCUUCUUUGCAUGGCUAAAAUCCAUUUUCUAGAGCAGCAAAGGAUGUACAGGUUUUCAACCACAAUUAAAAAUCCUUUAAACAAUGGCUUGUUUUACUGCCAAAAAAAACAAAGAUAUCCUGGGAACUGGAUGGUGUGUUUUGUUACUAUGGAAUUGUAGAACAUGUCAAUAGUUGGCCGCAUAAAGAAAAGAGGAGGAUCAAGAUGUUGCUGUGAUUAAGUCAUACCAUCUCUUGCUACACAUCCUUCUCUGGUAGGGAAUUGGCAUUGACAACAAAUCCAACUGAAACUUCUUCCUCGGGUUUUUGGUUUGAUCCUGUAGUUCUUGCUCCUGCAGCUCAUUUUGUCAGCCAUUAAAUAAACAAUAGUAACGGAAGGAGCAUACUAUCUAGGGUGAGAAUAAAAUGAAGUUACUGAUUCACCAUGAUCUUAUUUUUUAGGUCAAAUAGCUCAUCAAGUAAUACCUUAUUCUGCAAAAAUAUGCGGCUUCGACAUAAGCAAGGCAGAACCACUAAAAGCACUGUCAUAUAUAGUUAACCUAACUCUACAAAAUUGUCUUAAAAGUUGAGCUAAAUCCUAACUACAGUGGAUACAUCACCAUUUGGAUGCUCUGAAGUAAAGAGGUUUUCACUAAGAGAAUUCGAAACUAAUACAUGUUCUGAAACUGAAACAGUAUUUGUAUAACAGAAAAAGUUCUGAAGCUACUGAACCUUACCUUAUGUAACAGGUUUUCUACCUUCCUUGACCUGAUAUGCUUGACGGAUAUUUCUGUCUGAUUCUCAAUUUGAUCAUGCUCCUUCAUGCUAAGUGGACCUAUAAUACACCGAGUAUAUUUGUACUACUACGGCUGAGGGUUGAUAAAUUGGAGCAACAUUGCAAUAUAUAUAUAUACAAGUAUACAACAAGUAACUGUUCAGCCCCAUCUCUCAAAACUACCUUUGUAUGCAUAUUUCCAAGUUUUAUAAGAAACUUGAGUAUCAUCAGGGGAUGUUGCAUCGUGUUGUAGCAUUGUUACUGUAGUAAAAAGUAAAGUAAAGCACAAACCUAUAAGCUAGGGACUUUGUGAAAACAAAAGUCAUUUCUAGCAUGAAUUAGAUAAAAAAAUGUAGUAAUAAACUUUAUUAUAAUAUGGCUUCAUAUUCUGAACAGUGCAGGCAAAGGUUUUUGGUUAAAUAUUCUUAAAAUCUGCAUCUGUUGUACAUAGAUGUUGCGUGAGAAUAUCCAAACAUAGUACCUAUAUAUGCAAUUAACUAUUAUAGCACAUAAUAGAAUGAAUACAAAGAAUUGGAAAACAUCAAUGGGUGCUUCUACCUAAACCAAAAGGUGGUUCAAUCUUCCUUCUGCAAAGGACAACCUUAUUACAACAAAUUUAAGAGGGAAAGAAAUAUAGGCAAUCACUACCUACAUGACACAUCACAAAAGCCAUAUGCUUAAUUACACCAGGAGCUCGAUCGCACAAAGUUUCGCAGCUCAAACUUCUACACUCACCUGUCCAUCCAUCAUCCAUGGCGGAUCCACCACAUGCUUGGCUUCAAGUUUGGAUGGUUUGCCACCUUCAUCUCACACGACAUGUCACACUGCAUCCAUAAAUCAAUCCAGUUAAUGUUCCAGGACAGGAAAAAAAUCAGAGUAAAUCUAUCGCUGCAUGCAUGGGUCGAUGAGAGAUGGUCGAUCAAUUGUUCAAUCAGAUGGAUUACAAGUGAGAAGCAGUUGACUCAGAUGGCGCACGACGCAUAGCUCGACCAUUGGAUGUCUAAUGGUUGCAAAACAUAAAGGUGGGAUGAUUUCGUAACUGUACUGAAGGUUUGUGCGAUUAAGACCACUGAAAUAUAUACCUGAAUGCGAGUAUUUCUUCACACGUUUGUUGGCGUUCCUCGGUGAUGCCCAACAAAUAUCUCAUUAGAUUGAAAACAGCAAAGUCUGUUUGUUGUCGCUUGCCUGAAAUCAGCAAACUCAUGUACAUAUAAUACUGAAUUUGACACUGCUUUGUAGUGCUUCCAACUACUGAUAGAUAUAUAGAGUUCACCGAGUAGUACAUGGUUAUGAGUAAGAUGAUAGUUUAAGAAUCGAGGAUCAAGUACUCUUAUCUCAUUGAUCACUAAUAGUUGUAAGUUUCAGAAUGUUGUUAGGAGCUAGGGUUCUGCCGGUUCUAGGGCGGAGAUUGUAGGGGAAAGAUGGAGGAAGACGAGGUCGAGGGCGCGGCGGCCGGCGGCCGGCGGCUGGGCGCCGUCCUUGCGUGGUGGAGAAGAGGCGGCGGCGCAAGAGGCGGCUAGGGUUAGGUCUCCCGGCUCCCUAAGGGAAGGCGAGCAAAUACUGAUUGCUUCUUGCUUGAUUAGAUUGAUACAUCUCCUUUCCUUAUAUAGAGAAGUUUACUUGACUCCUAAGCAAACGACCCUAAUACCGAUAAGAUAAUUGGGCUAAGCCCCUAAUAACGAUAAGAUAACUUGGGCCACAGCCCACCUAAUAUGCCGGUCAUAACACUUCUCCCCAUCUGCACAAACAGCUCGUCCUCGAGCUGCAAGGCGGCGAAGCGCUUGCUGAACUCCUCGAGGUGAUCAACCAGCGUCAAACACCUCCGCGACAACUAGGGCGGCCAGGUCGCCGAUCCCAGCGGCGACAGCGUCCUCCUCAAUGUAGUCUGCAGCCUCCAGGUAGAAGAGUCGGGGGCAGACGUGGCCGGGAAUGUAUGUCUCGUCGCAGUUGAAGCACAACCCUUGGCGGCGACGCUCGAGUAGCUCGGCCGAGGUGAGCCGGCGGAACGGGCAUGCCGCAGUCGCGACAAGGGGUGCCGCGGAAGCCAGAGCAGGCCGACCCUGCGCGGGAACAUCCGGCCAGGGUGGCGGCCCAGCGGUCCGGGACGGUGAUGCCUGCUGGAUGGCCACCGCGCGUCGCUCGAACGCGCGGGCGUAGUACAUGGCCAUCUGGAGGUCCUGGGGUCCCUGCAGCUCGACGUCCACGCGGAUAUGAUUUGGCAGACCGCCGACAAAGAGUUCGCCCGCUGGUGAGCCGUCACGCCGGACGCGUGGCAUGCCAUGGCCUGAAAGCGGUCGGUGUAGUCCUGCACCGUAGAGGUGAAGGGAAGGCGGCCCAACUCCGCCAGCCGGCUCCCACGUAUCGGUAGUCCGUAGGAGGCAGAACUCGCGAAAACGCUCCCAUGGGGGCAUGCCGCCCUCGUCCUGCUCGAGGGCGUAGUACCACGUCUGUGCGGCGCCGCGGAGAUGAUAAGAGGCGAGCCAGGUGCGGUCCGACGCGAGCGUCUGUUGCCCCCGGAAAAACUGCUCGCACUGGUUGAGCCAGUUGAGGGGGUCCUCGGCACCGUCGUAGGUGGCGAAGGCGAGCUUGGCGAAGCGCGGCGGUGUCUGAGCAUGACCGCCGUGAGUGUACUGCUCGGUGGUACGGAGCAGCGAAGAGGAUGGUGUUGGUCCGGUGUGCACAGGUGGUCCACAGGAAAGCGGUGGCCCGUCGAAGCCAGCAUGGAAACCCACGGAGCCGGAGGGCCCGCCGUACGACAGGGAGGGCGCCGGCUGGUCCGCGGCCAUGGUGUAUACUGGUGGCGGUGACGUUCCGGCCAACCAGGCCGGAAGCUGGGACGGCGAGGGCGGGACCGCACUUGCUGAAUCGGCACGCUCGCCGGCGCGGUUGUAGUCAGCCCGGUGCUGGGCGGCGGAGGCGCCGGCAGCGGCAGUUGCUGCUGCCUGGAAACGGCGGAGGAGGCGGGCGCGGCGAUGGCCGCGGCCGGCCAUUGUGGCCAGAUCGGGGUGGUGGCGGGGGCUGGCUGUAGCUGCAGCGGCCCGACCAGCGUCGUGGUGGCCUCGGGGUGCGGCGGCUGCCAGGGCGGUGGCGACGAGGACCCGAGUGGCGUGAGUGACGCGACGAGGGCCAGUGCCGUCCACUGCGGCCAUUGGGGCGCGGCGGCGGGCGGCGGCUGAAGCGGCCAGUGGUGGUGUAGAGGCCCGGUCGGCGCCGCGGGUGCCGAAUACCACGGCAGGGCGGCUGGCCCGGUCGCGGCGGCCUGGCGGCAAGGGCGGCGGCGGCCCGUAGGGGCUGGCUAGGUAUAGCCGUAUCCCCUGGACGGUGGUGACGAGAUCGUUGAGGACCCCGGUGAUCUUCGCCGGGGAGUAGACGGCGGCCGGUGGUGCGGUGGAUGGCGUCGUCGUGUGGGUGGUGGGGCGCCGGAGGAUGCGACCAGCGGCGCGGACGGGGAGGGCAGCGGCGCGGUGGUGACGGUCGGCAGCGGAAGCAACGGGAUAGGCGACGGCGAAGACAUGAUCGGAACUCAGCUACCUAAUACCAAGGUGUUAGGAGCUAGGGUUCUGCCGGUUCUAGGGCGGAGAUUGUAGGGGAAAGAUGGAGGAAGACGAGGUCGAGGGCGCGGCGGCCGGCCGUCGUCCUUGCAUGGUGGAGAAGAGGCGGCGGCGGCGCAAGAGGCGGCUAGGGUUAGGUCUCCCGGCUCCCUAAAGGAAGCCGAGCAAAUACUGAUUGCUUCUUGCUUGAUUAGAUUGAUACAUCUCCUCGCCUUAUAUAGAGAAGUUUACUUGACUCCUAAGCAAACGACCCUAAUACCGAUAAGAAAAUUGGGCUAAGCCCCUAAUAACGAUAAGAUAAUUUGGGCCACAGCCCACCUAAUAUGCCGGUCAUAACAAAUGUGCAUUGUGCACAAAUACUGACAGUACAGAGUUCAUCGAGAAGUCAAAGGUUAUCUGUAAGAUAAUAUCUUUGCAAUCAAGGGCGAAAUACUCUGAAUAGGCGUUCAUACAAUAUCUGCCAAGAAUUCAGGACCUACCUUAUAACCUAUAAAGGGGGCAAACCUUUCAAAAUGAUUGUAGGAAAUAUGUAUCAUGCAACUUUGUUUCAAGCACAAUACCAAUUAAAAACCUCACGUUGCUGUCACAAAAAUACAUAGAAUAGUCUUUACAAUUAUGCCAAGAAAAUUCAGUAUGGAUGUAUGUUAACCUGAAGCUGUCGCAAGGUUCCGUCUUGACCUCAUGAACAAAUUCGAUCUCAAAUUUACUUGAGUCGCAUGAUUUAUGGACGAAAAAAAUUCAAAAACAGUGGCAAUAGAUAAAUCAUCGCAUAGAAAUAUAUCAAAACAGAGAUAUUUUAUCGUCCAUGCGCUGCUGUGAAGAAACCAAUCAAAUAUGAACCUGUUAUUCGAUAUGGGAUAUAAAGAACACAAUAUGGAGCGUAGCUUGCUUUCUGUUUGAAUUUUUGUCUGCUAUCCUCAAGUUCAGAUGCUAUGAUCUAGAUGCAUCUAUGGAAGUAGCUUAUAAUGAUGUAUUUCUGGAUAUGCUAAGUUUUACCUGUCAAUGUUCAUUACCGGCAGCAAUUCGUACCAUUCCAUUGGGGGUGCAGAUACUCCAGUGCGUAGCUAAAGAGCAGUUGCAUUGGCCUUCUUCUUCAACGGAUUGAUUCUUUCCAAAUCAGACACGGGUCUCGCGCGCGAGCACAACGCCGUUCACGGCCCGCAGCCCCUGAAGCAAGCUGUUGACGCCCGCAUCGUCAAGGUGCAGCCGCCGUCGCUGGCUCCAGGACAGCACCUCCUCCUCGUCGCCCGUCAAACCACCGCCCCGGCCCCGGCGCCAUCGGCAACGGCCCGACGCCGUGCUUUCGCGCCCGAGCCCCGGCGAGGCAGCCUCCAUCCUCCCAAGCGAGCACGCCGGCCGCCACCAAGCCCUCGCGACCGCCGUCGCCCUCGCCAAGCCCCCGCCGGCGUCCUCCUGCGCAUCCUCGACCCCGCCUCCUCGCGCCCGCGCGCCGCCGCCUCGGCCUCGCGUCACUGGCGACAAGCCCCCGCCGGAGCUCCCCGAGCUCGCUCGCCUCCUCGCCGGAAGCCGCCGCCGCUGGGAAUGGAUUCGCCAAUGCCAGCCGCGACGCCUCGCCCCAUUCCUGGGGUCGGGCAACGCGUACGCCCGCCUCCUUGGCUCCUGUGGCGUGGACUCUGGCGGCAAACGGCUACGCGUGACGGCGCGUGCCCGGCGGUGGUGGAUGGGAAUGGAUAAGCGGUGGUGCGCGGUGGUAAUUGCCGGGAGUUUUUUGUAAAAAUGAAACGUUUUCUUAAUUUAAAAUAGGACCGCGGGUUGAAUUCUCAUAACCAGAGGGACUUUUUUGCAAAUUUGCUAAUGACGUACUAUCAGAAGCCCUAGCUGCUUUAUUAGUAGGUAGAGAUUGACCAAGAUCCAAGCUCAAGAUAUAUAAGUGAAGCACACGAAACAUUCUAUAAAGCCAUACUAAAAAAAUUUAAGUGAAGCACAAAGAGCAUUCUAUAAAGCCAUACUCAAAGAUUUAAGUGAAGCACAUGAAGUCAAGAUAAGAUUCACAAUUAUUUUCACACAAUGCCUACAGUACCAUAUUAUUUCUACAAUUUAUAUUGAGCAAUAUAAGCCAUAGAAACUAGAAACAAGCAAACUAUGUAUUAAAAAAGAAUCUGUCAGAAACAGAAUAGUCUGUAAUGAUCUGAACAACAACUAUACUUCUGCUAUUCCAAAAAUUCUGAAAAAUUAAGACAACGUAGGCAAUUUGUAUAUCACUCUUGUGUGAAAAAUUCAGGUCAAAAGCACGCUUCUGUGAUAUUUAUAAAAUUCUGACAAUGAACGCGAAAGUUUCUGUUUUUCAGCAAGAUUAAAUCAACUACCAUCAUAAAUCAUCCCAAAGGUCUUAUUUGGCACUUUAUUGAAACAAAAGCUAUAAAACAUGAUUACUACAGUAGCAUAAUCAUGAGAACACACAAAAACAGUAGGGGUAAAUACUGGGUUGUCUCCCAACAAGCGUUUUUCUUUAAUGCCUUUUUAGCUAGGCAUGAUAUUUUAAUGAUACUCUUCCAAGCCCAAUUUCGAUGAUAAUUUUGUUCAUACUCUAAAAGAUAUAAGUUAAGUUCAUAGAGCAUUCCACAAUUAAUAUAGAUUGACCAAUAUCCAAGCUCAAAAUAUAUAAGUGAAGCACACGAACCAUUCUAUAAAGCCAUAAUAAAAAAUUUAAGUGAAGCACAAAGAGCAUUCUAUAAAGCCAUACUCAAAAGAUUUAAGUGAAGCACAUGAAUUCAAGAUAAGAUUCACAAUUAUCUUCACACGAUGCCUACGGUACCAUAUUAUUUCUAUAAUUUAUAUUGAGCAAUAUAAGCCAUAGAAACUAGAAAACAAGCAAACUAUGCAUUAAAAACAGAAUCUGUCAGAAACAGAAUAGUAUGUAAUGAUCUAAACAACAACCAUACUUCUGCUAUUCCAAAAAUUCUGAAAAAUUAGGACAACGUAGGCAAUUUGUAUAUCAAUCUUGUGUAAAAAAUUCAGAUCAAAAGCACGCUUCUGUGAUAUUUUUAAAAUUCUAGCAAUGAGCGCAAAAGUUUCUGUUUUUCAGCAAGAUGAAAUCAACUACCAUCAUAAAUCAUCCCAUAGGUCUUACUUGGCACUUUAUUGAAACAAAAGCUAUAAAACAUGAUUACUACAGUAGCAUAAUCAUGAGAACACACAAAAACAGUAGCGGUAAAUAUUGGGUUGUCUCCCAACAAGCGUUUUUUUCUUUAAUGCCUUUUUAGCUAGGCAUGAUAUUUUAAUGAUACUCUUCCAAGCCCAAUUCCGAUGAUAAUUUUGUUCAUACUCUAAAAGAUAUAAGUGAAGUUCAUAGAGUAUUCUACAAUUAAUAUAUAUUGACCAAUAUCCCAGCUCAAAAUAUAUAAGUGAAGCACACGAAGCAUUCUAUAAAGCCGUACUCAAAAGACUUAAGUGAAGCACAUGAAGCACUGUAUGAAUCAAUGAAGGACUAUCUCAUACUAGCAUGGUGCAUAAAGGAAAAGAAAAUAAAAAUAAACACAAAAGACGCAUAUCAUGUGAACAAAACAAAAACCGAGGUAUACCGAUAAUUGUUGAAGAAUAAAGAUGGGAUGCCAACCGGGGCAUGCCCAAGGUUAGAUGCUUGAGUAUCCUUGAAAUAUUUACUUGGGGUGCCUUGGGCUUCCCCAAUCUUGAACUCUUGUCUCUCCUUAUUCUUCUCAUAUCGAUAACUCCUCGAUCUUCAAACACUCCAUCCACACAAAACUUAACAGAAAACAUUGUGAGAUUCGUUAGUAUAAUAAAGCAAAUCACUACCUUUAGGUACUGUUGUAAACUCAUUCCAAUUUCAUAUUAGCAUUAAAUCUACUAUAUUCCAACUUCACCAUGGUUCAUACCCCCAAAUAUUACCCAUAGAUUCAUCAAAGUAAGUGAACAACACAUAGAAAACAGAAUCUGUCAAAAACAUGACAGUUUGUAGUAAUCUGGAAACUUUGUAUACUUCUGUAACUCCAAAAAUUCUAAAAAAAUAGGACAACCUAAAUUUUUUGCAUAGUAGUACUGUGUAAAAAUUUCAGGAUUUUAUAGCGCUCCAGUAAAAAGUGUAAAUUCAAUUACUACAACAAAAGUUUCUGUUUUUUCUGCUGCACACACCAAACAAGCAAUUUAAACAACCUAAAGCCAAAUCUUGGCACAUUAUUUUUAUAUAAUACAAUGGAUAUAAACAAGGGGAUAAUUAUUUUUGAGAAACUUCCAUGAAAAAUUCUACAUUGUUUCCAUGAGCAAGAGCACAAGUGUUCAAGGUCGACCCUCACUUCUCCAAUGCAUAACCAUCCAAUCACUUCUCUUUUUGAAAAAGUUUUUAGGCAUAAGAGGUAAGUAAUUUUUUUUGUAUUUUGCAUUCUUUUUAAAAAAUUGUUUGUUUCACCCACAACUAAAGAAAACAAAAAGGGGAAACAAAAUCUACUUAGUGAAGAAAGCAAACCAGCACACACGAGAAUAUCAACCCCAUGCUAUUGCUCCCCGGUAACGGUGCCAGAAAAGAGCUUGAUAAUCCCCAAGUGCAAGGAAUCAUCGUAGCAAUUUUCCGAAGGUGGAAGUGAUAAGUAUGGCGUGUCGAACCCACAAGGGGCUAAAGGUAAGAUCAAUAUUCUCUCAAGUCCUAUCUGCCACUGAUAUGACUCUACGUACACCGAAUGUUUGCUUUCAUCUAGAAACGAGAAAUAAAACUAUGUUGUGGGUAUGAAGAGGGUAGCUAAGCAUGAUAUCGGAGAACUAAAAUAUAAAAAUAGGUGUUGUUAACAUAAAUUUAGAAUAUAUUACUAUAUAUUAUAAAUAGCAAGUGUGGAUUAAUGAUGGAUCGGUGUGCGGAAUUAUCCUAGGCAAUUGUUAACAAGACCGGUAAUCACUAUUGCAAUUUUAUAUGAGGGAGAGACAUAAGCUAACAUACUUUCUCUGGUUGGAUCAUAUGCAUUUAUGAUUGGAACUCUAGCAAGCAUCUGCAACUACUAAAGAUCAUUAAGGUAAAACCUAACCAUAGCAUUAAAGUAUCAAGUCCCCUUUAUCCCAUAUGCAACAACCCCCUUACUUGGGUUUAAGCUUCUGUCACUCUAGCAACCCACUAUAAGCGAAUCAUGAACGUAUUGCAACACCCUACAGCGGGAAUCCUUCACGUGUGUGCAGCACGGAAGACACCAUAGGACAACACCAAAAAAACAUACAACUCAAACCAAUCUAGAUCAUCAAUCAACCCAAAAGACAAAAGAAAUCUACUCAAAACAUCAUAGGAUGGCAACACAUCAUUGGAUCAUAAUAUGUGACAUAAAGCACCAUGUUCAAGUAGGCGAUUAUAGUGGGGUGCGAGAGAGUGGACCGCUUAAAAGAGAUGAGGAAGGUGAUGAAGAUGGUGAUGUUGAUGAAGACGAUCACCGCGGCGAUGGUUCCCUCAGCGGCACUCCGGCGCCAUCGAGAGAGAGGGGGGGAGAGUCUCCCCCUUGUGCUUCCUCCUCCAUGGCCUCCCCCCUAGAUGGGGAGAGGUUCUCCCUCUGGUCCUUGGCCUCCAUGGUGAUGAUGGCCCCUUCCAGCUUCCUCCUCCAUGGCCUCCGGUGAUGAUGGCCCCUUCCGGCAGGGUGCCGGAGAGGGCCUAGAUUGAUUUUUCAUGGCUACAGAGGCUUGCAGCGGCGAAAUUUCCGAUCUAGGGUUCUUUUUCGGAGGUUUCUGUAUUUAUGAGAAUUUUUUGCGCCAGUCUCACAUCAAGGAGGUGCCCGAGGGGCCCAGCUCCGGUGAUUCGGGGGUCUCUUUUGGUUCAUAAAAAUCACCGUAAAUUUUGAGCCAUUUCCGAGAAUUUUUAUUUCUGCACAAAAAACGACACCACGGUAGUUCUGCUGAAAACAACGUCAGUCCAGGUUAGCUCUAAUCAAAUCAUACCAAAACCAUAUAAAAUUGUUGUAAACAUGGCAUGAAUACUUCAUAAAUUAUAGAUACUUCGAAGACGUAUCAGGAGGACGCGGCGAAGCCGGAGUUGGUCGCGAGCUUCACCACGGAGAACGCCAUGGUGAAGUCCGAGGUCGCUCAAGCGCCGGAGAUGGUAGAGCAGAUCAAGAUCCUGGAGUCCAAUCAGGAUAAGGCCUAUGUGGAGGCCAACCGACGCUACAUUCGGCAAGAACAUGCGGAGAUCGAAGAGCAUUUUGCCGAACUAGAAGAAAAGGACGAGGCGAAGGCCGGCGCGCAGGCAGAGCCGGAGGACCCAGAGUUACGGCUGCUGCGCAUGUACCCGGAGCCCAACACGGAGAUCAUGGACAUCUCUAACAAGAAUGAUAGUCUAGUGUAGGUUUUAGUUGAUCUACAUAACAUGUAGGUUUUCCCUUUUCAUGCUUUGUAUGGAUUUAAGGUUUGAAAUAUGAGGCAUUCGAAUGCAGGCAAGGAAAUUUGAUGGUUGCUCGGUCACUAUCCGCGGGUGCUCCUGGGCACCUCCGCGAGCGUUUAUGGGGACGGGUCUGGUUUCCACGGCUGUAGAUGCUCUAAUAAUAGUAGAAGGGAUUUUCAAGAUUGUUGUUUUAUUCAUGAGUCAAGAUGUAGAAAUUGUGAAGCUGACAGUUUAGCCAAAUUUUUGUAUCUCUAGAUUUUAGUAGACACGUGUGGUUCGGUGUUCCGCACCAUAUUAUAACGAUUCCUCCCAACUUUAUUGAAUAAAUAAAAUGAGGUUUCUAGAAAAACAUCAUAUUAAUUAGUUAAUGAAAUUUUAUGGCCCGUAAAUAGAGACCAUCCAUUAUGUACUCGUAGAAAGAAAUCCAUUUUUUUAUCUAAACUUUUUUCCCAACGGAGCCCGGCAAGGUGCCAAAAUGCUGCACUCGUUCUGCUAGCUCUAACAACUAGUAUACCUACUGUCAGACUAGAAUAUCUAGCUUCCUCAAAAUAAGAUUAUCUAGAUGGGAUAUGAUGUCCGCGGUUGUAGAUGCUUUAAUAAUAGAAGAAGGGAUUUUCAAUAUUGUUAUUUUAUUCAUGAGUCAAGAUGAAGAAAUUAUGAAGAUGACAGUUUGGCCAAAUUUCCGUUUUCUCUUGAUUAUAGUACACCACUACUAGGGAAAACCUUAUAGACAGAAUAUUACCAGCAGCGUGGUGUAAAAAAGGCGCUGCUGCUACUUAGCAGUAGCGCGCUACAACAAAAGGCACUACUGCUUUCCACAUAGCAGUAGCGCGCCAGGAAGAAAAAGCGCUACUACUACAAUUGCCAUGACCUCGUCGCGAGACUAGGUAUAGUACUAGCGCCUGUUUCCUAAACGCGCUACUGUUAUGUCGUUUAGCAGUAGCGCUUUAUCCCGACCCGCGCUACUGCUAAAGCUGUCCUAUCUUCUCCAAUCGGCCGCCCCUCACUCUCCCCUCUCCACUCCACUCUCACUCCCCCCCGCACCCCCAUCGUCCGCCGCCGCCGCCGUUUCCCGACCACCAUCGUCGCCCGCCGCCGUCGACGCUCCUGCUCCUCCUCCAUUGAGGUAGUUCCUGUAUCCCUCCUCCUUCCACCUCCCUCCCCUCAUCAUCCCUCUCCUGAUCCCUCCCUCCCUACCGCCCCCUCUUCCCUCCUCCUCCAGCCAAGCCCUCCGUCGGCAGCCCUCCUCCCCCUCCUCCUCUCUCCUUCUGCUACCUCUCGAGCAUUGCGUUGGUUUUCCCUGGAAGAGGAAAGGGUUAUGCAGUAAAGUAGCGUAAGUAUUUCCCUCAGUUUUUGAGAACCAAGGUAUCAAUCCAGUAGGAGACCACGCGCGAGUCCCACGCACCUACACAAACAAAUAAGAACCUCGCAACCAAUGCGAUAAAGGGGUUGUCAAUCCCUUCACGGUCACUUACGAGAGUGAGAUCUGAUAGAGAUGAUAAGAUAACAUUUUUGGUAUUUUUAUGAUAAAGAUUAAAAGUAAAGAUUGCAAAGUAAACAAAGAUAGAAAUAGCUUGUUGACGGGAGAUUAAUAUGAUGGAGAAUAGACCCGGGGGGCAUAGGUUUCACUAGUGGCUUCUCUCAAGAUAGCAUAAGUAUUACGGUGGGUAAACGAAUUACUGUCGAGCAAUUGAUAGAAUUGAGCAUAGUUAUGAGAAUAUCUAGGUAUGAUCAUGUAUAUAGGCAUCACAUCCGUGACAAGUAGACCGACUCCUGCAUGCAUCUACUACUAUUACUCCACACAUCGACCGCUAUCCAGCAUGCAUCUAGAGUAUUAAGUUCAUAAGAACAGAGUAACGCUUUAAGCAAGAUGACAUGAUGUAGAGGGAUAAACUCAUGCAAUAUGAUAUAAACCCCAUCUUUUUAUCCUCGAUGGCAACAAUACAAUACAUGUCGUUUCCCCUACUAUCACUGGGAUCGAGCACCGCAAGAUUGAACCCAAAGCUAAGCACUUGUCCCAUCGCAAGAAAGAUCAAUCUAGUAGGCCAAACCAAACUGGUAUUCGAAGAGACUUACAAAGAUAACCAAUCAUACAUAAAAGAAUUCAGAGGAGAUUCAAAUAUUGUUCAUAGAUAAUCUUGAUCAUAAACCCACAAUUCAACGGAUCUCGACAAACACACCGCAAAAGAAGAUUACAUCAAAUAGAUCUCCAAGAGAAUCGAGGAGAAGUUUGUAUUGAGAUCCAAAGAGAGAGAAGAAGCCAUCUAGCUAAUAACUAUGGACCCGAAGGUCUGGGGUAAACUACUCACACAUCAUCGGACAGGCUAUGGUGUUGAUGUAGAAGCCCUUCGUGAUCAAUGCCCCCUCCGACGGAGUGCCGGAAAAGGCCCCAAGAUGGGAUCUCACGGGUACAGAAGGUUGCAGCGGUGGAAAUAGGGUUUUGGCUCCAUCUCUGAUGGUUUGGGGGUACGUAGGUAUAUAUAGGAGGAAGAAGUAGGUCGGUGGAGCUACGAGGGGCCCACGAGGGUGGAGGGCGCGCCCAGGGGGUAGGCGCGCCCCCUACCUCGUGGCCUCCUCGGUGAUUUCUUGACGUCCACUCCAAGUCUUCUGGAUCAUGUUUGUUCAAAAAAUAACUCUCCCGAAGGUUUCAUUCCGUUUGGACUCCGUUUGAUAUUCCUUUUCUGCGAAACACUGAAAUAGGCAAAAAAAAAGCAAUUUGGGCUGGGCCUCCGGUUAAUAGGUUAGUCCCAAAAAUAAUAUAAAAGUGUAUAAAUAAGCCCAUUAAACAUCUAAAAAAGAAUAUAUAUAAUAGCAGGGAGCGAUCAAAAAUUAUAGAUACGUUGGAGGUGUAUCAAGCAUCCCCAAGCUUAAUUCCUGCUCGUCCUCGAGUAGGUAAAUGAUAAAAACAGAAUUUUUGAUGCGGAAUGCUACUUAGCAUAAUUUUCAAUGUAAUUCUCUUAUUUGUGGUAUGAAUAUUCAGAUCCGAAAGAUUCAAGAUAAAAGUUUAGUAUUGACAUAAAAGUAAUAAUACUUCAAGCAUACUAAUAAAGCAAUCAUGUCUUCUCAAAAUAACAUGGCCAAAGAAAGUUAUCCCUACAAAAUCAUAUAGUCUGGCUAUGCUCUAUCUUCACCACACAAAGUAUUUAAAUCAUGCACAACCCCGAUGACAAGCCAAGCAAUUGUUUCAUAAUUUUGAUGUUCUCGAACUUUUUCAAUCUUCACGCAAUACAUGAGCGUGAGCCAUGGAUAUAGCACUAUAGGUGGAAUAGAAUGGUGGUUGUGGAGAAGACAAAAAAGGGGAAGAUAGUCACACAUCAACUAGGCGUAUCAACGGGCUAUGGAGAUGCCCAUUAAUAGAUAUCAAUGUGAGUGAGUAGGGAUUGCCAUGCAACGGAUGCACUAGAGCUAUAAGUGUAUGAAAGCUCAACAAAAGAAACUAAUUGGGUGUGCAUCCAACUCGCUUGCUCACGAAGACCUAGGGCAUUUUGAGGAAGCCCAUCAUUGGAAUAGACAAGCCAAGUUCUAUAUUGUGAAAUUCCCACUAGUAUAUGAAAGUGACAAAACAAGAGACUCUCUAUCAUAAAGAUCAUGGUGCUACUUUGAAGCACAAGUGUGGAAAAAGGAUAGUAGCAUUGUCCCUUGUCUCUUUUCUCUCAUCAUUUUUUUGUUGGGCCUUUUCUCUCUUUUUUAUGGCCUCUUUUUUUUAGUCCGGAGUCUCAUCCCGACUUGUGGCGGAAUCAUAGUCUCCAUCAUCCUUUCCUCACUUGGGACAAUGCUCUAAUAAGAUGAUCAUCACACUUUUAUUUACUUACAACUCAAGUAUUACAACUCAAUACCUAGAACAAAAUAUGACUCUAUAUGAAUGCAUCCGGCGUUGUACCGGGAUAUGCAAUGAAUCAAGAGUGACAUGUAUGAAGAUAAUGAACAGUGGCUUUGCCACAAAUACGAUGUCAACUAGAUGAUCAUGCAAAGCAAUAUGAAAAUGAUGGAGCGUGUCAUAGUAAAUGGAACGGUGGUAAGUUGCAUGGCAAUAUAUCUCUGAAUGGCUAUGGAAAUGCCAUGAUAGGUAGGUAUGGUGGCUGUUUUGAGGAAGGUAUAUGGUGGGUGUAUGAUACCGGCAAAAAGUGCGCGGUAUUAGAGAGGCUAGCAAUGGCGGAAGGAUAAGAGUGCAUAUAAUCCAUGGACUCAACAUUAGUCAUAAAGAACUCAUAUACUUGUUGCCAAAAUCUAUUAGUUAUCAAAACAAAGUAUUACGCACAUGCUCCUUGGGGGAUAGAUUGGUAGGAAAAGACCAUCGCUCGUCCCCGACCGCCAUUCAUAAGGAAGAUAAUCAAUAAAUAAAUCAUGCUCCGACUUCAUCACAUAACGGUUCACCAUACGUGCAUGCUACGGGAAUCACAAACUUUAACACAAGUAUUUCUCAAAUUCAUGACCACUCAACUAGCAUGACUCUAAUAUCACCAUCUUCAUAUCUCAAAACAAUUAUCAAGUAUCAAACUUCUCUUAGUAUUCAACGCACUUAUAAGAAAGUUUUUACUAGUCUUGGAUGCCUAUCAUAUUAGGACUAACUUCACAAUUAAAGCAAAUUACCAUGCUGUUUUGUAGGACUCUCAAAAUAAUAUAAGUGAAGCAUGAGAGAACAAUAGUUUCUAUAAAACAAACCACCACCGUGCUCUAAAAGAUAUAAGUGAAGCACUAGAGCAAAAAACUAUAUAGCUCAAAAGAUAUAAGUGAAGCACAUAGAGUAUUCUAAUAAAUUCCGAAUCAUGUGUGUCUCUCUCUAAAGGUGUGUACAGCAAGGAUGAUUGUGGUAAACUAAAAGCAAAGACUCAAAUUAUACAAGAUGCUCCAAGCAAAACACAUAUCAUGUGGUGAAUAAAAAUAUAGCUCCAAGUAAAGUUACCAAUGGACGAAGACGAAAGAGGGGAUGCCUUCCGGGGCAUCCCCAAUAUUUGGCUUUUUGGUGUCCUUAGGUUUACCUUGGGGUGCCUUGGGCAUCCCCAAGCUUAGGCUCUUGCCACUCCUUGUUCCAUAAUCCAUCAAAUCCUUACCCAAAACUUGAAAACUUCACAACACAAAACUUAACAGAAAAUCUCAUGAGCUCCGUUAGCGAAAGAAAACAAAACACCACUUCAAGGUACUGUAUUGAACUCAUUCUUUAUUUAUAUUGGUGUUAAACCACUGUAUUCCAACUUCUCUAUGGUUUAUAAACUCUUUUAAUAGCCAUAGAUUCAUCAAAAUAAGCAAACAACACACGAAAAACAGAAUCUGUCAAAAGCAGAACAGUCUGUAGUAAUCUAUACCUAACGCAAACUUCUGGAACUCAGAAAAAUCUACCAAAAUAGGACGACCUAGAUAAUUUGUUUGUUGAUCUUCUGCAAUUGGAAUCAGUAUUUUAUCACGUUCUGGUGUUUUUUAACAAUUGUUUUCGUGAACAGAAAGUUUCUGAAAUUUUCAGCAAGAUCAAACAACUAUCAUCCAGGAAGAUCCUAUAGGUUUCACUUGGCACAAACACUAAUUAAAACACAAAAACAAAUCUAACCAGAGGCUAGAUCAAAGAUUUAUUCCUAAACAAGAGAAAAAAGCAAAAAACUAAAAUAAAAUUGGGUUGCCUCCCAACAAGCGCUAUCGUUUAACGCCCUUAGCUAGGCAUAAAAACAAGGAUAGAUCUAGGUAUUGCCAUCUUUAGUUGGCAAUCCAUAAGUAACUCUCAUAAUAAUUCAUAAGGUAAUUUUAUUUUCUUUCUAGAAAAGUGUUCCAUGCCUUUCCUUAAUGGAAAUUUGAAUCUAAUAUUUCCUUCCUUCAUAUCAAUAAUUGCACCAAUCAUUCUAAGGAAAGGUCUACCAAGAAUAAUAGGACAUGAAGGAUUGCAAUCUAUGUCAAGAACAAUGAAAUCCACGGGCACAUAGUUCCUAUUUGCAACAAUAAGAACAUCAUUAAUUCUUCCCAUAGGUUUCUUAAUAGUGGAAUCCGCAAGAUGCAAGUUUAGAGAACAAUCAUCAAAUUCGCGGAAACCUAACAAAUCACACAAAGUUUUUGGAAUCGUGGAAACACUAGCAGCCAAAGCACACAAAGCAUAGCAUUCAUGAUCUUUAAUUUUAAUUUUAAUAGUAGGUUCCCACUCAUCAUAAAGUUUUCUAGGGAUAGAAACUUCCAACUCAAGUUUUUCUUCAUAAGAUUGCAUCAAAGCAUCAAUGAUAUGUUUGGUAAAGGCUUUAUUUUGACUAUAAGCAUGAGGAGAAUUUAGCACGGAUUGCAACAAGGAAAUGCAAUCUAUUAAAGAGCAAUUAUCAUAAUUAAAUUCCUUGAAAUACAAAAUACUGGGUUCAUUGAUAUCUAAAGUUUUGACCUCUUCAAUCCCACUUUUACCAAUUUUAGCAUCAAGAUCUAAAAACUCUGAAUUUUUGGGACGCCUUCUAACUAAAGUUGACUCAUAUCCAGUCCCAUCAUUAUCAAGAUUCAUAUUGCAAAACAAAGAUUUAAUAGGAGACACAUCAAUAACUUUUAGAUCUUCAUCUUUAUUCUCAUAAAAACUAGAAGAACACGCUUUCACAAAGCAAUCUUUCUUAGCACGCAUCCUAGCGGUUCUUUCUUUGCACUCAUAAAUGGAAAUUCUCAUGGCUUUGAGAGACUCAUUGAUAUCAUGCUUAGGUGGAGUAGAUCUAAGUUUCAAAGAAUCAACAUCAAGAGAAAUUCUAUCCACGUUCCUAGCCAAUUCAUCAAUUUUAGGCAAUUUUUCUUCAAGCAAAGCGUUGAAAUUCUUUUGGGAAAUCAUAAAUUCUUUAACACUAGUCUCAAAAUCAGAGGGCAUCUUAUUAAAAUUUCCAUAAGAGUUGUUGUAGGAAUUACCACAAUUAUUUUUUGAUAGAAAUACUGUAAGGGAACCCCCUACAGUAUAAUUGGUGCAACAACCCCAAAUUGCAAGUACAUGCCUUGAACCUGGGUGGGUGGGAAGGCAUCAGCCCCUUCCCACCUCUAGGCUAUGCCUUAGUCUGCUAAUUACCAUAAUUAUAAGAGGAAUUACUAGGAUACAGCCUAGGAUUAAAGUUUCCUCUAUAAGCGUUGUUACCAAAAUUGUUCCUACCAACAAAGUUCACAUCCAUUGAUUCAUUAUUAUUCUCAAUCAAGGUAGUCAAAGGCAUAUCAUUAGGAUCAGAAGAAACACUCUUAUUAGCAAAUAAUUUCAUAAGUUCAUCCAUCUUUCCACUCAAAACAUUAAUUUCUUCAAUCGCAUGAACCUUUUUACUAGUAGAUCUUUCGGUGUGCCAUUAAGAAUAAUUAACCAUAAUUUAUCUAGGAGUUUAGUAGCUUCUCCUAAAGUGAUUUCCAUAAAAGUGCCUCCCGCGGCCGAAUCUAAAAGAAGCAAAAUUCAAUCCGGCAUAAAUUUUUUGUAUAAUCAUCCACAAAUUCAAACCAUGAUUAGGGCAAUUACGUAUCAUUAGUUUCAUCCUUUCCCAAGCUUGUGCAACAUGUUCAUGAUCAAGUUGCUUAAAAUUCAUAAUAUCAUUUCUAAGGGAGAUGAUUUUAGCGGGAGGAAAAUACUUAGAGAUAAAAGCAUCUUUGCACUUAUUCCAAGAAUCAAUACUAUUUUUAGGCAAAGAUGAAAACCAAGUUUUAGCACGAUCUCUAAGCGAAAAAGGAAAUAGCUUCAACUUAACAAUAUCAUUGUCCACAUCUUUCUUCUUUUGCAUAUAACACAAAUCAACAAAGCUAUUUAGAUGGGUAGCGACAUCUUCACUAGGAAGGCCGGCAAAUUGAUAUUUCAUGACAAGAUUCAGCAAAGCAGCAUUAAUUUCACAAGGUUCGGCAUCGUUAAGAGGAGCACUCGGAGUGCUAAGAAAAUAAUUGUUGUUGGUAUUUGGUAAAGUCACACAAUUUAGUAUUGUCUUGAGCCAUCAUGACAAACAAGCAAUCCAACACACAAGCAAACAAGAGGCAAGCGAAAAAGAGGCAAACGGAAAAAGAAGGCGAAUAAAACGGCAAGGGUGAAGUGGGGGAGAGGAAAACGAGAGGCAAAUGGCAAAUAAUGUAAUGCGAGGGAUAAGAGUUUGUGAUGGGUACUUGGUAUGUCUUGACUUGUGCAUAGACUCCCCAGCAACGGCGCCAGAAAUGGCUCGUUGUCGGGAGUCAAAUCUUGACUUGACUUGGUGUAGGCCUCCCCUACAACGGCGCCAGAAAUCCUUCUUUCUACCUCUUGAGCACUGCGUUGGUUUUCCCUUGAAGAGGAAAGGGUGAUGCAGUAAAGUAGCGUAAGUAUUUCCCUUAGUUUUUGAGAACCAAGGUAUCAAUCCAGUGGGAGACCACGCGCGAGUCCCACGCACCUACACAAACAAAUAAGAACCUCGCAACCAAUGCGAUAAAGGGGUUGUCAAUCCCUUCACGGUCACUUACGAGAGUGAGAUCUGAUAGAGAUGAUAAGAUAAUAUUUUUGGUAUUUUUAUGAUAAAGAUUAAAAGUAAAGAUUGCAAAUUAAACAAAGAUAGAAAUAGCUCAUUGACGGGAGAUUAAUAUGAUGGAGAAUAGACCCGGGGGGCAUAGGUUUCACUAGUGGCUUCUCUCAAGAUAGCAUAAGUAUUACGGUGGGAAACGAAUUACUGUCGAGCAAUUGAUAGAAUUGAGCAUAGUUAUGAGAAUAUCUAGGUAUGAUCAUGUAUAUAGGCAUCACGUCCGUGACAAGUAGACCGACUCCUGCAUGCAUCUACUACUAUUACUCCACACAUCGACCGCUAUCCAGCAUGCAUCUAGAGUAUUAAGUUCAUAAGAACAGAGUAACGCUUUAAGCAAGAUGACAUGAUGUAGAGGCAUAAACUCAUGCAAUAUGAUAUAAAACCGAUCUUUUUAUCCUCGAUGGCAACAAUACAAUACGUGUCGUUUCCCCUACUGUCAUUGGGAUUGAGCAUCGCAAGAUUGAACCCAAAGCUAAGCACUUGUCCCAUUGCAAGAAAGAUCAAUCUAGUACGCCAAACCAAACAGAUAAUUCGAAGAGACUUGCAAAGAUAACCAAUCAUACAUAAAAGAAUUCAGAGAAGAUUCAAAUAUUGUUCAUAGAUAAUCUUGAUCAUAAACCCACAAUUCAUCGGAUCGCGACAAACACACCGCAAAAGAAGAUUACAUCAAACAGAUCUCUAAGAGAAUCAAGGAGAACUUUGUAUUGAGAUCCAAAGAGAGAGAAGAAGCUAUCUAGCUAAUAACUAUGGACCCGAAGGUCUGAGAUAAACUACUCACACGUCAUCGGAGAGGCUAUGGUGUUGAUGUAGAAGCCCUCCGUGAUCAAUGCCCCCUUCGGCGGAGCGCCGGAAAAGGCCCCAAGAUGGGAUCUCACGGGUAGAGAAGGUUGCGGCGGUGGAAAUAGGGUUUUGGCUCCGUCUCUGAUGGUUUGGGGGUACGUAGGUAUAUAUAGGAGGAAGAAGUAGCUCGGUGGAGCUACGAGGGGCCCACGAGGGUGGAGGGCACGCCCAAGGGGGGUAGGCGCGCCCCCUGCCUCGUGGCCUCCUCGGUGAUUUCUUGACGUCCACUCCAAGUCCUCUGGAUCACGUUUGUUCCAAAAAUAACUCUCCCGAAGGUUUCAUUCCGUUUGGACUCCGUUUGAUAUUCCUUUUCUGCGAAACACUGAAAUAGGCAAAAAAACAGCAAUUUGGGCUGGGCCUCCGGUUAAUAAGUUAGUCCCAAAAAUAAUAUAAAAGUGUAUAAGCCCAUUAAACAUCCAAAACAGAAUAUAUAAUAGCAGGGAGGAAUCAAAAAUUAUAGAUACGUUGGAGACGUAUCACCUUCCUCCUCCCACCCCCUCCUCCCUCCUCCUCCUCCCUCCUCCCACCGCCCUCCUCCCCCUCCUCCUCUCUCCUCGCUNNNNNNNNNNNNNNNNNNNNNNNNNNNNNNNNNNNNNNNNNNNNNNNNNNNNNNNNNNNNNNNNNNNNNNNNNNNNNNNNNNNNNNNNNNNNNNNNNNNNNNNNNNNNNNNNNNNNNNNNNNNNNNNNNNNNNNNNNNNNNNNNNNNNNNNNNNNNNNNNNNNNNNNNNNNNNNNNNNNNNNNGAAAUAGUUUAUUUAGGAAGUGGUUAAUAGAACUAGUUUAUUUAUAGUAAUUGCCUAAUAGAACUAGUUGAAUUAGUAAGAAAAUUAAUUAUUUUUAUUUAUAGUAAGUGCUUAGUUGAAAUAGUUGAAUUAAUAGAACUAGUUUAUUUUUAGUAAGAAAAUUUAGGUAUAGAUUUUUUUUGUAAUUUCGCUUUCAAUGUAGAAAUGUAUUGGAAAAUUUAAUUAUUUUUAUGUCAUUAUCACUUUGUCAUCAAAGAAUGCUAUAUGAGAUUUGAUGAUCUAAAAUUUUACUCGGUGGAAUAUGCAGGCUUUGUAGAGUCGCGUCUCCUUGGAGUGAUCGUUAUCUGAGCUACCUCUACUUCCUCUACACCCGAGUCAGUGAGCUAAAAAUCCACCUCCUCCUUCUCCACUCCUCGGUGUUGAAUAGAGUAGAACUAGUGUUGGGGAUAUAACUAUUAGGUAUGACCCGCCCAGGAGGGGCCGGGUUAUACCGAUGGCGAUUCAUGAAGCCCAAGACAGAUUUGGAAGAUGGCGGUUCAGUCAAAGGCCCAAGGCCCAAAGGUGACUCAAGACCCGUAGAGAUAAACCGCCAUAAGUACAUAACUUGUAUUGUAAGGCAGAGAUAACUAGAGACCGAGUCGGACACUGUUUAUGAGCCGGCCGAGAUUCUGUGAGCCGCUGGGCAUCGACCUCUGUAUAUAAAGGGACGACCCAGCGGCGGUUCAGGACAAGGAACAUCAGAUCGAAAGCUAGGUCAAGCGGAUUCGCUCCCUAGUAAUCGAAACAUAAGCAAUAUCACCUCAACUGGAUUAGGCCUUUACCUUCACCGCAAGGGGCCGAACCAGUAUAAACCCUCGUGUCCUUUGUCCCAUUUUAACCCCUUUAAGCUUCCUAGUUGUGAUGGCUUCACGAUUAAGUCCUUUCACUAGGACAUCUGCCGUGACAAUUCCACGACAGUUGGCGCCCACCGUGGGGCCAGCUCACGGUGGAUUUGAGUUCUUGAAGGGCAGCUUCGAAGGGCUCAAGGGAUACGCUGUGGGCCGGAUGACCAAGAGUCGUCGCGGCAAGCUCUACAUCGACGAUGCAGGCUGAGGCCCCGACGCCGACUCAAUUGAGUACGGGUACCGACGUCGGAAUACACGUCUUCAUCGGCUAGAUCGGCGAGCCGGGCCCUGAGCCGGACAUCUGCACCGACAUCGUCGGGACGGCUCAGCGUGCGAGACCCGCCCGGGCUCAGCCCGCCAUGAAGCGUGCCUUCGUGGGAUGCAUCCAUGGAGGGGAAUUUUCUGAAGGAUCUGUGUCUGGCGGUGAGACGUCCAUCUACUCUGAUGGUGAGUCAUCCACGGGUGAGACGGAUUCAUUGUAUCAAUUGCAAGACGGUGGGCUUGGGGGUUGUUCCGAUGGCAGCAGUAUUCCGGACCCCUUUGAGCCGCGGAGCAGAGUGGGGAUCUUCAUGGCUGGCAUGCAACCCGUUCAAAACAGUACGGCUGCGGCAGCGAUAACCUUCGGGUCAGUGGCAGCCGGGGCAGGAGGCCCUGCGCGCCCGCCGGCUCAGGUGCUGAUGGAUCUCAUGGAUAGGAUGACAGCCCUGUUAACCGUCAUGGUUAAUCCGGCGGAUCAGGCUCAACAUGAUGCAGAAGUGGAACGGUUACGUGAGGAGGUAGCACAAGCCAAGGAAAACCUAGCAGCGAAGGACGUCAGGAUGUCCAUAGAGCGGGCGGCUUUGGAUGCUCGAGCUCAGCAUAUUCAAUUAGAGGCUUUCUAGCUUACGAUGGAUCUGAACGCAUCAAAUGAGGUCAUGAGGAGAAGGCACCAGAAGGCUCAAUCCCGUCUGCCUCCGACUUAUGAUCCUAGAAACCUCUUCCGCACACCUGGUACUGGCCCCAGUAACCCGUCGGAGGUAAACCGGGCUGCAACGCCCGGGGCCGGGACGUCGGUUCAACCACGGGUGAUGGAACCUCCUCGUAUGAAUACUGAUCCACCUCAUUAUGUACCAACACCACGGGGUCAUUAUUCUAACCCUUUGGAGAACAUGAUUGAGGGAGUCCUGGACUAAGGGGUCCUCGGGCGUCCGGCCUGUUAUCCAUGGGCCGGACUGAUGGGCUGUGAAGACAUGAAGGCCGAAGACUGUACCGUGUCCGGAUAGGACUCUUCUUGGCGUGGAAGGCAAGCUUGGCGAUCAACUAUGAAGAUUCCUUCCUAUGUAACCGACUCUAUGUAACCCUAGAUCCCUCCGGUGUCUAUAUAAACUGGAGGGCGUAGUCCGGAUAGAACAUACUCAUUACCAUAGUCAUACAGGCUAGGCUCCUAGGGUUUAGCCAUUACGAUCUCGUGGUAGAUCAACUCUUGUAACACUCAUAUUUAUCAAGAUCAAUCAAGCAGGAAGUAGGGUAUUACCUCCAUAGAGAGGGCCCGAACCUGGGUAAACAUCGUGUCCCCCGUCUCCUGCAACCAUCGACCUUAGACGCACAGUUCGGGACCCCCUACCUGAGAUCCGCCGGUUUUGACACCGACAUUGGUGCUUUCAUUGAGAGUUCCACUGUGCCGUUGACGAAAGGUUCGAUGGCCCCUUCGAUCUUCUAUAGUGACGCUGUCCAGGGAGAACCUUCCUCCCCGGACAGAUCUUCGUGUUCGGCGGCUUCGUACUACGGGCCAACUCGCUUGGCCAUCUGGAGCAGAUCGAUAGUUACGCCCCUGGCCACCAGGUCAGAUUCGAAAGCUUGAACUACGUCGCGGACACCCGCGGAGACUUGAUCUUCGACGGAUUCGAGACCGUGACGAUCGCUCCCCCUCGCUCCGAUGAACAUGACUUAAAUCCGUCAUCGGGUCACAUCCAAGAGAUGGUUCCUGUUCCUGCAACGGCCCUAGAGCCGGAGCAGAUCGUGCCAUCCGAGGCCACAGAGUCCACGGCGUUGGAGCCGCACACAGACUCGACACCCGGCAAUAUUUGCGUCAACGGAACUCUGGACUCGUCUCCGGCUAUAAGUUCCGGACCAUGUACGCCUACCGACACCGAGCAGGAUCGGUUAUUGAUUUUUGAAUUCAGCGCCGUAGGCAUCUUCCAGCACUCACCUUGGAGAAGGACUCACAACCGAACUAUGUUCGGUUCGAGCUAGAAGCUGAUGAUGGAGAAUUUUGCUUCCCACCCGCCACCCACUUGAUAGCCAUUGUCGAGGACUUAACUGACAUACCUGAUUAUGGCUCCAAAGACAUUGACGGUAUCGACGACGAUGCCGACAAGGAGCAAGGCCAAAGCCCGCCAGUCACCGGACGUGGGACGACCACCACUUAGUACGACGUGUACAUAGUCGACACACUUAAAAAAGCGCGCAACGAUGGCACCGGAGAAAAUAGUACUCUGGACGACGCCUAAAAAAAUGAAGACCCUGUUGGAGCAAGAUCCGAACAGGGGAAACAGGAAAACGGGCAAGCCAGCCCCGAUGAACAGGCCCUGCCUAGCGACAAUUCGGAGGACGACAAUUACCUUCCGCUCUCCGAAGAUGAGGUAAGCCUCGGCGACGAAGACUUCAUCGUACCCGAAGAGCCCCUCGAGCAGGAGGCUUCAAGCUCAGGCUCAUAGCUACGGCAAGGAGCCUGAAAAAGAAGCAGCAGCCCAUAAUUGCUGUUUUUUGCCUAUUUCAGAGUUUCGCAGAAAAAGAAUAUCAAACGGAGUCCAAAUGGAAUGAAACAUUUGGGAACGUGAUUUUCGGAACGAACAUGAUGCAGAGGACUUGGACCCUACGUCAAGAAAGCUACCAGGAAGCCACGAGGUAGGGGCGCGCCUACCCCCCGGGCACGCCCUCCACCCUCGUGGGCCCCACGUUGCUCCACCGACGUACAACUUCCUCCUAUAUAUACCUACGUACCCCCAAACUACCAGAUACUGAGCCAAAAACCUAAUUCCACCGCCGCAACCUUCUGUACCUGUGAGAUCCCAUCUUGGGGCAUGUUCCGGAGCUCCGCCAGAGGGGGCAUCGAUCACGGAGGGCUUCUACAUCAACACCAUAGCCCCUCCGAUGAAGUGUGAGUAGUUUACCUCAAACAUUCGGGUCCAUAGUUAUUAGCUAGAUGGCUUCUUCUCUCUUUUUGGAUCUCAAUAAAUGUUCUCCCCCUCUCUUGUGGAGAUCUAUUCGAUGUAGUCUUCUUUUGCGGUGUGUUUGUUGAGACCGAUGAAUUGUGGGUUUAUGAUCAAGUUUAUCUAUGAACAAUAUUUGAAUCUUCUGAAUUCUUUUAUGUAUGAUUGGUUAUCUUUGCAAGUCUCUUCGAAUUAUCAGUUUGGUUUGGCCUACUAGAUUGAUCUUUCUUGCAAUGGGAGAAGUGCUUAGCUUUGGGUUCAAUCUUGCGGUGUCCUUUCCCAGUGACAGUAGGGGCAGCAAGGCACGUAUUGUAUUGUUGCCAUCGAGGAUAACAAGAUGGGGUUUAUAUCAUAUUGCAUGAGUUUAUCCCUCUACAUCAUGUCAUCUUGCUUAAAGCAUUACUCUGUUCUUAUGAACUUAAUACUCUAGAUGCAUGCUGGAUAGCGGUCGAUGUGUGGAGUAAUAGUAGUAGAUGCAGGCAGGAGUCGGUCUACUUGUCUCGGACGUGAUGCCUAUAUACAUGAUCAUACCUAGAUAUUCUCAUAACUAUGCUCAAUUCUUUCAAUUGCUCAACAGUAAUUUGUUCACCCACCGUAAAUACUUAUGCUCUUGAGAGAAGCCACUAGUGAAACCUAUGGCCCCCGGGUCUAUUUUCCAUCAUAUUAAUCUCCCGACAACAAGCUAUUUCCAUUGCCGUUUUUAUUUUACUUUCUUUACUUUGCAUCUUUAUCAUAAAAAUACCAAAAAUAUUAUCUUACCAUAUCUAUCAGAUCUCACUCUCGUAAGUGACCGUGUAGGGAUUGACAACCCCUUAUCGCGUUGGUUGCGAGGAUUUAUUUGUUUGUGUAGGUGCGAGGGACUCGUGCGUGGCCUCCUACUCGAUUGAUACCUUGGUUCUCAAAAACUGAGGGAAAUACUUACGCUACUUUGCUGCAUCACCCUUUCCUCUUCAAGGGAAAACCAACGCAGUGCUCAAGAGGUAGCAAGAAGGAUUUCUGGCGCCGUUGCCGGGGAGUCUACGCAAAAGUCAACACACCAAGUACCCAUCACAAACACUUAUCUCCCGCAUUACCUUAUUUGCCAUUUGCCUCUCGUUUUCCUCUCCCCCCACUUCACCCUUGUCGUUUUAUUCGCCCUUCCUCCUUUCAAUCUUGUGUUACCAUGUGCCUUCUUUUUGCUUGCAUCUUCGCUUGCUAAGAGUUUAUGGAUCCUCAUCCACUUGCUAAUCUCUUUAAGAGAUCCAAUUAUGAUGAACCUAUUGCUAGUGAGUUGAGUGCACUAGAUUAUCUUUAUGAGGUUUUGCUUGAAAUUCGUGAAUCCGAAAAUUGUGAUGAAGUACUUUAUGAAGCGAUUCAUGAUAGAUCUUUGAAUAAAAAACAUGAUUGCAAUGAUUUUAUUAUAAAUUCUAUUGAUGUAAAUUGUGCUAAUAAUAUGCAAAACCCUAAGCUUGGGGAUGCUAGUUUUGCUAUGACCUCCACUUGUUGCAAUGAUCAUGAUUGGGGUGAUUCUUCUUUUGAUCUUGAAAAUUUAUUUAAGCCCCAUGACGAAUAUGAGAUUGAUUAUAAUAUUUGCAAUAAUACUGAAAGUGGGUUUGGAGAGGUCAUGACUUUAGUUAAUGUUAAUCCCACUAUUUUGGAAGAGUUUCAACUUUGCAUGCAUGUGGAUCGUGUUGAAAAUAUUUAUUGUGAUCGCCCUUUUGUUGAAUUUGCCUAUGAUCCUACAUGUAAUUAUUAUGAGAGAGGAAAAUAUGGUUGUAGAAAUUUUCAUGUUGCUACAUUACCUCUCGUUAUGUUGAGAUUGCUAUUGUUUCUUUCCUCUUCCUUGCAUAUGCUAGUUUUUGCUUGCUAUGAUAAUUUGUUUGCCUAUAAAAUACCUAUGCAUAGGAAGUAUGUUAGACUUAAGUGUUUUUUCACAUGCUUUAUGACGCUCUCUUUCAAUUCUUGUCUUUCAUGUGAGCAUCAUUAAAAUUAUCUAUGCCUAGCUAGGGGCGUUAAACGAUAGUGCUUGUUGGGAGGCAACCCAAUUUUAUUUUUAAUUUUUUGCUUUUUGCUUCUGUUUAGCAAUAAAUAUUUGAUCUAGCCUCUGGUUAGAUGUGUUUUUAUGUUUUAAUUAGUGUUUGUGCCAAGUUUAACCUAUAGGAUCUUCUUGGAUGAUAGUUAUUUGAUCUUGCUGAAAAUUGCAGAAACUUUCUGUUCACGAAAAUAAUUGUUAAAAAUCACCAGAACGUGAUAAAAUAUUGAUUCCAAUUGCUGCUGAUCAAUAAAUAAAUUGUCUAGGUCUUCCUAUUUUGGCUGAUUUUUUGGAGUUCUAGAAGUUUGCGUUAGUUACAGAUUACUACAGACUGUUCUAUUUUUGACGGAUUCUGUUUUUCGUGUGUUGUUUGCUUAUUUUGAUGAAUCUAUGGCUAGUAAAAUAGUUUAUAAACCAUAGAGAAGUUGGAAUACAUUAGGUUUAACACCAAUAUAAAUAAAUAAUGAGUUCAUUACAGUACCUUGAAGUGGUCUUUUGUUUUCUUUUGCUAACGGAGCUCACGAGAUUUUCUGCUGAGUUUUGUGUUGUGAAGUUUUCAAGUUUUGGGUGAAAGAUUUGAUGGAUUAUGGAACAAGGAGUGGCAAGAGCCUAAGCUUGGGGAUGCCCAUGGCACCCCCAAGAUAAUUUAAGGACACCUAAAAUCCAAAGCUUGGGGAUGCCCCGGAAGGCAUCCCCUCUUUCGUCUACUUCCAUCGGUAACUUUACUUGGAGCUAUAUUUUUAUUCACCACAUGAUAUGUGUUUUGCUUGGAGCGUCUUGUAUUAUUUGAGUCUUUAUUUUUUAGUUUACCACAUUCAUAUUUGCUGUACACACCUUUUGAGAGAGACACACAUGAUUCGGAAAUUAUUAGGAUACUCUAUGUGCUUCACUUAUAUCUUUUGAGUUAUAUAGUUUUUGCUCUAGUACUUCACUUAUAUCUUUUAGAGCACGGUGGUGGAUUUGUUUUAUAGAAACUAUUGAUCUCUCAUGCUUCACUUAGAUUAUUUUGAGAGUCUUAAAUAGCAUGGUAAUUUGCUUAAAUAAUCCUAAUAUGCUAGGUAUUCAAGAUUAGUAAAAACUUUCUUAUGAGUGUGUUGAAUACUAAGAGAAGUUUGAUGCUUGAUGAUUGUUUCGAGACAUGGAGGUAGUGAUAUUAAAGUUGUGCUAGUUGAGUAGUUGUGAAUUUGAGAAAUACUUGUGUUGAAGUUUGCAAGUCCCGUAGCAUGCACGUAUGGUAAACGUUAUGUAACAAAUUUGAAACAUGAGGUGUUCUUUGAUUGUCCUCCUUAUGAGUGGCGGUCGGGGACGACCGAUGGUCUUUUCCUACCAAUCUAUCCCCCUAGGAGCAUGCGCGUAGUGCUUGGUUUUUUAUGACUUGUAGAUUUUUGCAAUAAGUAUGCGAGUUCUUUAUGACUAAUGUUGAGUCCAUGGAUUAUACGCACUCUCACCUUUCCAUCAUUGCUAGCCUCUUCGGUACCGUGCAUUGCCCUUUCUCACAUUGAGAGUUGGUGCAAACUUCGCCGGUGCAUCCAAACCCCGUGAUAUGAUACACUCUUUCACACAUAAACCUCCUUAUAUCUUCCUCAAAACAGCCACCAUACCUACCUAUUAUGGCAUUUCCAUAGCCAUUCCGAGAUAUAUUGCCAUGCAACUUUCCACCGUUCCGUUUAUCAUGACACGUUCAUCAUUGUCAUAUUGCUUUGCAUGAUCAUGUAGUUGACAUAGUAUUUGUGGCAAAGCCACCGUUCAUCAUUCUUUCAUACAUGUCACUCUUGGUUCAUUGCAUAUCCCGGUACACCGCCGGAGGCAUUCAUAUAGAGUCAUACUUUGUUCUAAGUAUCGAGUUGUAAUCAUUGAGUUGUAAAUAAAUAGAAGUGUGAUGAUCAUCAUUUUCUAGAGCAUUGUCCCAAGUGAGGAAUAAAAAAAGAGAGAAAGGCCAUAAAAAAGAGAAGGCCCAAAAAAAAGAAUGAGAGAAAAAGAGAGAAGGGACAGUGUUACUAUCCUUUUACCACACUUGUGCUUCAAAGUAGCACCAUAAUCUUCAUGAUAGAGAGUCUCUUGUUUUGUCACUUUCAUAUACUAGUGGGAAUUUUUCAUUAUAGAACUUGGCUUGUAUAUUCCAGCAAUGGGCCUCCUCAAGUGCCCUAGGUCUUCGUGAGCAAGCAAGUUGGAUGCACACCCACUUAGUUUCAUUUGUUGAGAUUUCAUAUAUUUAUAGCUCUAGUGCAUCCGUUGCAUGGCAAUCCCUACUCCUUGCAUUAACCUCAAUCGAUAGGCAUCUCCAUCGCUCAUUGAUUAGCCUCGUUGAUGUGAGACCUUCUCCUUUUUUGUCUUCUCCACAUAACCCCCAUCAUCAUAUUCUAUUCCACCCAUAGUGUUAUAUCCAUGGCUCACGCUCAUGUAUUGCGUGAAGGUUGAAAAAGUUUGAGAUUACUAAAGUAUGAAACAAUUGCUUGGCUUGUCAUCGGGGUUGUGCACGAUGAGAGCAUUCUUGUGUGACGAAAAUGGAGCAUGACUAAACUAUAUGAUUUUGUAGGGAUGAAAUUUCUUUGGCCAUGUUAUUUUGAGAGGACAUAAUUGCUUAGUUAGUAUGCUUGAAGUAUUAUUAUUUCUAUGUCAAUAUUGAACUUUUAUCUUGAAUCUUUCGGAUCUGAAUAUUCAUACCACAAUUAAGAAGAAUUACAUUGAAAUUAUGCCAAGUAGCAUUCCACAUCAAAAAUUCUGUUUUUAUCAUUUACCUACUCGAGGAGGAGCAGGAAUUAAGCUUGGGGAUGCUUGAUACGUCUCCAACGUAUCUAUAAUUUUUGAUUGCUCCAUGCUAUAUUAUCUUCUGUUUUCGACAUUAUUGGGCUUUAUUAUACACUUUUAUAUUAUUUUUGGGACUAACCUAUUAACCGGAGGCCCAGCCCAGAAUUGUUGUUUUUCGCCUAUUUCAGAGUUUCGCGGAAAAAGAAUAUCAAACGGAGUCCAAACGGAAUGAAACCUUCGGGAACGUGAUUUUUUGAACGAACAUGAUCCAGGGACUUGGACCCUACGUCAAGAAAGCUACCAGGAAGCCACGAGGUAGGGGGUGCACCUACCCCCCUGGGCGUGCCCUCCACCCUCGUGGGCCCCAUGUUGCUCCACCGACGUACUCCUUCCUCCUAUAUAUACCUACGUACCCCCAAACUACCAGAUACGGAGCCAAAAACCUAAUUCCACCGUCGCAACCUUCUGUACCCGUGAGAUCCCAUCUUGGGGCCUGUUCCGGAGCUCCGUCGGAGGGGGCAUCAAUCACGGAGGGCUUCUACAUCAACACCAUAGCCCCUCCGAUGAAGUGUGAGUAGUUUACCUCAGACCUUCGGGUCCAUAGUUAUUAGCUAGAUGGCUUCUUCUCUCUUUUUGGAUCUCAAUACAAUGUUCUCCCCCUCCCUUGUGGAGAUCUAUUCGAUGUAAUCUUCUUUUGUAGUGUGUUUGUUGAGACCGAUGAAUUGUGGGUUUAUGAUCAAGUUUAUCUAUGAACAAUAUUUGAAUCUUCUGAAUUCUUUUAUGUAUGAUUGGUUAUCUUUGCAAGUCUCUUCGAAUUAUCAGUUUGGUUUGGCCUACUAGAUUGAUCUUUCUUGCAAUGGGAGAAGUGCUUAGCUUUGGGUUCAAUCUUGUGGUGUCCUUUCCCAGUGACAGUAGGGGCAGCAAGGCACAUAUUGUAUUGUUGCCAUCGAGAAUAACAAGACGGGGUUUAUAUCAUAUUGCAUGAGUUUAUCCCUCUACAUCAUGUCAUCUUGCUUAAAGCAUUACUCUGUUCUUAUGAACUUAAUACUCUAGAUGCAUGCUGGAUAGCGGUCGAUGUGUGGAGUAAUAGUAGUAGAUGCAGGCAGGAGUCGGUCUACUUGUCUCGGACGUGAUGCCUAUAUACAUGAUCAUACCUAGAUAUUCUCAUAACUAUGCUCAAUUCUGUCAAUUGCUCAACAGUAAUUUGUUCACCCACCGUAAAUACUUAUGCUCUUCAGAGAAGCCACUAGUGAAACCUAUGGCCCCCAGGUCUAUUUUCCAUCAUAUUAAUCUCCCGACAACAAGCUAUUUCCAUUGCCGUUUUUAUUUUACUUUCUUUACUUUGCAUCUUUAUCAUAAAAAUACCAAAAAUAUUAUCUUAUCAUAUCUAUCAGAUCUCACUCUCGUAAGUGACCGUGUAGGGAUUGACAACCCCUUAUCGCGUUGGUUGCGAGGAUUUAUUUGUUUGUGUAGGUGCGAGGGACUCGUGCGUGGCCUCCUACUGGAUUGAUACCUUGGUUCUCAAAAACUGAGGGAAAUACUUACGCUACUUUGCUGCAUCACCCUUUCCUCUUCAAGGGAAAACCAAUGCAGUGCUCAAGAGGUAGCAAGUGGCCUGGCCAAAAGCUACCUGAAGCAUAGAUUGCUACAUCAGUUCGAUGACGAGGCGUUGGAGCCCGUACCAUGAUCACACAAUGCGGCAGGUCGCCGACAAUUCUGUCCGGAUAAAGAGGCAACUCAAGCCGAACACCAGACCGCCACCGUAAAGGCAAGAAUAACGUAGCUCACGAUUGUCUAGACAACCUGCAGCCGGACUUGGACAGUAGAGCAGGACACGCAAGACCGAUCUACGGAUCGCGAAAGCAUACCUCAACACGCGACGACAGCUACCUAUUCGGACGUGACAAACCUAGCCACGCCCGAGCCGAAAACCGCAAAUGGACUCCUUCGGAGUUACGUCGCAGUGUGGCCCAACAUAGAGGUGCCGCACACCCGCUUUGCUUCACCAAUGAAGUAAUGGAUCAUGGAUUCCCCGAAGGAUUCAAACCCGUCAAUAUCGAAUCAUACGACGGAACAACCGAUCCCGCGGUAUGGAUAGAAGAUUUUAUCCUCCACAUCCAUAUGGCCCGUGGGGACGACCUACACGCAAUUAAAUACCUCCCACUAAAGCUAAAAGGGCCAGCUCGGCACUGGUUAAAUGGCCUACCUGAAAAUUCCAUAGGCACCUGGGAGGACUUGGAGGAGGCCUUCCUCGACAACUUCCUAGGAACAUACGUACGGCCGCCGGAUGCCGAUGAUCUAAGUCACAUUGUCCAGCAGCCCGGAGAGUCAGCGAGGAAGCUCUUUACUUGGUUCUUAGUCAAAAAGAACCAAAUCGUCGACUGUCCGGACGCGGAAGCACUUGCGGCUUUCAGACACAGUGUCCGGGACGAAUGGCUUGCACGCCACCUCGAUCAAGAAGGACCUAAAUCCAUGACAGCCCUCACUGCUCUGAUGACCCGCUUUUGCGCGGGAGAAGAAAGCUAGCUCGCUCGUAGAAGCAAUAGCGCCAGCGACCCGAGCACUUCCGAAAUCCGAGACGGCAACGGCAAGCCACGAAGAAGCAAAUACAAUAGUCGCAAUGAUAAUGAAAGAUCACGCGACACAGCGGUCCAUGCCGAAUUCAGCAAUCCUAAGCCCGGUCAACGAAAGAAGCCAUUCAAGGCCAAACAAGACGAACCAUCCAACCUAGACAGGAUAUUGGACCGACCCUGCCAGAUUCACGGCCACCCCCACAAAUCAGCUAAUAAUACUAACAGAAACUGCUGGGUCUUUAAACAGGUCGGCAAGCUCAACGCCGAACACAAGGGGAAGAGGCCGCCAGGCGACAAGGACGACAGAAAGGUUCACCAACGAAAUACCGGGGCCCUGGAGCAAUUUCCACCCGACGAUCAACUACUCCUGGAGCGAAAAUAGCAGUCCGGCUUCCGCCGCCCACCUCGUACACCUGCAAAAUUUAUGCCGCGCAUACAUCACUACGCACUCAAGAUACCAUGGGCAUUGGCGGAGGCACACUACGGACAAGCCUGCAAGCAUCCCCGUCACAUUUUUUAUCCAUUUUCUUUUUAUUUCUUCCUUCACUAUCCCUUAAAAACAGGUGACGAACAGGACAAACAUCUGAAACUGGCUCUAUCGGAGUUCGGAUCCAUACACUCACCUAAGGGGCUAUCUCCAUCAAGGAUUCCCCCCGCCGAGGACUGGCGGCGCAGACGUGCGACAGGAGGUCCAAAAUAACUUUUUGUAGACCGCUCUCUCUCUCUAUUUUUUGAGCCUGUACUAUGCAUGUUCCUCCGCCUCUGACCGCGAGCAUGUCAAAUAGCCGGGAGGAUGGCUUUUAUAUAUAUAAUAAGUAACCAUUGGCAUAUUGCUCAGGUCCCAGUAAACAGUAUCCGAACUAGUCAUCCAUGUUGUUUCGCCAAUGACUAUGGCUCCUAUGGCUGUUGUACAGGCGUACCCUGGCUAACCCGCCAGGGGCUCGGUAUGGGAACAAAUGAGUUGCCAGCAAAAGUCCGAACAGCUCUAUAGCGUACUUCGACGUCGCAAGUUUGGCCUUAUAUGCAUCAGCUCCGAAUCAUUGUCUUGGGUCAAUAGUUGGGUUGCCCAGCUCCUGUGCUUGCUACCCUACGUUCCGCUCAAUCGGCUAGGGUAGUAAAGGGAGAACUACUGCGAUUGUGCUUCCGGUUCAUCUGGUCAAGUACCUCAGUAGAGAAAGCCGAAAACUGACUGUCAUGAUGCGGCGAGAGCUGGUCAACCACUUGACGACUUAGUGGAAUCUUUAGCGAUUCUCCAUGUCACACGAAGGAUCUUUUUCAGAUCAAAUAUGUAAGGCACCAUAUGCCGCAUACAUACCAGGGGCUAUGUCAUAGUCCCACCAUAAAACUCCUAUGGCUAAGUGAAAGUGUUAACGCCCUAUAGUCCGAUUGCCUGGUUCGCCACAUUAUCACCACCUUUAUGGACCAAGACGUUGGAUAAAGAGUGAUUAAAUGCUUUUCCAAACACCCCCGUACUUCCUACGAGGGGGCUGAAGCCCACGACUGGAAAACUUUCAGAUUGCAUUAAAACGGCCGCACAGGAGGAAUUCAAGCCUUCAAGCAAGACAUAAUAAUAGAUUAACUAUAAAAUUGUCUUUUACAAUUAUCAUACACCUUACUCGAACAUUAUGUCUUUCGAGCAUUGACCCUCUAUUAAGCGGGCGGCCUCUAGGACAUCUUCAAAAUAACGCUCCGGUUCAGGACGGUCCUUGCCCUUGGGUGGACUCUUAGCCGCGACAUCGAUGGCCUUCAUCUUUCCCCAGAAUGUCUUGACUCAGGCAAAGGCCAUCCAUGCACCUUCAAUGCACGCUGACCGCUUCACAGCAUCGAUUCGCGGCACUGCGUCAACAAGUCUUUGUACCAAACCGAAGUAGCUAUCCGGAUUAGGCUCAGUUGGCCACACAACCGGAUUAUGACAUCCUUCAUGGCAGCGCCGGAUAUCCUAUGAAGUUUGGUCCAUUGGGACAUCUGUUCAUUGAGCAACAGAGGGCGUUUUGAUCGCCAAACUGCGACCAAAAAAGCUUCUCCGUUGCAUACCCAUCUCGCGCUUGGUAAUACUGCGCCGCAUCGGAAGAACUCUUCGGCAAGUCCAAGAACUCGUCCGGAGAACUCCACACUUGGUUAAGUUGAGCAUAGUUCGGGUCACCGAACUUAGUUUGCAGCAGAAAGGGCUUUCCAGCCGCAAUCUCCCUAGCCUGCUGAACCUCCUCACGGGCUGCUCUGGAUUCCGACCGCGCUUCUCUCGCCUUUUGUAAGGCCUUGUCCAGUUCAGCCGUUAAGGCUUUAUUCUCCUUCUCCAAAAAUUCACAGCGGCCAGUGGCAUUUUCCAAUUCGAGCGCCAUCGUGGAUAUCUUCUCCUCGUCUCGGCGCCGUGCAGCUUGUUCGGCUUUUAGCUCAGCCGAUGCCUUUUCGGCAGUAGCAUUGCCACACCGGGCCUGCUCCUUGGCCCGGGCCAGCUCCGCUCGAAGAACUUCAACGGCGGCAGCACCAUCUGCAGCCAUGCACAUUCCAGCAUCUAAAUUUCAGCGUCAUGCUUAUACCACAAAAAUGUAUGGGGAUUGCCCCGAAUACAUACCUUUUGACUCGUCAAGACGCAUAUUGAUUAAUGCAAGAUCAUCCCCUGCCACAUCAAGCUUCCGUUGCAGCUCGGCAAUUUCCAUAGUGCGGGACGUGGCCAAGGGGGAACCAGCCUGUGUUCAAAUUCAUCAGGUUAAUCCUCAAAACGAUCCUUUUCGAUCCUCCGUCUGCUUCCCAGUGGAAGCCAACCCGAGUCUCAGGGGCUACUACCUAUACACAGGCGCAUCUUUGCAAAUAAAACAUAGCCGAAAAUAUUAUAUCACAAACCUUGAAGCCCUCCAGCAGGCUCAUGAAGGCUUCAUUUAAUCCGCUCUUCGCAGACAAAAUUUUCUCAACCACUGUACCCAUCAAGGUAUGUUGUUCCCUCGAGACAGAUGCAUUUCGCAACAUGUCCCGUAAUAUGUCCGGAGCCGCUGGGUCUCCGGAAGCCGCUCUAGGAGCACAGUCAUCCUUUGAAAUAAUUUGCUCACCCGUCUCCGGAAUCAUCGUCGGCUGCAAGCCAGACAGUCGGGGGUCUUUAUUAUUGGCCCCAGAAUCCCGGACGGUCGGAGAUCCACCUUCGGGUACUGCCUCUUUCAUCCCUUGCAUAGCUUGUUUAGCAAGAAAAACUCUCCGCGAUGACACUUCGAAGUCGUCCGCCUUAUUGGGCGAUGAGGACGGGGGAGGCGUCUCGCUUUCCAUCAUCUCUGGGUGGAGACGUCCCGAAGAAGACGAUUGCCCAGAAAAACUAUGUGCCAACCUGUAAAAGUGCACGAACGCGUUACGUAUAUCUUCGGCAACAGCAACGGAGCGGGACGCUAUCAAAGUACUCCGGAUUCACUUACGGUUUGGCCGAGGGCUUGUCCCCUUGUUGGAGCUAUUCAAUGGCAUCGUUUUCCAAACCCAAGCCGCUCGACGGUGGCAUCUUGCCCCUCUUGGGAGACCACCCCUCCCAACCUUCGGAGGGGGCCCUUUUCCCCCUGCUCGGGGAAGGGAUACUGGGUCCUCUCCCGCCUCUGUCUUCCGGCGAGGAAAGAUCGAUUUCUCCGGACUCAGUGUCCGACUUACCUCCGGAACCAAGGUCGUCUUGGGUCUUCUCACUCUCCUCUUUACUCUCCCUUGCCGGCGCCUAGUAUGGUGCUGAGGCCAGCAUCUUUGUUAACAUAGGACUGUCUGAGUCUUCGGGAAGGGGAGCCGGACACCUAAUCCGUUCCACUUUCUUUAUCCAGCCCUAAAAAGGAUGAUUCGGUCAGUGUCUUGCCACUGUGUAUCCGAAUAUAAGGUGUUCGACGAACGAGGUACUUACCGGGGUGUCCGGAUGGUUGCAGUCGAGGCCGAUAUCUUCGGUGAUGUCCGGCCAUUGCUUUCGCUUCCCAAAAAAUAAUUUCCACAUUCCUUCGUGCGUAGUGCCGAAGAAGAGCUGAAGAGUCCGCGGCCCUUCUGGAUUGAACUCCCACAUGUGGAGAGGCCGUCGCUGGCACGGCAGGGUCCGGUAGACUAGCAUUACUUGAACAACAUUGAUGACAUUGAUGUCCCUCUCAAUAAGGCUUCGGAUGCGACUUUGCAAAGUCUGCACCUCGUCCGAUGAUCGCCAGUCCAACCCCUUAUUAAUCCACGAUGCCAACUGAAUUGGGGAGCUGGAUCGAAAUUCGAGCGCUGCUGCCCACUUGGAGCCACGGGGCUCGGUGAUAUAGAAGCACCCCUGCUGCCAUAAGUCAGAAGAUUUGGCAAAAGAUCCUUUCAACCAAACAGCACUAGCAAGCUCGCUCACUAUGGCACCACCGCACUCUGCCUGCUUCCCCUCUAUCACUUGCGGCUUCACAUUGAAGGUCUGGAGCCAUAAGCCGAAGUGCGGAGGAGUUCGGAGGAAGGCUUCGCACGUGAUGAUAAACACCGAGAUAAGAAGAAUAGAGUCGGGGGCCAGAUCGUGAAAAUCUAGCCCAUAAUAGAACAUGAGCCCUCGGGCGAAGGGGUUAAGUGCAAACCCUAACCCGCGGAGGAAGUGGGACAAGAACUCGACCCUCUCGCCGGAUCUGGGGGUGGGAAUAACCUGCCCCUCGGCAGGAAGCCGAUGAAGGAUUUCCGCGGUCAGAUACCUCGCCGCCCGAUGCUUUGCAAUAUCUCCCUCCGUGACAGAAGAAGCCACCCACCGGCCUUGACGGCUGGAUCCGGACAUGAUUGGGGGUUGUGGCGAUUGGAACCCGGGUGUUGGAACUCGGGGUAGCAGGGGUUGAGGAAGAAGCAAGCGUGAGAGAAAAAGACGGGUCUGUACCCCUAUAUAAAGGCCGCGAAUAUCGAACGUCUCCUCCUAGGCCUCAAAACUUGCCUAUUCCCUAGAAGUUGUACCCAAGUGACGGUUGGGUUAACCACGUCUGGGUUGAUAAGAAUCCCUUAAAAAAGGGAGAGACACGAUCUCCGCUGGGAUAAGACAUGCCAAUAAAACCGCGUCUCGAGACGUGGGAUGGCGGGCUAGCUAAUGGUUCGAAAAUAAUGGCCGAGUAGGCGUGAUGUCAUGUUACCAAAAAGUUGUCAGCGGAUUGGACUCGUGAAAUAUUAUAUAUCCUCUGCAGUUGUGUAUACAGGUCCGGAUACAAUUAUUACAUCUGAAGACUAUCUUGGAGUUCGGGAAAAGGGAACCCGCCUUGCAAUGCCGAAGACAAUCUGCGCGCCGGACUCCUCGUCAUUGAAGCCAGGUUCAGGGGCUACUGAGGGAGUCUUGGACUAAGGGGUCCUCGGGCGUCCGGCCUAUUAUCCAUGGGCCGGACUGAUGGGCUGUGAAGACAUGAAGGCCGAAGACUGUACCCGUGUCCGGAUAGGACUCUUCUUGGCGUGGAAGGCAAGCUUGGCGAUCAACUAUGAAUCCUUCCUAUGUAACCGACUCUAUGUAACCCUAGAUCCCUCCGGUGUCUAUAUAAACUGGAGGGCGUAGUCCGGAUAGGACAUACUCAUUACCAUAGUCAUACAGGCUAGGCUUCUAGGGUUUAGCCAUUACGAUCUCAUGGUAGAUCAACUCUUGUAACACUCAUAUUCAUCAAGAUCAAUCAAGCAGGAAGUAGGGUAUUGCCUCCAUAGAGAGGGCCCGAACCUGGGUAAACAUCAUGUCCCCCGUCUCCUGCAACCAUCGACCUUAGAUGCACAGUUCGGGACCCCCUACCCGAGAUCCGCCGGUUUUGACACCGACAAUGAUCGCUGCGGCGGCACGAUUGGCGGCUCUCCCGGUGGAGGGCGACUCUCUGACGGCGAUUGAAACACGAAGGGUCAGAGAACUUCUUCAGACGGCUCUGACGCAGCAGGAGGCAUAUUCUUAUAGUCGAGACAGGAUUCAUUCGACCCCUCACCCAAGCCGGAGCCCGAGUUAUAGCACGCAUAUAGAUUCAGCAGCCGUUUCAAGCAACGCCCGGCACCGUGACCAGCCGUGCGGGCAUGACCCGGUGCGUGAUGGAGCUCCUAACUUGGUUGAUCAGGACAGGAUACACCAAGAGGCUGAGUGGGGGGCUCAGCAGGCGGCUGAGCAAGCGGCUCAGCGGGCAGCUUACCAGUCUUUUCCGGUUUAUCCGACGACUUAUAUUGAGGCAGGCGUGAUCACGAGUACUGGAGGUGUCCCUUGCUUGGUACCGGCUCUGUGUAAUGAGCGUUUGCCCAAGGAUUUCAAGGGGCCUCGAAAGGUGCCUAAUUACACGGCCCACUUACAGCCCGGGGCAUGGAUUGAAAGCUAUGAGAUGGCCAUGGAACUACUAGAGAUCAGUGACGCGGCAAUGGCCAAGCACUUCACCAUGAUGUUGGAUGGAACGGCCCGCACUUGGUUGAAGGGGCUGCCACCUAAUUCCAUUGGUUCAUGGGCAGAGUUAAAAGGCCCGGUUUAUUCAGAACUUCAAAGACACAUGCAAGCAGCCCAUGUCAAUUGUGGAUUUGACUAAUUGCAAGCAAGAGGAAGGUGAGUCCACGACCCAUUGGGUGCGACGGGUCAAAGCCAUAAUACAUUCAUCUGAUAAGAUGGAUGCCGGCUCUGCAGUCUUAAUGUUGGAGAAAAAUUGCCGUUUUACACCUCUGAAACAGAAGCUGGGGCGGCUCAAGCGCGACUGUAAUGACAUGGGCCAGCUAAUGGCGGCUCUCGUCAAGUACGCCGACUCUGAUAGUACCAAGGAUCCUGAGUCUGACGAUGAGAAGACAGGGAAGGGAAAGAAGAACGGCAAUGCCAAGGGUCAUCGGCAUAAUCCGGCGAAUCAAGGAGGCAAUAAUAAACGUAAGGCUGACUGUAGCUCGGAGUUUGUGGCAAACACCAAUGCAUAGGGCAACAAUCAAUUAUGUAAGGGAGACCACCUCCUCGGUCCGGCGGGUCAGGUCCCACUCUUGAGCAGUUGCUAAAUGAGCCCUUUCCAAGGCACGGUACUCAGCAGAAACCGGUCACUCACCUAUGGAAGGAAUGUACGAUCAUGAAGGCUUUCAAGAACUCUAAAAUGUUCAACGGCAAUCAUGGGCCGGGCGGCGGCUCAGGUGGCGGCGGUUUUCAUGGCCCGGGCGGCGGUUCAAAUUCCAACUUUCAAGGCUCUUAAGGAAAUCAAGGUGGCUAUAAUCAGCAAUCUGGCCAGGGAGGUCAACAACAGCAGCAGUCUGGAUAUCAGAGCAAUCCAAAGUAGCUAAAUAGCGGACAGUAUCAUGUGUUCACCACCAUUUUGUGCAAACGGGACCCGAAGCUUCAUAAAAGGGCUGUGAACGCUGUUGAGCCGGCAGUUCCUCGUUAUUUGUGAUGGUCUAAGCAGCCUAUUCUAUGGAGUAGGGAAGAUCACCCUCCCCGGGUUGACAAUCCGGGUCACUUGUCCUUGGUGGUGGCACCUCAGGUUGGUGGAUAUAAAUUCACUAAGGUGCUCAUGGACGGAGGCAGUAGCAUCAACAUCCUCUAUUAUGAGACUUUCCGUCGCAUGGGGUUGACUGAUCAAAAUCUUAAGACGUCCAACACUAUUUUCCAUGGAGUGGUGCCUAGUAAGUCGGUGUACCCAGUGGGUAAGAUUGAACUAGAAGUAGCCUUUGGAGAUGAGCAUGAUUCUAGGGCUGAGAGGUUAACUUUUGAGGUGGUCAAAAUCAAGAGCCCAUAUCACGCCCUGUUUGGACGGCUGGCUUAUGCUAAGUUCAUGGCACGGCCGUGUUAUGUUUACCUGCAGCUCAAGAUGUCGGGUUAUAAGGGAACCAUUACGGUGCAUGGGAUUCGAAAAAUAGCCCUGGAAUGUGAGGAGGGCGAUGCUGCUUACGGUGAAUCUGUUUGUGCAAUGGAAGAGUUGAAAUUCUACAAGGACAAUGUUGACCCGGCGGACAUGACGUCUUUGAAGAAGCCAACCACAGAACAUGAGCCAGUGCUGAAGUUUAAGUCGGCUGAUGACACCAAGCUUGUCGAUUUUUUUCCAGGUGACUCAUCUAAGCAAUUCAGUAUCAGUGCUAAUCUAGAUCCCAAAUAGGAAAGCGCGCUCAUCGAGUUCAUCCGUGAGAACCGGGACAUCUUUGCAUGGAAACCUUCUGACAUGCCGGGUGUACCGAGAGAACUCGCUGAGCACACUCUCAAUAUUGAUCCAAAGUUUAAGCCGGUCAGGCAGUUUCUUCGGCGGUUCAAUGAGGAGAGGCGUAAGGCCAUUGGUGAGGAAGUGGCCCGGCUCUUGGCGGCCGGGUUCAUUAUUGAAGUUUUCCAUCAAGAGUGGUUGGCUAACCCGGUGCUCGUACUUAAAAAGAACGGCACCUGCCGUAUGUGUGUGGAUUACAUGGACUUAAUCAAGGCUUGUCCGGCUGAUCCUUUCGCUCUCCCUCGUAUUGAUCAAAUCAUUGAUGCUACGGCGGGUUGUGAGCAUUUGAGCUUUUUGGAUGCUUAUUCUGGUUAUCAUCAUAUCAAGAUGGCAGUUAAGGACCAGGAGAAAACGGCUUUUGUGACUCCGUUUGGAGCCUUCUGCUAUGUGUCUAUGCCUUUUGGGCUUAAGAGUGCCCAGGCGACUUAUCAGCGAUGUGUGCAGAACUGUCUUCACAAUCAGAUUGGGCGCAAUGUUCAUGCUUAUGUGGACGACAUUGUGGUGAAGUCCAGAGAGAAGGAGACCGUGGUAGAUGAUCUGAAGGAAACCUUUGCUAACCUCUGGGUCUACAAGAUGAUGCUUAACCCGGCCAAGUGUGUUUUUGGAGUGCCAGCGGGCAAGCUUUUGGGUUUUCUGGUUUCUAACAGAGGCAUUGAGGCUAACCCGGAGAAGAUCAAGGCAAUCACUUCUUUGGCUAGGCCGGCGUGUAUCAAUGAUGUUCAGCGUUUGGCGGGUCGUAUUGCUGCUUUAAGCCGGUUCAUAAGCCGGUUAGGUGAGAAAGCCAUACCGCUGUAUCAGAUGAUGAAGAAGACAGACGAUUUUGUCUGGAGUGAUGCUGCUAACGCUACCUUUGAAGAUUUGAAGAGACAGCUCGCUGAGCCGCCAGCCCUUGCUGCUCCCAUUGAUAAGGAGCCAUUAUUGUUAUAUGUGGCUGCUAACACACGUGCUGUCAGUGUGGCCAUUGUCGUAGAGCGCAAGGAGGCUGGCAAGGAAUAUCCGGUUCAACGGCCGGUUUACUACAUCAGCGAGGUGCUUAUUGAGUCCAAGCAAAGAUAUACACACUGGAAGAAGCUAGUUUAUGGGGUGUUCAUGGCAAGCCGGAAGCUUAAGCAAUAUUUUCAGGGUCAUCCCAUCAUUGUGGAUAGUUCUGCUCCUUUAGGAGAUAUCAUUCAAAAUAGAGAAGCCACAGGACGAGUCGCCAAGUGGGCCAUUGAAUUUGGGCCUCAUGGUUUAAAGUAUGUGCCACGCACUGCUAUCAAGUCUCAAGCACUGGUGGACUUCAUCGACGAUUGGACAGAGCUGCAGAUGCCUGAAGAGAAGCCGGACAACACAUAUUGGACUAUUCAUUUUGAUGGGUCCAGGCAAUUGGAGGGCUCGGGGGCUGGAGUUGUUUUAGCUUCCCCUCAAGGUGAAAAUUUUUGUUAUGUGCUACGGUUGAUGUUUCCCUGUACUAACAAUGUAGCUGAGUAUGAGGCCUUGCUCCAUGGUCUUCGGAUGGCUAAGGAGAUGAGCUUAAGCCGGGUAAGGUGCUUUGGUGACUCAGAUUUGGUGGCUCAACAAGUAUCUGGCAAGUGGGAUUCCAAGGAUCCUCUCAUGGCGGCUUAUCGCCGUGAAGUUGAUGCCAUUGUUGGACACUUCAAGGGUUACCAAGUGGAGCACAUUGAUCACGGAAAGAAUGAAGCGGCUGAUGCUUUAAGCCAGCUGGGGUCUCAGCAUAAUCCGGUGCCACCUAACACUUUCUUAGAUAUUCUGCAUAACCCUUCUGUCAAGUUGCCUACAGAGGAAGACUUGGCUGUUCCAGACCCGGAAGCACAAUUGGUGGCGGCUCUUCAUGUCAUCCCAGAUUGGACAGUGCCAUAUUUGGCUUAUAUGACCCGGGGCGAGUUGCCUGAGGAUGAAACCUUGGCUAGACAGAUAACCCGGCGGUCUAAGUCAAUGACAAUUGCCAAUGGUGACUUGCAUCAUCGCAGUGUCACUGGGGCGUUUCAAAGCUGUGUCUCUCCUGAGGAAGGUCAAGAAAUUCUUCGUGAGAUCCAUGAAGGAGAUUGUGGCCAUCAUGCCGGCUCAAAAUCUCUUGUGGCCAAAGCUUUCCGUCAUGGAUUUUAUUGGCUGACGGCUCACGCUGAUGCAGAAGAUUUAGUCAGUAAAUGUGAUGGUUGCCAGAAAUUCUCACGACGGGCUCACGUGUCGGCUCAAGAAUUGAGGAUGAUUCCAAUUACUUGGCCGUUUGCAGUCUGGGGGCUCGUCAUGGUUGGGCCUUUCAAAAGGUCCAAAGAUAAAAAAGACACACCUUCUAGUGGCGGUUGACAAAUUCACAAAGUGGGUUGAGGCAGAGUCGGUUAGUAAGUGUGAUGCAGCCACGACGGUUCAAUUCAUGAAAAAGGUGAUCUUUCGUUUUGGCUUUCCACACAGCAUUAUAACUGACAAUCGUACUAAUCUGUCCAAGGGUGCCAUGGAGAAGUUUUGUCAACGUGAGCAUAUCCGGCUUGACGUUUCAUCAGUAGCUCACCCCCAAUCCAAAGGUCAAGAUGAAAGAGCCAAUCAGGAAAUCUUGAAGGCAUCAAGCCCCGGCUUAUGGUUCCUUUACAACGGACACCGGGUUGUUGGGUGGAGGAGUUACCCUCUGUGAUAUGGAGCAUCAAUACCACCCCUAACAGGUCUACGGGUUACACGCCUUUCUUCAUGGUUUACAGAGCCGAAGCGGUUCUCCCUAGUGACAUCCGUCAUGACUCGCCCCGUGUGGCGGCUUAUGCUGAGGCUGAUAAUGAACAAGCACGUCAGGAUGCACUUGACCUGUUAGAUGAGAAGCGUGACUUGGCAGUAGCCCGCUCGGUGAUUUACCAGCAGGACUUGCACCGUUAUCACAGCCGUCGGGUUAAGUCCAGAACCUUUCAAGAAGGUGAUUUGGUGCUCCGGCUCAUCCAGGAUCAAACUGAUGCACACAAGUUAUCCCCACCUUGGGAAGGGCCCUUUGUUGUCAGCAAGAACUUGCACAAUGGGUCAUACUACCUCAUUGAUGUUCGAGAGCACAAAGACUCACGUAAGUCGGAGGAAGAGACCCGCCGGCCGUGGAAUAUCACUCAUCUUUGGCCUUACUAUACUUGAGCCACCGGCUCUCAUGAUGUACAUAUUUUGAUGAUGUAUAUAUUAUGAUAAGUAAUAAAAUAGGACCUCUGUCCUUUUCAUCCUCAAUGAUCAUAUGUCUUCAUCAUCAUAAUUUCAAACAACCAAUUGGGGGCUGAUCGUACUCGAAUCUAGUCGUUAAACCUCAUGAUCACUAGGGGGCUUCCUGUUCAAACAUAGGUCGUAUUUGAACCAAAGAGAACAUAGCUGUCGGUACCCUCUUGAUCGGCACAAUGCCAAACUCACUAGGGGGCUUCUUGAUCGUAUUCGAACCAUAGCUUAACCCCUUUUGGGUCCGACUUUGAUCGUAUUCGAAUGAGAGUCGUUAAAAAAACUCUCAAGGUCAUUUGGGGGCUUCCUGUUCAAACAUAGGUCGUAUUCGAACCAAAGAGAUAAUGGCUGUCGGUACCCUCUUGAUCGGCACAACGCCAAAGCCACUGGGGACUACAUGAUCGUAUUUGAAUCCUAGCUUAACCCCUUUGGUCCGGUUUACUGAUCGUAUUUGAAUCAGAAGCCUCAAAUUUUUCUUUCUAUUUGGCUUAAGAUUUUUUGAAGACAAUCUUUGUUUUUGUCUUGAGGCUUUUUGUCCAGAUCUAAGUAUAAGUAUGGUUUCAAUUUAACCCGGCUUGGUUUUGGACGAUAAGUAGCCAGCGUAUGACAAUCAUCAUACAUGUGGAAGUGUUGGCUUCUAAAAGAUUGGGUUAUCACCCUUACUGUUCAGUUCACAUGAACCGGCGGUGCAAAUUCAAAAUCACAGGUAUGAUAUUAUAGUUGUGUUUCAAAGCUAUAAUUCAUAACAGGCUUAUCUGUGUCUCUUCUUUCAAUAUUAAUGGUUGUAUGUAAGAUCUUAUGACCCGCCCUGCGGUAAGCCGCCAAGGGCUCUUGUGAUCUAUUUCUGUGUGCAGGACAGUUCAAAGACUUUCUUAUGCAUAAAGAAAAUAGAUGAUAAGUUUAAAAAGGGGAGAGUAUAGAGCGGCGGCUUAACAGUAUUGAGCACCAAAAUGUGCACGAUGGCACGACAAAGCAAAGUCAUAUCUACCCUAUUACAUGACUCGCCGAGUCCAAAUGAUUAAAUUGUUUUCCAGCAAGGUACAAGUAUGAGCCGCCCGACGGGUCAAUUCUCUUGUUGGCCUGAAGCUUCCGGAUCAACCCUUUCCGCUCCUCCAUCCUGUUCCCUGUCCUGGAAGGUUGAUGAUGACCAUUCAAUGCCAUUCAAAGCUUCAAAUUUAGCUUCAUUAUCAAUUAGUCCGGCCGGGUCAACUUCAGGGGUGAAGGUAUGCUUACGGAUUUGAGGGAUCAGGCUGGUCACUUUAUAAUGCGGCAUUGGAAUCCUCCAAUUCUCCGUGUCAUAACCCGGCUGGUACCUAGUGAGAUCCGCCUCAUCAGCAAUCAGGGUGGCCACAGGGCGUAUUUCCUUCACACAAGCGGCGAAGUCCUCCUGUUCAAAUGAUGUGCCAUCCUCCUUAAAGCUUGGAUAUCCAAUGGCGAUGUCGGCCGGGUCUAACUCCGGUAGCCACGGCUCCGGCUCUUGCAGAUGACCGCCUUAAUUCAUGAAACCGCUGGGUAGCACAGAAAGCCUCUUUAGAACAUCCACCAGGAGUGUGGGGACUUCGUUUGACAGGGCAACUGUGGCCAAGGCACGCUGAGAUCCAAUAUAAAGUUGUUCCACGAGCGUGUAAACCGCCUUCAGCUUCACCAGCAUGUCCUGGUUGAGGUUGGAGCUCCGGGGGCCUGCAUAGCAAUAUCAGGUGAGUUAAAUGACAAUUCAUAUGAUCACUAGAAAGAUUCAAUAUUUGACACUUGCAGGGCGACUUACCAAAGAUUGCUGAGACCAUCUGAGAUACAUGGCGUUUUAAGCCGGACAAUUCAGUGGUCACCUCUUCAACAGUUGUUUCUGCUGUUUCAGCUCGUUGGGUUAAGGCAAUUUUUUCUUCAGCCCAGGCCUUCUUCUCAACCCCAAACUCGGAUUGCAAUUUCUCUUGUUCAGCUACACUGAAUUCAAAUUUGGAAUUGGCCUUUUGACUUUCAGUCUCCUGAGCCUCCAAGCGGUUCUUCAAUUCAGACAGUUCUAAUUGAAGUUGAGUAGUGGUGGCCUGUCCAAAUACCGGGUCAAAAAUCAUGAAUAUUAGCAUACAAUAUUAAGUCCCAAGCCUUUUGCAAGCAACAACACUUGGCACUUGGGGGCUAAUGUUUAACGAAGGUUUUAUCUAAGUGACGGUUCAUGAGAGUAAGUCCCAAGCACUUUGCAAGCAAGAGUACUUGGCACUUGGGGGCUAAUGCAUAUUGCUGUUAAAUCUACAUAAGGACUAUAUUCUGCACAAGCAUGUGAAGGACCGGCUCAUUCAUGUUGAUUAAACCGGCCCUUGGGGACUACGGAGUAAGCCGGAUUUUUUACAGGUUUGACCAAAGGAUAUUACUAAUGCAUAUACGUCUGUUCUAAGUCUACAACAUAUUCAUCAUAAGCAAUAGACUUGGGGGGUGGCAUAGUAAGGAUAAUUCAGUGAAGGGAAGAGUUUAUACCUCAAAUUUCUGGUGCAUUUGCUUCACCAUAUCAACUUCGAGGUCACGGCUGCUGUGCACUUGGCUAAGAUAUCCAGAAAAAACUUCCCCAAUGCUCAUGUGAGUAUAAUUAGCAAUGUCAAAUCUAACCUUACGGCGUCCCAGGUGCUCUUCCUUGGCAGAACACUUGGCUAGCACAGUAGGUCUCCACGGCUCAGUGUAGCUGGUCCUGGUAAUUUCAACAUCAGCAUCUUGUGGGUCGUCUGUCUUGGCCGGGCUGGAAGCUUCAAGGGUUACAGAGCCGUCGGUGGCUUGAUCAGCAAGCGGGUCAGCGGUUGGCGUUGGCAUAUCAUGAGCCGGUUCAAGCGGCGGCUCAGGAACAGAGGCUUCUGGUGCGGCUGUUUGGAGUUCUGGCUCGCUGAUGGAGGGCUCUUCGGCCGGCUUGCUCUUCUUCACCUUCUUGCUGGGCUUUGCUUUUCCGCUGCAUAAAGAUCAAAAUAUCAGUACAAAUAUAAAGAAUUGAAAUGAAUACAGGAUAAGUAAAUUAUCAUUACCCUGGAGCGGUCUUAAAAGCCGGCAUGUUGGACUGGAGUGAGUCGUCGGAGGAAGGUGAAGUUUCCUGAUAAUUCGAGUCAGAGGAGUUGAGCGGUUGACGAGUGAGACCCGCCAAAGGAUAAAAAGGAGUUAAGUCGGAGGUGACCUCGUUCCGGCGCUUCCUUGGUGUAUUUGGUAAGCCGGAGGAGAGUUCUGUGUCCUUGCUGGUCCGGGUCUGCCUCCGUCUCUCAUGAAUCUGUCGCUUCAAAAGAAAUUGAGGAUCUUGAUAAGCUAAAGGAUGUGAAAAUCUUACUUUCCAGGUUACUCUUUGGAUUUUCUGUCUUGGCAAAGGCUCGGAGUCGGAGGAAAUAAUAGUUACCUCUUCAUCCACUCCGUGACUCGUUCCCGUGUCCUCCUGAUGAUAAUCAGUGUCAAUAAGGUGGUUAAAAAAGGAGCCUAGAGAGUCAAGAGCUACCUCCGACUCAGAGGUAUCUUCUAGUUGAAGCAAGUCUGAGGUGCUAGUCUUAUUUCCUUUCUUCUUGGCGGCGGUUUUCCUGGCGGCUCUCUUGGCCAUCCUGGCUCUCUUUCCAGCUUCAUGAUCGUACUUUGUUUUCCAAAUUUUGAUAUUAGCCUGUGAAAAUCAGCAAAAGUCUGAGUAAAGACAAAACAUCAAGGAUAAAGGUAAAAAUGCUCAAUUUGGCGGCUUACCGCUGGAGCCGGGUUAGCUUUGCAGAAAGGGCUUAAGCCCACCUUGCCACAGUCUGCUAGGCUUUCGUUCAAGAGCGACUUUGUCAUAUCAUCAAUGACGUCGUCAGGUAAAUUGUCAGGGUUGUGCCGCAGAGGAUCAUUCUUCUCGCCUGUGUAGGUGCACAUCAAACCAGCACGGUGGCUCAAUGGAAUGAUCCGCCAGGCAAGCCAAACCCGGACCAAGUCGAUACCACUUAAACCAUUCCCCAAAAGAGCCUUGAUUUUAGCCAUGGUAGGGGCGAGUUUCUGGCGAUCAGCAGCGGACAACUUGUCUGGUAGAGGAUGAUUAGACUCGAGGCGCAGGGCGCGAAAGCCGGGCAGAGGGUUAUCAUCAGCCGGAGAAGUGUAUUGGCAAUAGAACCAUGUCUGGUUCCAGUCUUUGGGGUGACUUGGUGGAUUCGCAUAAGGGAAAAUGGCAUCUCUCCGUCGUUGGAUUGAGACCCCACCAAGCUCCAAGCUAGGCCCGUUGGCACAUUCAUUCUGGCGGUUCAAAUAAAAUAACUCUCUGAAGAGUAGCAAGCUGGGCUCUUCUCCAAGAUACACGUCACAGAACACUUGAAAGUUGCAAAUAUUAGACACAGAGUUGGGUCCGAUGUCUUGAGGAAGGAGGUCAAAAAAGUGUAGGACGUCUCUAAAAAACUUUGAGCCGGGUGGGGAAAAGCCCCGAUUCAUGUGGUCAGUGAAGACGAUGACUUCCCCCUCUUUGGGCUGAGGCUUUUCCUCGGUUCGAUCGGGUGCACGGUAGGACAUGAUUUCCUUCUUUGGCAGAUAGCCAGUCUUCACAAAGUCGUCAAGUGUACUAUCUGUGACGAUGGACUUGACCCAAUUGCAUGAAGUGGGUGUUUUGGGCGGCAUUUUGAAGAUGGAAGCCUAACAAAGAGUGAAAUUGCCGGUUCAAACUUAAGCCGGAGAGGGAAAAUAUUACAGUGCAUAUUCAAGAUGGCGGCUUACAAAGGGGCCUAAUGGUAUAUGACUAAAUUAUGUCAGGUUACGUAAACCGCCAUGAUCAGUGCAAAUUAUUUAAGCCGCCAUGAUAAGUUGGAUGAUGUUUUUUGAUCAUUUCAAUUUAAGUCGGCAAUUUGAGCCGCCAUGGCUAGAUGGAUCUAACAAAUGCAGUUUUUGCCUAAGUGUUACAUAAACAAGUUUCACAGGCUGCGGCUAUUAUUUUGGAUCAACGACUGUUCGGGAAAAGAAAAAUAAAUCUAGACCUAAAAACCAGUACGGAUGAGUUCAUGAGCUUUCACAAUAUCUUUUCUUCCAGGAAAGGGGAUCUACUGAUAUCAAAAGUGGAAAUAAAACUACUGCCGCAUUGGUUGUACACCAUUUUCAGAUCAAAGAAGCUCGCGGUACGAGCAUGGAAGAUGAACUACGGUGAACUAUGAAGAACACAGAGAAACUCGCAUACCCUAAUGCGGAUCUGAGGUAUGGGAAGGCAGAAACUUAUAGCUGCAGAUCUACUGCGGAGGAUAGCCGUCGUUCUCUGGAUCGACUCAGGUUGAUGCAGCGGCCGAGGUUGAGGAAGACGAGGUGCUCUGCGACGGCGGCGGAGCUCGAGCGGCAGAAGAGUUGCGAGAGGAAGAAGACGCUGGAAAGGGGGAGAAUGAGGGAAGACCAGUCGUGCCUAUUUAUAAGGAAAGGCUCUUAAGUGGGCGCGAAAAACAAGGAGGCCAAAAAUAUGGUUAUCCAAGCUACCAGGACGCCUCGAUUCUCGGGAUGGUCAUUAAGAUAAGGAUCCGUUGAGAUAUGUUGGAUAAAGUGUGAAGUAAUGACAGAUGAUGUCAUGGCGGGUUAUCACAAAUCCAGAAGAUGACGUCAUGGCGGGUUACAAAUUCUCACACAAUGAAGAGCAGAAGAUUUUUUAUAAGUGUUGAAGAUUGACAUGAACUAGUUCAAAUCAAUCUGGGGCCUAAUGUUGGGGAUAUAACUAUUAGGUAUGACCCGCCCAGGAGGGGCCGGGUUAUACCUAUGGCGAUUCAUGAAGCCCAAGACAGAUUUGGAAGAUGGCGGUUCAGUCAAAGGCCCAAGGCCCAAAGGCGACUCAAGACCCGUAGAGAUAAACCGCCAUAAGUACAUAACUUGUAUUGUAAGGCAGAGAUAGCUAGAGACCGAGCCGGACACAGUUUAUGAGCCGGCCGGGAGCCGCUGGGCGUUGACCUCUGUAUAUAAAGGGACGACCCAGCGACGGUUCAGGACAAGGAACAUCAGAUCGAAAGCUAGGUCAAGCGGAUUCGCUCCCUAGUAAUCGAAACAUAAGCAAUAUCACCUCAACUGGAUUAGGCCUUUACCUUCACUGCAAGGGGCCGAACCAGUAUACACCCUUGUGUCCUUUGUCCCGUUUUAACCCCUUUAAGCUUCCUAGUUGCGAUGGCUCCACGAUUAAGUCCUUUCACUAGGACAUCUGCCGUGACAAUUCCACGACAACUAGGGUAGUUAGUUAUGCUUCUCAACCAAAUGAAAUGUUCGGGUUAUAAGAUAUAUCGAAAUGUUUUUGUCAAUAUUGAACCAUUGAAAUGCAAUGAGCACCAGUUUAUGCUCAAGUGCGAAGUGUUGAUUAAUUUCCGAGUGGCCUAUGUUUUGCCGAAGUGUUGAUUCAUUUCCGUUCCGGCAAAUUUCAGGCGCUCGAUAUGUCCUAUUUUAGCAAAGGUCAUGCCGGAUUUUCCCGUGAAUUUAAGCAUGACUUGUGCUAGAAUAUGUAGGAAAUAUCGAAUGCCCGGAUUUGCUAGAAAGAGGAUUAAACGACAUUUCGAGUUGACUUUAAGUCGGUCGGGGCUCCAUACAUGACAGUCAAAAAAUCAGUGAGGGAGAGUUUCCACCAUAUAUGAGAGAAGAAGAAUGCCGACUAUUGUCGUGGGGGUCGGUUCUCCUUCUUCUCUUUGUGCUAGACCUUUGUUAUGCACUAGGGGAAGAAGGAGUAGUGACCAUCAUCGACGGUCGAAAAAUCAGUGAGGGAGUGUCCACCAUAUAUGAGAGAAGAAGAAUGCCGACUAUUGUCGUGGGGGUCGCUUCUCCUUAUUUUCCUUGUGCUAGACCUUUGUAAUGCACUAGGGAAAGGAGGAGUAGCGACCAUAACCGACGGUCGCAAUAUCAGAGAGGGAGUGCCCACCAUAUACGUGAGAUGAGAGUUUAGGAAGGAAGACUCGACAUACCUAAAGUCAACCCGUUGCAUAUUGAGUAAUAGUGAUCUGUGUGUUGAGUUCCUCGUAGUUGCCUUCGAUCGGUUUUCAAUUAAUGUUUCAACUACGAACAUAGGAAAUGUCUAACGACGAAAGGGAAUUCGUUAUGUGCAAAGACUGCAAACACGAGCGCGGCCUGUGCGACAGGCCUCACCUAGUUAGUGGUAGGCGCUUCAGCAUCGUGCUGGAUGAGAACUUCGAAGUGGAUACAAUAAGUCACAGCGACAAGUCUUUUUUUGUAAUUAAGCAUGACUUCUGCUUCUUUUCCCUCAACUUAUAAUUUUAAUUUUUUACUAUUCUACUAGUGUAUCCCCUGCCAUGCAAGAAUUUAUGUCUUGGAUAAGAUUGGUUUCAGUACUAUGGAAAGUAUGGAGGUAAAGAGAGCUCACUUGAGGACCGAGCAUGGUUAUACUUUUGCCGUAAAAUUAUACAAUGCAGACACCUACUCCUAUUUUGAAUGUAAAAAUUAGAGAGCACUAUGCAAGGCUUAUGCAUUUGAGCCUAAUAUGCUUAUCACCUUUGAUAUUCGUCCGGAAGAUGAAAUUGAAGGUAAUGUCGACAUUUGGGUCGAUGUGCAGACGCCUUCAGUUCUACCAUUAUGUGGGUUUCUCAACCAUAUGUAUUAAGUAAUUUAUAUUGUUUAUUUAAAAAUAGUUGAAUCCUAAUUUCUAUUGACAGCUUAUUUCCAUUCAAGCAAACAUGUCCGCCGCUUGGUAGACAGCACCUACUGCUGUCCCGGGGCUGAACUAAACUGCGAAGAGAUAGGUCAUUAUGUUUCAUGGCUUGAGAAUCUUGAUACUGUCAAGACAGGUUAUUUUCCUGGACUUUGAGAUAUUAGUACUCAAAACGUGCGACCACUAGUGUGCGUAUUGAACUACGGUCACAUCUAUUUAGGAAAUAUGGUAAGAUUUUUACUAUUUGUCCUCAGUGCAUGUUUUGCAUACAUUAUUUUUUAAGUUAAACUUCAUUGCUAAAUAUGUUACUACGAUGUUCUUCAACAGGGACUCCCGAUGAAUGUUGUGCCUCGUUGGAUCGAGCCUAAAGGUCGCAUGACAAUGGUUAGCUUACGACCAAGAUAUCCUGCAUUGCACAUGAGUGCAUUCAUCAUUUCUUGAAGCGAGCAAGUCAUAAUAGUCAAAGACUAGAGCAAAAUUGUGAAGGAUCGCAGCAAAGAAGUACUAGGGGGAAGCAAUCAGAAGCGCAACCCACAAUUAGGAGACAGGUUCAUCUGCAAUCUCCAAUACGAUGAAGCAGGAGUGCUACACAUGUUUUAUGCUAUUUUACCUGAGAGAGAGCAGCAGGAGCGAUUAGUUAGCUUGAAUGAGUUUGAAGAUGAUGAUGUGCUACACUAUGACUAUGAUGAUUAAAUAGCUAGUGUUGGUGGUAAUGACUAUGAUGAUUAUUAUUAGCUAGUGUUGGUGGUGAUUAGAUAGCUACACUAUGACUAUGAUGAUUAAAUAGUGUUAGUGGUAAUGACUAUGAUGAUUAUUAGCUAGUGUAGUUGGUGAUUAUAUGAUGCAAGAGUUAUUAUAUUAAUAUGAUCAUGAUUAUCAUGAUGAUUUGUUAUUAUGAUCAUGAUUAGUUCUUAUAUCAUUGGUGGAAGGAACGCGGAUUAGAUUCAUGUGGAUGGAUCAAAAGUGACCAAAAGUUGAAUUAGUAGGAUCGUCGUCCUAAUUCAACUUUUGAUUCAUCCAAAUGAAUCUAAUCCAUCUUUCUUCCUCACAAUGAUAUAUUAAUUCAUCAUGGACAUAAUGAUAUAACAACCUCUUAAUUGGUAUUGUAUCAAAAUCUGUAAACGGCGCGUAAAUACACUAAAAAAUGAAAAACAGAAUACUAGUAGCGCUGGACAGGAAACACGCUACUACUAGUUAGAUUAGCAGUAGCGUGGCUUAAUUAAAAGCGCUGCAGCUAUUAACAGUAGCGCGUUGCUCCAAAGCUCUCUACUGCUACUCAUGUAUAGCUGUAGCGUGGGCCAACCCGCGCUACUGCUACAUGUUAGCCGUAGCGCCAUAUCAGUAGCGCGGGUGCCCGCGCUACUGAUAUACCAAAUACCCGCGCUACUGCUAGGCUUAUCCCUAGUAGUGCACACGUGUGGUUUGGUGUUUCACACAAUAUUGUAACCAUUCCUCCGAACUUUGUUGAAAAAAUAAGAUGUGGUUUCUAGAAAACACAUCAUAUUACUUAAUGAAAUUUAAGGGUACACAAAGACCAUCCAUUAUGUACUCAUAGAAAGAAAUAUAAUUUUUUUUUUAGAUUUAAUAUAUUUUCCCCAACGGAGCCCGGCAAGGUGCGAAAAUGCUUCACUCGUUCUGCUAGCUCUCACGGACUAGAAUAUCUGGUGUUGGACUAGAAUAUCUAGCUUCCUCAAAAUAAGAAUAUAUAGCUGGGAUAUGAUAUCCGCGGUUGUAGAUGCUCUAAUGAUAGAAGAAGGGAUUUUCAAGAUUGUUAUUUUAUUCAUGAGUCAAGAUGUAGAAUUAUGAAGCUGACAGUUUGACCAAAUUUUCUUAUCUCUUGGUUUUAGUACACACGGUGUGGUUUGGUGUUUCACACGAUAUUGUAACCAUUCCAUCGAACUUUGUUGAAUAAAUAAGACGAGGUUUCUAGAAAAAAUAUCAUAUUAGUUAAUGAAAUUUUAUGGGUACACAAAGACCAUCCAUUAUGUAGUCAUAGAAAGAAAUCCAAUUUUGUUAGAUUUUUUCCCCAACGGAGCCCGGCAAGGUGAGAAGAUGUUGCACUCGUUCUACUUGCUCUAAUGGACUAGAAUAUCUAGCUUCCUCAAAAUAAGAAUAUCUAGCUGGACCAAAAUUCAGAUAGUAGGCGCCAGACGCCAGUCACGUAUAGUAGAAAGUUUAGUCUCGAGAUGUAGGCAUCUCCAGCUAGUGGCUCACCCUCCUGUAGGUGCAAGUGCAGCGCCACACCAUGGCCGUUAAGGAAAAAGAAUCUUAUACAGGAUUUUUUGCUGUUGAGUACGACCAGGUUGCAUAUGAAAUUUCUUCUGGCCGUUAAUGUUGCCGAUUGUUGCUUGGCAUGGGAAUCGCCCAGCCCUCCUUCCUCGGCGUCCACGCCAGACCAAACAAGGGAGGCGUGUCGCCUCCGUUUGCAGCCACGUACGUAUGCACGUCCAUCGGCGAUCAACUUGCAUGGGAUCCCUCCCCUCCUCUACAAAUACGCGCCGCACGGGGCGAGGGGAAUCAAGCCAAUCACCUGCAUCACGCUAGCUAGCUACCUCCUCUCUCCUCUCCUGCCUGCCUGCAGGUGCAAGAAGAAAAGAAAGUACGCGCAGCCGUCAGACGUCUUCGGAGAUGCUAUGCACUGGCGCGAGGCCGCCGCGCUGCGUGCUGUGCGGCGUGGGGGCGGACGUGCACUGCUAUGCCGACGCAGUAUUCCUCUGCGCGACGUGCCAUACCCAGGCGCACUGCACCAGCUCCCUCGCGUCCCACCACCGCCUCACGCGCGUCCCGCCCGAGCCCAACCACGCCCGCGCAGAGGUUUCGGCCAGGGCGAUGGACCUGGACCCCUAGGUAGCGCGCCUACGUCCCGCCGCAGCCGGCCGCACGCAUGUGCCGUCGCCCAACGACAUCCGCACGGAGGUUACAGCCAGGGCGAUGGGCCUCGACCCCUGGGCUGUGCGCCUACGUGCCGUCGCAGCCGGCCGCACGUAUGUCCCGCCGCCCAGCGACGUUCGUGGCCGUUGCGGGGCCGCGCUCCAGCUUUUGGCCAGGCGGGUAGGACUGGACACGGGGGAUUCGCGCCUGCGUGCCGCCGCAGCCUUCCGCACGCUCCGGUCGAGUUCGCCGCCGCGCUGCGCAUGCCACUACGCGUCGCGAUGGCUGCCGCGCUGUGGAGGGAGGUGACGGCUCACGGGGCGUCCAUGAGCCCGGCCACGCGCUCCAGCGCAUGGCAACCUGGGCACACGUGCCAACGAGUUUCCUUGUGGCGGUGGCAGCGGCGACCGGGCGAGCGCGCGAAGUAAGGACGGCCACAGUGGACGUUGAGGAGGACUCGGUGGACUGCGCGAUCGUGAGUCCACGGAGGAUACCACAGGAGCUUUCCUUAUUCGUGUAGUAUAUCUACUAGUGGUCUACUGCUAUGCCAGUGCGGUGCAACAUGAGACAAUUGACGCAUUGCUAUGUGAAAAGGGCUAGUUUCAUCGUCCACCAAAAUGCCCAACAGGGCGGCAUAAGCUCCACAGUCAAUGUAGUAUUUCCCGUCCAUGGAUUUAGUUGACUUACUCAAUCACCCUAAGGGAGAUUUUAAUAACAUUAUAUUGUAAUCUUACAUGUGUCAUUUUGGGGCGUGGCUAUAUGCCCACUAGUAAGUGCAUCUAGUGCCACCCCUAGUUGGUUUUGGAGUAUUGACGACAAACCUGGUUGAGGGACUAAUGUGUUUGUGAGAAUUGCAGGAUAACACAGGUAGUAGUCCCUCAUUGAGUCGGUUUACCUACCGGAGAUGACCCCUAAAAAUGUAUGAAGACAUUGAAGACAAUGGUGGUAUGUGAAGACUAUGGAGCGCGAAGACUUAGUUGUUUCGUUGUUUCCUUUUCUUCUUUGUUGAGUCGUAGGAACCACCGUACUGUUAAGUGGGGUCCCAGUGAACAAAGUCAGAGUGACUGAAGUGAUGCUCAACCAAAAUCCUAUGUCUUCAAGCGAAGACAAUGAGAGCAAAUCUUAUCCAGAGCUGGAUGAGUCAGCUUUACUUGUAGCCCAAGUAAAGUUGUCGCGUGUGUUUGAAAUCUGACCGUUGGAACACGUGUCAGUUCCUUAGUGACCCAGGGUCAUUUCGGACAAAUCAGGUCAGGUUGCCUAGUGGCUAUAAAUAGCCCACCCCCUACACCAUAAAUUGGUGGCUGCUCAGAGUUAGUGCACGGCUUUUGUCGUUUGAGAGCAACCCACCUCCGAAGCUUUUGAGAGAGAGAAAUCCUUGCAAGGACAAAGCCCAAACACCCAGAGCCAAAGAGUGUUAGGCAUCACUGAAGUCUUUCUGUCCGCGUGACCUGAAGACUUGUUACACUUGAGGACUGUGAAUCCUUCAGCCGAUUAGGCGUCGCGUUCUGAGCAUCCAAGAGUCAUUGUGGAUCGCCGGUGAACGAAGUCUGUGAAGGUUUGGAAGUCUUCCUUGAAGACUUACCAGAGUGAUUGGGCGAGGACUGGGUGUCCUUUAGCUCAAGGGGAAUAAGGUGAAGACGCGGUCUUCUGAGUUGAAUCUCAGCCUCCCUAACCAUAUGUACAGUUGUCACAGCAACUGGAACUGGUCCAACAAAUCCUGUGUCCUCAACAAGUGACUGGUUCUAUCCUCUCCCUCUCCUUACUUACAGUUCUUCUUCGUGAAGUCAUUGCCUAUUUGCUUUACCUAUUUGUCUUCACUGUGUGACUACUAUCGUUGUUUGGCUUCAUACCAUCUUCCAUCCUGAUCCUUACUACCUAGCUGCUAUUAGUCUUCGUGCUUUCACUUCAUUGCAUACUUGACUAUGGGUUGCUUAGUUUAGUUUACCUUCCGCUGCAUAUUAAUAGGUUCAUUUCUAUUGUUUGUCUUCAAAACUCUCAUGUUUUGAAGAGUCCCAUAAAAAUCGCCUAUUCACCCCCCCUCUAGUCGAUAACUAGCACUUUCACCACUGCCCAUAGGCACCUAGCUAUAUCCAAACUACUCGCGUUACAUGUUAGUAUAGCUAGUUAGUUCGCUAGCUAGUACAACGUAUACAUCAGCGAUGGUCGCAAUAUCAGAGAGGUAGUACCCACCAUAUACGUGAGAUGAGAGUUUAGGAAGGAAGAAUCGACAGACCUAAAGUUAACCCGUUGCAUAUUGAGUAAUAGUGAUCUGCGUGUUGAGUUUCUGGUAGUUGCCUUCAAUCGAUUUUCAAUUAAUGUUUCAACUAUGAACAUAGGAAAUGUCCGACGAUGAAAGGGAAUUCGUUAUGUGUGAAUACUGCGAAGAUGAGCGCGGCCUGUGUGACAGGCCUCACCUAGUAUAGAUAUAUAGAUGAAAGGAGGGAGUACGAUUUUUGUUCUUCGCUACUUCGUUAUCCCCUUGGUUCAUUACAGCAAGAGCAUUAAUGCAGUCAGGAGGUUGCAUCAAAGGUAUUUUGACCAACGAGAGUUCACAUGGAUCUCUGUAUAAUGAGACACAAACGGCUAAUAAAAAAAUGCUUAUUAUGAAAACAUGAUGAGUUAGUACAGAUUAAAAUGAAAGACCGUCUUUCUUUUUAUCAAAAGAAGGGGAUAUGCCAAAGCAAGAAAUCUACUAUUGCCGUAAACAAAAGCCCGACUUUUCUUUUAUAAUAUUCCCUAUAUAAACAAUGGACGUGACUAACUUUCAGUCGACUGGAAGUUAGCGACAGGUGCGGACGAUCACACAUGCGUGCGAGCUUACUACCUAGCUAAUUCCGUGCUUGGCGGCGGAGGAAAUCGCUUGCGGCCAGCCUUGAUUAAUGAUUCUAUGCAUGCAUGCAAACUAAAAGACAAAGCAGACGAUGUCAGCAAAGAUUCUCCAUAUUUCAAAACUUCAAAACGUUUUGUAGCUCAAACCAUUGGUCUGAUUGAAAAAUCGUUUUCACAUAAAGAUUCGUCGCGACGAGACCUACGAAACUAGAUCUCAUGUUGGUAUGUUUCGAUGACUUUUUUUCGGGUGAAAAGUUAUCAGACUUAGGCUAAAUAAGUUAUCACCUAUGUGGUACACCAGUUACCAUCAUGUUUACAUUGAAAUUACCGGGGCAUAAAAAUGACUCCUCCAAAAUUCUUUCCAUAUGCAAAAACAGUAAAGCACAGGAAACCUGAUGUCAUUGUAAAUUCUCGAUAUUUCGAAGAUGUAAAUUUUUUUAUAGCUCAAACUGUCGUUUUUGAUUGAAAAAUCGUUUUCACAUAAAAAAUCCAUCACGAUGAGAGCUUCAAAACUAGAUCUCAUGUUGACAUGUUUUGAUCACUUUUUUGGUCAAAAGUUACUGUAAAUUUAUCAGUUAUGUUAUAUGUACAUUAACAUGUUAUUUAUAAAGAAGUGACCGAAGAUGUGUUUUCAACGACAUCUUUCCCCUGGGUGAAAUUUACCGUGGUAUUUAUACCUAAGUUAUCAGCUCCGGAUGCAUACAUUACCUUCCUAUUUGUACAGAAGUAACCAGGGUAUGUUUCAAUAACUUUUUGUUCGAGUCCAAAGUUACCGUGUUGUUUAUACCUAAGUUAUCAGGUCUAUGAUGUGUGAGUUACCAUGAUAUUGACAAAAAAGUAACCGGAGGUAUAUUUCAUCAACAACCCUCCCCCACCCCUCACCACCGUCGCCAAAGUUACCAGGACUGGGGCGCAUAAGUUAUCAGGUCUGCGAUGUGUGAGUUAUCAUGUUAUUCACACAAAAAGUUACCAAGGUUAUAUUUCAUCAACCACCUUCCCCCCACCCAGUCACCAAAUUUACCAAAGACUGGGGUACAUUAGUUAUCAGGUCUACGAUGUGUGAGUUACCGUGCUAUUCACAUAAAAGUUAUGGGGGUAUAUUUCAUAUCACCUCCCUCGUGAAAAGUACCAGGGCCGGGGUGCAUAAGUUAUUGGGUCUCCGAUGUGUGAGUUACCAUGCUAUUCACACGAAAGUUACCGGGGGAUACUUAAUCACCACCCCCCCACACACACACGCCAAAGUUAUCAGGUCUAUGAUGUGUGAGUUACCAUGAUAUUGACAAAAAAGUUACCAGAGGUAUAUUUCAUCAACAACCCUCCCCUACCACUCACCAUCGUCGCCAAAGUUACCAGGACUGGGGCACAUAAGUUAUCAGGUCUGCGAUGUGUGAGUUAUCAUGUUAUUCACACAAAAAGUUACCAAGGGUAUAUUUCAUCAACCACCCUCCCCCCCCACCCGAUCACCAAAUCUACUACCCCUAUAAAAGCAUGAGAGCGCAGAUCCAACUGAGCUUAUUAGCCGUCUAAUCAACAAUCUAAGGGCCUAAAAUCUCCGUUAACGAGAACUAUCGUUAACGAAAUCUCCCCAUCGCUAACGAAACCUGGUACCCCGCUACCGCUUCAUCAGUUCGUCUCUCUCGCCACAUGCACGCCCCUUCUCGCCAACCGCUCGACCCUGCCGCCGCCCCCUUCUCGCCAACCACUCGACCCCGCCGCCGCAGCUUCUCACCACCGCUUGGUCCCUUCUCGUGAGCCACUCGGCCCCGUCGCCGCCCCUUCACGCCCCCAACACCCUCCGCUUUUCUGGGACUGGCAUGCCGCCGUGAGCAGAGGCUGCAGCACACCCCCGACCGACGCCGGCGGCCGAGCGACACGUCCGCCGCAGGGGGCGGGCCGCGGCAGCACGCCCCCGACUAACCGACGCCUCGACCUGGUACUACCGGCGCUGCAUUGCGUUCGGGGACUCAGGACGGCAGGAGCUACCAAUCCGUCCGCAAGAUCGGCGUGAAGAUUGGUUGCGGCUGCUUAGGCAUGGUCCCCCGCUGCACGUCCUGCUCCACCGGGACCACGAAGUCGUCAAGUCGGUUGACCGGUCUCGCCCUGCCGACAACCUGGAUCAUGGCCUGGCCGGGCUAGAGCCCCGUCAUUCAGGUGCACGCAGUAUACGUGGAUGCACAUGGUGAUAGACCUCUGCGUCGGGCCAGACCUGCUCGACUGGGUUCGCCUCCGCCACGAGCGCCCGUUCCAGAGCCUGUGAUGCCGCCGAGGCCCUCGAGAUCUUCAACGGCCACGGCUACACUGCCAGCAUUGCGGCCACAACAAUAACAAGAGGACCAAUCCACAUCAGAAUACUCAUGCUCCACGUCUGCUUCGUCUAGGGUUAGGGUUGCUCUGGCGAUGGGCGAACUCACGUCACCGCCGCCCCCUACCACUGACAGAAGCGUUUCGGAACGCCGAAAGGAAUCCCGCCCGGCUACGUCUCCGAUGUCUCUGUCGUCUCAGAGUCUCCGUCGGUCUCAUGUGGAUCCAAUCCGUGCUCCGCACGGCAGUCAUGAACCCAGGGUUGCGCCUAUUAAUAUCCGCAACCCUAACUCUCGUGAUAUAAAGCCCGCGUCUAGUGCCGCCAACCCUCCUGACCCAGAUCCCGGAAGAUCUCGUCCUUCGCGAGCGAUGUCGCGGUCAUCCUCUGCUGCUAGAGGUGGGGGUGAUCAUGGGGUAGCCGAUGAGGUUCCUGCCCACCCGAAGCCUUCUGGCGGCGGCGCGGUCGUGGUAAGCAGGCCGACGAUUGUGUGGGCAGAAGAGGAGGUGAUGGUGUUGGAAGACAGCAACUGGGAUCGGCCGGCGUCUGUAGGCGGGCUGCCGGAGGGAGUGGGUGCACAAAUUGGUGGGGAAGUGGAUAUGGACGACGUCGCGUUUGUGGCAGUAGAUUUUGACGAGGAAGAUGAAGAAGAAGCCGAGCUUGGUUGGAAACUUAUGAGCCUGUAUAGAUCACAGAAGCGCCCUAGCGCGAAAACCUUGUCUGAUCACUUUGAGAAAAUCUGGCAGCUGCGUACAGGAGUUGAAUUCAAGCCUGUGCGGAAAAACUAUUUCAUAAUCACCUUCUUCUCUGACGGAGAUUACAGAUUUGUGGCCAGGGGAGGGCCAUGGAUCUAUGACGGGGAUGCACUGCUGGUGACCCCGUUCGAUGAUAAUGCUCGCCCUUCUGAAACUGCUCUGGACUCCGUACCGGUAUGGGUGCGUGUUUUUUAUGUUCCCUGGAAGAAGCAGACUAAGGCUUAUGGAAGCGCUCUAGGAGGCACUUUGGGAGAGGUCCUGGAGGUGGAUGCACCUGAUGUUGGUCACGGCACCAAUGAGUUCUUAAGGAUUCGAGUUAAAUUGCCCUAUAAUAGGAGACUGCAGAAAGAGGUCAUGCUUGAGUAUAAGGUGAAAGGUGUAACCAAACGCAUGCAAUUCAAGCUGAAAUAUGAAAGAGUCCCACACUUCUGCUUCUUUUGUGGGUUCAUGGGGCAUGACAAAGAGGCAUGUGAGAAGAAGAGGCUGGGGCUCCAAUCAAAGGCAUAUGACUCCACCCUCCGUUGCUCCCCGUUCAAGAAGUAUGAGCAGAGACCGGCGUUCACAGCCUCGCCGGGCCAACCAAGGGCAAGGCGCGGGAUGGAUUUUUCUCUGGGUAGCGCUGGUUCAAUGACUCGCCAAGCUGAACGACCGACGGCUAGCAGCAGCUCCAAGCAGGAUCAUGAAAUACCGGACAGAGUUGAUGCUCAUGAUGGGUUUGAGGAGAAGGAGAUGCCAGGGACAGUGGAGGCUGAUGAGCUGUUAGCAAACCAGGUGGACAGAAUUCGGCUGCAACUUGCUAAGGAGAAGCCGGAGUGUAGCAAAGUACAGCAGAUGAAGGCGCAAUUUGAACCACAAGCUAACGGUAAACAGGGAGGAGAACAGAUUAGGCCACGCCAGAAAAAGAAGAGUGCUUGCAUGGGAAAGAAAGUGCCAGCAGGGAGGAAACAUGGACCGCUAGUAAUCAAAGAAAAAAUACCCAGCUCGGAUGACAUGAUACCUGCUUUGUAUGGCCUUGACUCCUUGAAUGUCUCGUUUGGUAGUGUUAUGGAUUCCAUGGAAUAUAACGAUUCAAUUCUGGGAAGAGGCAGGUGGAUGGUCUAAUUGGGCAGGUACAGGUUGAUUUUGGUGGCAAGGCUCUGGUGCCGUUCGUGGACGUUCCUGUUGGUGGUGUUCAGAAGAAGGGGAAGACAGAAGCUCAGCAAGGGGAAGAUGAAGCAACUAGCAAGGUGUGUGAGGUGGACAUGGAGGCAACCGGCCCGGGGGCCGCCGGUAAACUGACGGGGCCACGUGUGGUGCCCCGUCAGGAGCAAUGAAUUGCAUUGUUUGGAACUGUCGGGGUGUGGGGAACACCUCGACAGUUCGUGAUCUCGUGGCUCUCACUCGAGCCCAUUCCCCGAGCUUUGUCUUUCUAUGUGAAACUAGGCAGCAAAAAGAUAAGAUGUAUCGUCUUCAUGAUCGUGUUGGUCUGCGUGGUUUUGAAGGAGUUAGUAGUGAUGGUAAUGGUGGAUUAGCUUUGUUUUGGGACGAGUCUUUGUACGUUGAUAUUCGUGAUUGCAAUAAAAGAUGGAUUGAUGUGUAUGUUCGGUUACCCGCUGAUGAUCAAAUUUGGAGAAUCACGUUUGUGUAUGGGGAACCGAGGGUAGAAAAUAGACACCUGAUGUGGGAGGGGCUGAAAAGAUUGAAAGCUCAAGAUGACAUACCAUGGCUCUUGGCAGGAGAUUUCAAUGAGGUAAUGUGGGACUAUGAGCAUUUGUCGGAUACACCAAGGUCGCCCGGGCAGAUGAUUGCUUUCCGGGAUGUGUUGGAAGCUUGCAACUUAUCUGACCUAGGCUUCUCUGGCUAUCCAUUCACAUAUGAUAAUAAACGCAGUGGGCGUGCUAAUGUGCAAGUGAGACUUGAUAGGGCAGUGGCUGAUAAUACGUGGAGAAAUAAAUUCCCGGAGGCAUCGGUGAAGCACUUGAUUUCUUCCUGUUCAGACCACCUCCCUCUCCUCGUGCGAUGUACGCCUGAAUCCGGCGGCAAGGUGAGGUGUGUACGGCGUUAUGAAGUAAUGUGGGAACGUGAUGCGGCUCUUGAGGAGGUUGUGGCAGAUGCUUGGCGGGAGGGAGGUACAAAGCAUGGCCUACAUGAUAUCAAAGUAUCCUUGGAUAAGUUGAUGGGUAAACUUCAUGGCUGGAGCCGCAAGAAAUUUGGGAACAUAGUAAAGGAAAUUGAAAAAUCCAGAACCCGGUUAGAGGAUCUAAUGAACAUGAAUGCAGACCGGAAGGAAAUCCGGAAAGAGUCAGAACACCUAGACGAAUUAUUGUACAGAGAGGAGAUGUUGUGGCGCCAACGGUCUCGUAUUGAUUGGCUCAGAGAGGGUGACCAUAACACGCAGUUUUUCCAUCAGCGAGCUGUUUGGCGAGCGAGGAAGAACAAGAUUAAAGGGCUAGUGGACAGUACAGGUGUGAAGCAAACAGAACAGAAAGUGAUGGAAGGUAUGGCUUUGGACUUUUCCCAAAAUCUGUUUACUGCUGAUACUUCCUUGAAUGCAGACCGGGUGGUGGCCUUGUUUGAUCGGGUAAUUACGGCUGAAAUGAAUGCCAAAUUAUGCUCUCCAUUCUCUGAUAAGGAGAUCAGUGAUGCGAUGUUUCAGAUCGGGCCACUAAAGGCACCGGGGCCACAUGGUUUUCCGGCUAGAUUCUUUCAAAAGCAUUGGGCUAUUGUCAAAGAGGAUAUCAUUUCAGCAGUACAAUUGUUUUUUGACUCAGGUCAUAUGCCAGACGGAGUUAAUUUAACAACCACUGUUCUGAUUCCCAAGAUUGAUGAGCCGGUCAAAUUGUCAGAUUUCCGUCCAAUAAGCCUCUGCAAUGUUAUAUAUAAGGUGAUUGCUAAGUGUUUAGUCAACAGAUUGAGGCCUCUUUUGGGAGAGAUUAUUUCACCGGAGCAGAGUGCUUUUGUCCCCGGGAGGCUCAUUACUGAUAAUGCAUUUAUGGCUUUUGAGUGUACUCAUUUUAUUAGACAUGAGAAGAAUCCAGAGAGAAGUUUUUGUGCAUAUAAGUUAGACUUUUCCAAGGCGUACGACAGGGUGGAUUGGAUAUUCCUGGAGCGAGUGAUGCAACAGUUGGGCUUUGAUCAUCGAUGGGUGAGAUGGAUAAUGGCAUGUGUCACCUCGGUGAGAUACACAGUAAAAAUUAAUGGAGCCCGCUCGGAUUCAUUUGCACCGUCGCGAGGUCUACGGCAGGGAGAUCCUCUUUCACCAUUUCUAUUUUUGUUUGUUGCAGACGGUCUAGUAGCUUUGCUUAAGAAGGAGGUGGGAGAUACACAUAUUUCACCUUUGAGAGUGUGUCCCAGAGCACCCGGUAUUUCACACCUUUUGUUCGCGGAUGAUACACUUUUGUUCUUUCGUGCGACAGAAGGGGAGGCACUUCGAAUCAAGGGAGUACUGGAUGUAUAUGCUAGUGCUACAGGGCAACUAACUAAUCCGCAGAAGUGCUCCAUAUUAUUCAGUGAAAAGUGCAAACAAGGUGAUAAGGAAGAUGUCAUACGGGUGCUGGAGGUGCAGAAUAUUAGUUUUGAAGAGAAAUACCUCGGACUUCCUACUCCUAAUGGGCGUAUGAGCAAGGGCCGGUUUCAGAACAUUCAAGAAAAACUCACAAAGAGGUUUGUUACGUGGUGUGACUCGAUGACACAGAGUGGGAGAGAAGUGCUAAUCAAAUCAAUUGCUCAAGCACUCCCGACUUAUUUAAUGAGUGUGUUUAAGCUACCAGCAUCAACUUGUGAUGACCUAACUCGCAUGGUGAGGAACUUCUGGUGGGGAGCUGAAAAAGGUUGACGCAAAACCCAUUGGCGUGCAUGGGAAAAGCUGAUCCGCCCAAAGUCACAUGGGGGUAUGGGGUUUCGGGAAUUUCGCUUAUUCAACCAAGCACUGUUGGCACGCCAAGCUUGGCGAAUUCUGACUCAUCCGGACAGCCUGUGCUCACGGGUAAUGAAGGCGAAGUAUUUCCCGAAUGGUAAUCUGGAGGACACCGUUUUCCCAUCUAAUUCUUCACCAACUUGGCAAGGCAUUGCUCAUGGGCUUGAACUCUUGAAACGGGGCAUCAUUUGGAGGGUUGGAAAUGGCCAAUCAAUACGCAUAUGGAGAGACCGCUGGAUCCCGAAUGGAGGUUCUGGUAAACCUAUCACCGUGCAGGGCCAGUGUCGUCUACGGAGAGUGUCCGAGCUGCUGGAUGAACAAGGAGCAUGGCGUAUGGGCCUUCUCCAAGAGUAUUUUGCCCCUGUGGACAUUGAGCAGAUUUUUAAAAUUCGAACUUGCACACGUCUAGGAGAGGAUGUCCUCGCUUGGGAACCGGAGCGUAAUGGUAUCUUCACGGUGCGGAGCGCAUACCGGCUGGCGCUCGAUGAACGACUCCGUCCAUCUUCAGUCGCAGCGAGCAGGGCACCGGACGGGCGACGAGCCGUUCUGGCUUUUUUAUGGAGGUGCCCUGCUCCUCCAAAGGUGCGUGUGUUUGCUUGGAGGGUAGCGACAAACUGUCUUCCCACUUGGACAAAUAAACAUUCUCGUAAUCUUGAACUGUCUAAUCUUUGCCCUGUGUGUGCCACCGAACCGGAGGACACUUUCCAUGCUCUAUGUAGAUGCCCCCAAGCGGUCGCCCUAUGGUAGUCAAUGGCGCAGCAGUGGAACAUCCCCGACGUCCGGCGGCUAGUGCACACAGGACCGGAGUGGCUCCUCCAUGUGCUCGCUGACCUGCCGGAGGAGGAGCGCAUGUACACGCUUAUGACGAUUUGGCGCUGCUGGUACGUAAGGAAUGAGAUCGUCCACGACAAACGGCCACCACCAGUGGAGGCCUCGACAAGGUUUCUGUCUAGCUAUAUUAGCUCCUUGCUAGCCCUUCAGGCAAACCCUCUUGGCGAUCAUGUGAAAGGGAAGAUGGUGGCUGGCCACCAGGUCAGGAGGAAACCAAUAUCGUAUGCGUACCAGGCGAAGCAGCAGGCUCCAAGUUGGGAGGCACCGCCAGCUGGAUGGGCAGCGCUUAACGUUGACGGCUCCUUCUGUGGCAAGGAUGGGAGUGCUGGGGCGGGUAUGGUUCUUCGAGAUGAACAUGGAGCUAUAAUCUUCUCUUCUAGCCGAGAGUUACGGCAAUGUGCGUCCCCGCUGGAAUCUGAACUUGCAGCAUGUAUGGAGGGCAUUUCCCUAGCCUCCCAAUGGUCUGCACUACCAAUUGUUGUUCAAACGGACUGCCUAGAUGUGGCCAAGCUGGUGAAGGAAGGUGGAGUAAACAGGUCGGAGCACCUGAUGAUGGUUCGUGAGAUCACUAGGCUUCGACAGGAACGUGGGGAAUAUCAAGUCAAGCAUGUAAGGAGAGAACAAAACGUUGUUAGCCAUUAUUUAGCGAACUAUGGUAGAAUAAAUAAGCGCACUGCGGUGUGGCUUCGAUCCGGUCCGGACGAGGUGCCGGACCUAUGUAAUGCAGAUCUGGCUGCUGCUUGAUGAAUGAAACCACUUUUCCUCGCAAAAAAAACAAUAACAAGAGGAGGCAAGCAAGUCCUUAGGGAAACUCCAAUGUCAUGCAUCAAAAUGCCUGUAAAUGUUUGGAUAACACCGUCCGAUUACUUUAGUCAUCCGACGUCAUGCACAAAACGUCUGCGACACAGUUUGGGCAUUUGAAAUCCCACAAACCGGAAGCAAAGUUGAAGGAGGUUUGCAGGGGUCUCGACCUCCUCCACGUAGGCCUUCGCAAACCUCAGCCCACACAAAAAAUUCACAUGUAGCCCCGAUUUCACUUUGUCCCUCCCCUUUGCUGUGUAUGCUAUGUAUCCGUGUAGUCCAAGGCCGGCAUUGCCGCUGUAACACCCACUCUAGCGCCCAUGCGUUGUCGAACCUCCUCCGCUCCACCCAGACGAAAGUCCCGCUGAAAGGAUGUCAAGAGGGCAUUUGGAGCGCUCCAAGCCUGUUUUGUGGUUAUUCAAGGAUCUGCAAAACUAUGAGAUGCAGAGACGUUGUGGAAGGUGAUGACACCUUUGUGAUGAUGCACAACAUAAUUGUGGAGGAUGAGGGUGAUGGAUUUCGUCACUGUCUGAUGAGCACAGGGAUGAUCUUAUUCAAAUUUCAGAGUGGAAUCCGGGGACAUUUAAGGAUUGUAUCCAAAUGCAUCGACGGAUUCGUCAACGAGCAACUCACCAAUGAUCUUGAGCAAUUGCAGAACCUUUGAGGGAAGCACUACAAAUAUAUAUAUAUAUCUUGUAUAAGUUGAAUUCAAAUUUGAAUUAUUUUAUUAACUCAAGAAUGAUCUUGAGCAUACAAACCAGCCGAACACACAAACAUAUAACAAAUUUAAGACAAGAUUGUCUAAAUACCAAGGUAAUAUGUCUCGGUAAGUUGGAAUUCAAAUUUGAAUUAUUUUAUUAAAAAAAUCAUGUUCGCAUUGUUAUAUAUAUUUGAUUUAUUGUAUGGACGAAGAUGCCAGUUACCUUUAAUUAUUUUGAGUGCUUUGAAUAUAAGAAAAUAAAUAGUGAAGUAUAUUUGAUGCAUCCGGCUGGAUUGCCGCACCCUUAUCUGGUGUCUUUUGAGGUUCUGUUUUGAUGCACGCUGGGUGGAGUUGCCCUUAGUUGUUUGUUCAAAAGAAGACGAUGGGUGAUGUAAAAAAGGAAGACUAUGGGUGUCUGUCUAGAACUCAAUCGAGUGACGUCAGCAUAUUUCUUUUAAUUCGGCACGGCUGGAUGCUACAAAUGGUGACAAAAACUGUUACGAUGGUACUGCAAGCAACAACAAUAAAUGCUACAACCAUUCUAAUUAAAAUGCUAAAUCGUCAAUGAAGGAUGUUGCGUCACAUGACGUGCUACAACUGAUGAGGAAUAACCUGAAAUGACCGUCAAUGUUGCAACCGGUUAGAUGAUGUGCUACAACCAGCAAGAAGGAAUGUUACGAACGAUGGUGAUCAACUGUGACUUGGUUAAAUCUCAGUCGGCUGAUUUUUAGUAGGCUUGUUAUUUUGUUGGCCUUAUUUUCUUCAUUUUAAGCUUACUUCUCUUUCCAAAGCGAUCUUAAUUUUAGAAGGAACGUCCUCACUAAAGAUAAAAAUGGCAUGGAUUCCUUGAACAGCCACAAGGGCCUGAUUUCCUUGACAUAGAAACAAGUUCAAUUGUACUCUUUUUUUUGCAACAUGAGGCCAGAACACACAAACAUAACAAACACAACGCACGCUGUAUACAGAGAAGUGUCCCUGACACGGAUGCGAUCAGAGACAACUUCUCGUUCAGCUUCAUCUUAUUAUUGAACAAAAAGAUCACGUGGAAGUGGAAGGCUUUGACGCGUAGCUAUGCAAAGGAAGCAGUCAAGCAGCCAGCCGAAGCCGGCAG